AAAAAAAAAGCUAUAAGAACAUCUACUUAUAAAAUAGCUUAAAUCGAAGACUGAAGACAGAAUUGACUUCUAACUCGUUGCCAAAUCAUCAACUACUUUGUUUCUGUUUGUUUAUUUUUCUUUAGGGAGCUGAGGGGAGGGGAAAUCACGCUACAUUAUGUACACAAUGAAAGGCGCAUCUGAGAAUUAUUUAGAAGAAAAAGCUACUGAACUUCUCCAUCCUCACCAAAUUGCCAGUGAUCCUAAUAGUCACCAUCCCUAUGAGAAUCACUCCGACAAUCUCGCUUUUGUUUCUUAUGCUGGACCUCCGGUUUACCUUCCGAACUCCAGACAUCAUGCCAGUCCAUCUAUUACAUUAGUAAUUAAUGAGAUCUUAUGUAUGAACUAUGUGAUGACCUGAAUUCUCAAGAAUGAGAUACGUAGGAGGCCUAUGUCGGCUUCGUUCAACCUAUAAGAUUUUUCUAUAUAUCCAUAGUGUAGUUUUGAACUACUUUUGAAUUGAUUCCUGCUUCAACGGGAUAUGUAGGCGCCCCAAUGGCUCGGUCAUAUAACCCCAGGAAAUGGAAACUGGGGCAAAACUUUUGAGAAAGAAUCUCAAAAAUUCACAAGAGAAGAUCAACAUCCAACAAAGAGAAUGAAGACCAACAAAGACUUCAGAUCCACUCGAGAUGAUCAUCUCAGACCACUUUAAACUGGGGCAGAAAUUUUGAGAAGGUCCUCAAAAUUUCCACUAAUAUAUUCAAAUAUAUUUCAAAUUCCGUAGCACUAGAGGUCGAAGUUGAGAUUUGAGGAUCGUCACUUGCGAUAAAGUAUAGGAAGUUUGAAUCUCCAUCUUUGAUAAAACUUCUAGUAGAGAGCCUCGACAAUGCUGAAUCCCUAAAAAUCCUCCGUCAAACGUCUAACAUUGUCAAUCAAAAGAAAGACGGUCGUUGAGCUAGCACAUGACAUGACUGGCAGAGAUUUUUCGAAGUUUUGCAGGAGUUGUCAAAACUAUUUUCUAAAAAAUUAAGAGUACUUUGAAAAAAAAUCUAUAUAAAUCUUUUACUUAGUGAUUGCCUAGACAUCAAUUAGGACGGGGAGUCAGGGGUGGAAGUCCCAACAUGAUGAAAUACCUGAAAGAUGGCGAGGGCAAAUCAAGGAUCGUAGGAGGUCAACACGGAGUAGUUUCUUUCAAACUAAUCAUUUUUUGUGGAUGCAGGGAUCGAUACACAAAAUGAGCGUUUCUUUCGAAAAAUCCCCAAGAAAGUCGGGAGCCAUGACAGAGCAUAUAAGGCUUAAUAACGGUACUUUUGGUAGCCCAAAAACCGGCUCAAUACCCAUUUAUUGACGACCUUUCGAAUUGUCCAUCUCAUUUCUUCAGAUCAUGGAGGACAAACAAAAGUGUCUUGUCUUCUUUACAAAUAUUGUAUUUAGAAUUUUUCUAAAAAUAUAGUCGUUAGCAAAAACAACUUUGUGUCUACUAAUCGUCUACCUUGAGUACAGGUACAUACAGAAACCAAGACCCUAACAAAUGAUUUCAGGAGAAACUAUUUUUAAUUUACCAGAAGAACCAUUGCAUGUCAUUGCCAAGAGGGCCAUUGCAUAGCAUCGUCAUUUAANNNNNNNNNNNNNNNNNNNNNNNNNNNNNNNNNNNNNNNNNNNNNNNNNNNNNNNNNNNNNNNNNNNNNNNNNNNNNNNNNNNNNNNNNNNNNNNNNNNNNNNNNNNNNNNNNNNNNNNNNNNNNNNNNNNNNNNNNNNNNNNNNNNNNNNNNNNNNNNNNNNNNNNNNNNNNNNNNNNNNNNNNNNNNNNNNNNNNNNNNNNNNNNNNNNNNNNNNNNNNNNNNNNNNNNNNNNNNNNNNNNNNNNNNNNNNNNNNNNNNNNNNNNNNNNNNNNNNNNNNNNNNNNNNNNNNNNNNNNNNNNNNNNNNNNNNNNNNNNNNNNNNNNNNNNNNNNNNNNNNNNNNNNNNNNNNNNNNNNNNNNNNNNNNNNNNNNNNNNNNNNNNNNNNNNNNNNNNNNNNNNNNNNNNNNNNNNNNNNNNNNNNNNNNNNNNNNNNNNNNNNNNNNNNNNNNNNNNNNNNNNNNNNNNNNNNNNNNNNNNNNNNNNNNNNNNNNNNNNNNNNNNNNNNNNNNNNNNNNNNNNNNNNNNNNNNNNNNNNNNNNNNNNNNNNNNNNNNNNNNNNNNNNNNNNNNNNNNNNNNNNNNNNNNNNNNNNNNNNNNNNNNNNNNNNNNNNNNNNNNNNNNNNNNNNNNNNNNNNNNNNNNNNNNNNNNNNNNNNNNNNNNNNNNNNNNNNNNNNNNNNNNNNNNNNNNNNNNNNNNNNNNNNNNNNNNNNNNNNNNNNNNNNNNNNNNNNNNNNNNNNNNNNNNNNNNNNNNNNNNNNNNNNNNNNNNNNNNNNNNNNNNNNNNNNNNNNNNNNNNNNNNNNNNNNNNNNNNNNNNNNNNNNNNNNNNNNNNNNNNNNNNNNNNNNNNNNNNNNNNNNNNNNNNNNNNNNNNNAGAAAUUGACAAUUUGAGGGUCAUCUAUGAGUCAUAUUAUUUAAAAUAGGAUAGUAUGCAAGAUCACCUAUGAGUUGAUAGCCUGUAGGUCAUCCGUAAGCCACAACAACAUCCUAACCGGAUAGUAUGCAAGAUCGCCCAAAAAUCGAUAGUUCAAAGGUUAUCCAUAAGUUGCAACUAAAUCCUUAUCGGGGAAUAUGCAAGAUUAUCAAAUUGAUACGUCCAAGGGUUCUCUAUAAGUCGUGUCAUAUCCAAGAUUGAUUAUGUGCAGGAUUACCCAAAGACUAACAAUUUGAGGGACUAUCUAUAAGUCAUAUUAUAUCCAAGGUCGGAUGGUGUGCAGGAACACCUGAAAGCUAGCGAUUGGAGGGAUAUCUAUAAGUCAUCUCUUAUUCAAAGUCGGAUAAUGUGCAGGAUUACCUAAAAGCUAGAAAUCAAAAGGAUAUCUGUAAGUCGCCUUGUAUCCAACAUCAACAUCAAAUAAUGCGUAAGAUUAUCCAAAGAUUGAUAAUUUAAAGGAAAUUUAUAAAUAGAUCAUCGGCUAUAACCGGAGAGGUUAUCAUUCCACAUGCAACAAAUGAUAUAGGUACCCAAAGGGUUGCCACACUAGCACAAGAUUACAUGGUUGUAGAGACCGUUCUGCGUAAAGUAUCGCCGGUGUCCAAAAGGGCCACCCAUUUUGAAGACAUAUUCAACUAACAAAUGUCAUAAUUUUACAACAACCAAGAGGGUUGUUGUGUUUGGUAUUGCCGGUUAUUUCAUUCCAAAUAGGUACAUGAAGAGAUGACUCCGCUUUUGAGGCCAUAACUCACGUGGAGAUAUGGUAAAAGACUGCAUACCUCUUUCGUGAAUUAUGUUUAGCACUAACACUUUUUGCUUGAAGCAUUGUCGAGAGCAUCCGAGAGGAUGAAAAUCUCAAAUCAAAACCACAGGUGCGGAUGACUUCAAAUAGGACGCAGCACCCGAAUCCAACCCGUUUUCUUUUUCCUCUUUAUGAUCACGCACGUUCCACUCGAAUCCAUACGAGAAGAUGCCGAGAAUCUUCUAGAAACACACUUAGGUGUCUCAUCCAAUGUUCAAAUCCCAAAAUUCUCGGAUAGAGGUUUACGAAUUCGUACAUAGGUGGAGUAUUUUCAUUGGCUUGUGAAGAUUAUUCCCUUUCCACCAAUUUCUAUUGGCCACUUUUUGGAAUUCCGUUCAAGAAAAUCAAAAUAGAGGUAUAGUUCGUUAGGGUCCGGAUCUUUUGAAUUUCAAAAAUGAACCCUUAAUCCCCUUCUAUAAGUAGCUCUCUUUAGAGCAAGAGAAAGGGAUUUUUUUGGGGAUUUUGGAAUUUUUUUUCACUGGCCUCUCCUUUCCUUUAUGGGUUCACCUCUUCUUUCUCUUUGGAGUUCGAAAUUUUAGAGGCAAAGGGGGUUCAAAAGUUUUGGGUUGAAAAUUUGGGGUUAGAGAAAAUCUUCAAAAAUUCAGAAAUACACAAAAAAUAGGGGUUAGAAAGGAGGGGUUCUUAGAGGGAAAAAAUAUUCUCUUACACCUAAGAAACAUACAUUCUUAGGAGGUACAUCUAAACUGUCGAAGCAGUUGUGAGUUUUUCGGUGGUCGGAAUCCUAUCGUCAGCUCGUUAUCCCAUUUUGCCGCCCCGAAAGAGGUAAAUACACCUUUCUUUUUAAUUUUGUUGUGGUUAUCAUUUUCUUCUUCGUGGUUCCACUUUUGUUUGCUGGGAAUGACUGUUGUAGAGGACUAGAAGGCAUAGGAUUUUCGUGUUUGAUAUAUUGUUCUACUAAAAAACUCAUUCUUGCCCGUGUUUGAUUGGCUGUGGUUCAUGCUUGAUCUCUCUCAUUUUAUUCUGUUUGAAUGUUACUAGUUAGCUUUAAUGCUUCGACUUUAGAAACUAUUUUGCUGGUCUCAUAUAAUAUGUUGCUUUGUAGUUCAUAGAGUAGGAGAAUAAAAUCUUUACAUAUUUUCGAAAUUCGAAAAAAUGUUCAAAGAAUAGAUAUUAGGUAGCCUGUUCGCAUAUCUUUUUCGCUCAAACGCAGGAAAUUGUUAUAAAUAAGAACUCGAAUGUUAUUUUCUUCCGACUUGCCACUCUCGAUGUACAAUAGUCUCAUUUGAUUCUAAAGUUUAUUUUAAAAUAUGAGAGUGGACCAUAGGGCUGAAUUAUGUUUUCUUCAUAGCUAAUUCAAUUUGCUGUGAUUGACUCAUGAGAACAAAUUAAAGUUUGACGGGCUAAUGUUUCUUUCCUUUCUUGCUUUUCUUGUUCGCAUAUAAGUUGUGGCAUCUUGUCUCAUGAUUAAAUUACCUAAAAUUGGGUUUAUGUAGUGUUUAAUUCUCACUUGUUUGUUAACCUAGUGGUAACGAAGGCAUUAAGAUUUCAGCCUCGCUUUUCUUGAAGUUUCAGCUAUCGUAUUCCUUGCCUAAAGUGAUUAAGUCUUUAAUUUUGUAUGUUUGGCAUUCUGGAAUUUGAACGUUGUUUGUGAUCCAUCGUUUAUGUAAUAUGAUCCAGGAGUUGUAACUCUUUUUUGUGACAUGCUUAAUUGGGUCCUUUUGGGGCAUUAAAGUGAUAAAUUAUUUUCUUUAUUUCGCUAAAGACCAUAAGAAUUUCUUGUUGAAGCUUUAUUUCCUACUGUAGUUGAAAUUUCUUUAAUUGAUUAUGAACAUUUUCUUCAAACAUUAUAGACUUUUGCUCCGGUGUCAUUUUUACCUGUGUAUGAGUGUAGUUGAAUGAAUCAGGAGUGCUAUAGCUUAUUAAUUGUUAAAAUCUUGGACGUAUGUUAAUUUCUUCAUUCCUUUCUUUGCAUGCACCCCCCUUGGAAUUCAAAUGGGCCCCUUCUCUCUUUGCAUUUCAUAAAUGGGCCAAUGAGGCCUAUCCUUCCGAGUUAAGCCAAAAAGAAAAUCCAAGAAUCCAUCGCAUGGCGUAUGGAUACGAGGAAUUGAAAGAAGAAUGGGUUAAAGUUCCAUCUUUGAAGCGGCAAACGGGACUUGAAAAUCUAGUUAUUUCUUCUUUAUUGAUUUAUUUAUCCAUUGUUUCCAUUAUUUAUUUAUUUACUUAUUUAUAUUUUUGUUUAUUUAGUGACUUAUUUAUUUAUUCAUUUGGGCCUCGAAGCCAAAGUUGUAAAUUUAAAACAGGUGGAGCGAAACUCGAGCCGAAAAGGGCUGGAAAACAUAAAAUUAGGACAGGUGAAAGAUGGGUCAAAAACCCAACUAGAUUAGGACAGGGUCGACGGUUUGGACUUAAAAGCCUAAAUCACUACUUCUACCCUUCCUUUUUUUCUAUUUGCUUACUUGUUUUACGUGUGUUUUGCGAACCUAGUAAAAUCCUUAGUCAAGUCGCUAAAAAACUGGUUUUGCAUAAACACCAAAAUAUUCCUAAAAUUGCUUUUCUUUUCAAAAAAUACACUUUUUCAAAGUUAAUCAAAAGAUGAUUUUCAAACAGUCCGGAUAACCGCAAGUUAGCGGACAUUUUAGGUGCCUAAUACCUUCCUAAAACGUUAAUAGGAACCGCUUAUCUUGAAUCUCUAACUUAAAACGAUUUUUUUGUUUUGAAUCGUUUGCAGUAACUCUCUAAAGGUUUCUUAUUUCCUUUUCAAAAUUAAGUGGCGACUCUCAAAAAGUCAAAAUUUCCACAAAAAAAUAUCAACCACAAUCACAUCCACACAUCUACUACCCCCACCCGAAAGUAGUAGAAGAAUAAGGGUUUGUAGUAAUUCAAGUACCUUAUCCUCUUGACGCUUGCACUUCUUCUCUUUUAGUUCAUUAACAAAUUUGUUAAAUAUUUCAAGCAGCAAGCCCUCACCACCCAUUAUUCUGUAAAAUAAUAACAACAAAGAAAUUCACAUUCAAUGUUACGACAUAAUGAGAAUCAUGAGAUUAUGAAUAAAAAAGUAAAAAUCCAGAGCAUUUCAUUUUAUAGACAAAGAGGCUAGACAAAUUGAAACUAGAGAUUUAGCAGCAUACUUCAUCAGAACCUUGAAACAAUCACAAAUGCCAGAAAUUAAAAAACUAAAACAAUCACAAAUGUCAGAAAUUUAAAAACUAACUGCUAGAGCUAUUAAACGCCCAGUGUUGGAACAACUAAUAAUUGACAUCAACCAAUUUCUUGAGGGAUAAAUUCAACAUUAAAAAUCACUUAGCGAAAUGGUAAUUCAUGCUAAUACUAUAAAGAAAUAGCCUACCUAAAUGUUGAGGAAUAUAAAACAACAAAUCAUUCAACACAGCUAUUAUUCUAAGGUACAUUCUAGAACUAUGUGAAUUACUGAGUUUAGAAUAUUGAAGGAGUUGGUCCUUGAAAAUAAUAUCAAUUAUCAUUCUCCAAUGGUCCUUGCAGUCGUGUUACUAAUUCUAGAUCAAUAAAAGCAAAAGAAGCUACUUGCCUAUCUCCGAAGAGGGGUUUUGCAGUCCUCCCAUUUCGAUGAUGCAGUAAUUUCCUGCAACCACAGCAAACAAAUAGAUUAUGGUUUAAAGGAAAUAUCAUGGGAUCCUAUCCAUUGCAACGUGAGAGAUUGUAAACUGUUUACUAUGCCUUUGAUGCAUGAAGAAGUUCAUAGAACUCAUCUGCUAGACGUUUACACUUUUUAGCUUCUUUUUCUUCUUUCUCCCUGGCCCUUUCCAGUAACUCCCCAAAGACAAACUAUGCAGAUGAAAUAUGCACAUUCAAUACUCAAUGACCCGGCAAGCCCAAACGCAUAGAACAUAAAGUUUAGAAAGGAAGUAUGGAAUAAGAUUCAGUAUCAUCCAGUUAUGCUGUUUAACCAGUUUCGUAGAGUAAAAUUCUUAUCCACCAAAUGUAAAAACAGAAAACUACAAGGCAAAUUGCUUUGAAUUAAGCAACUUAAGAUAUGUGCGGUAGGUGUAAUAUUAAACACCGCCGUCCAGGAAAUAAAAACUAAGGAAAAUGGUACCAAAACUGAAGAAUUGGAUUUAAAAGCUAACACCAAAUAUUUGAUCAAUGUGGUCCUCGUCUUUAUUCUUGAAGGUUUCAGGCUUACUUGCUAAUCGACACACUACUCUUCUAUUAACUCCAUUACAAGAAGAUCCAAAUUCAAUGUGGGAUAGGUUAUGGUUGAUACUAAAGGAAAAUGCCACUAACCACAUUUGACUACCUACGAGUUGCCAAUUUAGCAAUCACAAACUGACCGACUUCCAGUGAAACAUAACAUGGAAGUACUACUUAUGCUUUUGCACUCAAUCCACUCAUCUUAUGCAGGACCUGUCCCAAAGACAAAAAGGGGACAAAUACAUAGAUAUCCAUUUAGUGAAUGGGGUACUUCAAUUUACACAACAUUCAAUUCAACAUGGGUCGAUGUGAAACAAUAUACAGUGCUUAGCCAUAAUUAGACCUUUAAGUUGGUAUCUGACAUUGGUGGAGAGCUAAUAUACUUGGCGAUUGCAACCUUAAAAUUAUCAAGCAUCCAGGCUGAUGUCAAUCCAAUCUGAAAGUAGAGACGGCUCAGCCAAAAUAUUAGGUACUAACCGAAGCACAACAGAGGUUAAAAUGAAGAGUGGUGAUUACCUCGACCAUCCUAACUGCAUCUUUAAUUUGUGACUUGUCAUCAAGAUAUUGAAGCAACAUACAAGUAACACAAAUUCAGAAUGCUUAUCAGUAAAAAAAUAGGAUACCAAAUGGAGCCUUGUCCAUGCAUUUGAGUUACCAUAAAGUCUAUAAAUUACAAGCAGGGUGAUGGGGAUGAAAUUUCUUUCAUGAAUACCAACAUUUCUCCACUUGUUCAAAGUCAUCUACAAUUUCACAAGACACUUGACACAUAAACUUAAUUGCACUGAUCAGGUUAAAUUGAAGGAAAAAUCAAGCACCCCUGUUUGGAUAAUAGAAAAAAAGUGAAUAAAUAAAAAUGGAUAGCAUCUCUGUUAACAGCGUUUUGUUAUAUUUACUUAAUAAUAAUCAUUUAUGCACACAAACAGUAAUACAAACUUUAAAGAUAGAAGUUGACAUCUUUAUCUUACAAGGGAAAAAGAAAAGAUUUUCAGCAUCUGAGUUUAUGUAUAACUCUCACCAUCCCAUAGCAAGAGCCUAACUCAAGAAAACAUUACCAAAUUCAAUCAUUGAAUAAGAGUACGAACAGGAUCAUUACCAUGCUAGGAUACCAGGUAAACUCCCUCUUUCAUCAAGCAAGGAGAUAAGUGCUAAUAACAUUUGAUCAUUCAACUUCAAUUCUUUUCAGAAAGGGCAGAGGAUGAAACAAUAUAUCGUUCAGUUAGUCGCAAGUGUGUAUUACGGCCAAAAAAAUCAUAGUGAGGGAGAUGCAACUUUAUUUAGAGAAACAGAGAUGAUCUUAGGCACUUUUUCCGAGGCUAAUCUUUUCUAAGCCUUUACUUUCAUUACAUCUCAACUACCUUUUCAGAGGCGAAUUCUGGCACUAAGUUUAUUUAGUCCAAUUUAUAUGGUUGACAACACAAUAUAUUUUGAAUUGGGUUUUAAGUUGCACGAUAUCAUCCGAAGUGAAAUCAAAACUGGGGUGUGGUACAAAUGGACAAAACAUGGUCGAAGCUUGACUAGACAAACUACUUUCAGGUGUCAUUUGUUUGCACUUAUUGGAUUUAUGACCCUGUUCAGACCUCAAACCAUUAAGUUUAUUUGUUUUUAUUAGGAUUUUAGCUCUUAAUAGGUCUGAGUAGGUCUUAAUCAUUUGAACCAAGUCUAAAUAUCAUUUACAGAUAUUCUUGUGUAGGAUAAAAUUCAUCACCACUCUAUCCACAAUCACCUGUCACCACCACCAACCACUUCCACCAUCACAACCAACAUCACUACCAACUACACUGCCAGNNNNNNNNNNNNNNNNNNNNNNNNNNNNNNNNNNNNNNNNNNNNNNNNNNNNNNNNNNNNNNNNNNNNNNNNNNNNNNNNNNNNNNNNNNNNNNNNNNNNNNNNNNNNNNNNNNNNNNNNNNNNNNNNNNNNNNNNNNNNNNNNNNNNNNNNNNNNNNNNNNNNNNNNNNNNNNNNNNNNNNNNNNNNNNNNNNNNNNNNNNNNNNNNNNNNNNNNNCGAACCGAUAUACAUAUAUAUUAUAAUUAUUUAUAUGUUUUUCAUAAAUGUCAUCUAAAUAUUUGUUACAUUUUAUAUUUUAAUCAUGAUUUAACUUUAGUCGUAACACAUUCAGUCAUAUGUCUUCAUCUAGUUGACAAUACAUUAUGAGAUUCUAAAUAAAUUUCAUAUUUUGAAUGAUAAAUGAUACUAAUUGUGAAAAUAAUAUCUUGUUAUAUAUUGAAAUUUAUAGCUGAAAUUCAUUAGACUAUACACAAUCACUAAUUUUAACUUUCUACCUUGUUGAGCAAGAAGUUUAUGUGUUCACCUUUUGGGGGUUUAUCAUAUCAUUGUAUUAAAUAUAGUUUUUAAAUAUUUUUUUAAAAGCGUUCAUAUGGUGUUAUCAUGGCUUUGCCGAAGUAUAACACUCAGUUGACAUCAUAGUUUCAAGAUUGAGAUACAACACUCGGUUGACAUCUCAUAUGUUAGAUUGGAUUUGUUUUUUAAAAUUUUCAACUUUUAUCAUUAACUAAGGUUAUAAACCAAAAAACCCUAAGCAGACCGAACUAAACCGACAAGAACCAAACUGAUGGUUAUUUUUUUGUUUGGUUUGGUUUGGUUUUAGAAUUUAAAAACCGAUUAAGUUGGUUUGGUUAUGGUUUUAACCAAUAACCGACCCAUAUCGACCCAUGAACACCCCUACCGCCAACGCCACCACCACCACCUGCUACCGGUCGAUCCCUACUACCAACCAACUCAUCUAUCAUAACUAGCACUACCACUAAUAAACACCAACACAUCAUCAACUUCCACACAUCGCUAAAAACCACUAACACAUCAUCAACUUCCACACAUUCUUCAGACACCAUCACCACCACUGUCACCGGCGUCACCACCUCUACCACCACCAUCUGCUACAUUUGCUACAGUAUUUGUACUAACAACCAUUCCACCAUCACAGCUAACAGUGUCUCCAAUGACCAUCAACACAUCGCCAACCAUCAUGCAUACAGUUUUCCGUCACCACGAUCAACACCUCCAACUACUAACAUUAACCAACUUCACAUCACAACCACCGCCACCACUACCAAUCGUCAAUAUCAUGACAGUUACUACAAUGCCAACUAUCUCUACUAUCACAACUAUCAUCACCAACAUUGCUAAUCACUAACAUCAAUUAAUUUAUUACAACCAACACCACCAUUACAAGCCAUCUCCACUAUCACUAACAAACAUAAAUGUUUCUUUUUUUAAUCAAAUAAUAAUUUAAUUGCAUUAAAUUAAAAAAAUUUCUAAUAUAUAAUUAUAUUAUAUUUAGAAAUAAACAAAUUUUGCACAUUCAGAUAUUGAGAAACACCCAACCUUCAUCAUUUAUUUUUCAGAUCUAGAGACUAUCUUAACCAUUCAGAUGUUCAUUCAAAAUGAUUCAAAUGUCUGAAUAUUAAUAGAAACAAAUGCAGUCUUAGCUGAAACACAAUGGUGUGGUUGUGUGAUACUUUAAAGGAGUCCUCAAAAGUCAAAGAAACUACAUGAAAACAUGGAAGUUUGAUGAUCACUUCUCAAAGUUGUUCUGCUCGAGAAACUAUAACAAUUAAGGUAAUAUUAACCAUUAACAACAUUCAACGGAGAAGAAGUCAAUUACAAUUGUCCGUGAAGUAGCAUUUAAUACAGCUUGGCUAGAUUGAAAGAAUCAUCUAUAUCUAUACUACAUUAAAAGCAUGGAACCCCUAACUUAAAAGUUUACGACACUACCAUUCCUAUCAGCCUAAAUACCUACUAUCCAGUAAAUAAAAAAAAAGAGGAAACUAAUUGGCAUAAAGAGAAACAACACAGAUGUUUAAUAGGAACAAACAGUCAUUGUUCUUAUCUCAACAAAAUAUGUGUUAUUUAAAAAAAAAAAAAAAAGCAAGCAGAGGGGUAACUCUCAAAUCUCAAUCUCAGGCUUUUAUCCUACCAAGUAUGUUCUAUUCUGUAAUGUACUACAACAAUAACAACAACAAACCCAGUCUAUUCCCACAUAGUAAUGUACUAACUUCCUUUUUUACCUAAUGAAUUGAACUUUUUAGUGAGGAUCUAAAUGAUUUUCGGACUUUGUUUAACAUCUGAUUCGUUAAGAUGUAUUAACAGGUUGAAUAUUUAAAAAAAAAAACACUUAAUGGCCUGAUAUCUUAACCAUUCAGAUUCAGACCUUCAUUAAGUGAAAACAAAUGAAAAGGGAUUGUAGUGUAAAGUCUAUAAAUAUGGCUUAGUGUAACAAAUGUAGUUGACACAAUUCAAUACUCCUAUUAGCAACCUAUUUCACCUGUUUCUCAGCUCAUCCAUAACAUCUGUAAGUAAGUCUUUUGCUGUUGAUCUGAAGUAUUUGAUGAGACAGCCAGAUAUGCAGCAAAAUCUUUAAUCUGCAAGCACAAAAUAAAGAAGGAAAUUAUUGGAUGAGAAAUUCAAAAAGACGAAAAGGGAACUCAUGAAGGUAAUCACUCUCACUGAACACAAGAAAGAAAAACUAACUUUGAUGCAAUAAUCACGCCAGUUAGUUUUUGCAUUACAUAUUCCCGCAGCAACAUGCUCUUCCAUCAGUUUUCGGAACUCAUCACGAUUUUUACGUUCAGCUUUCCUCAAUUCUUCCUAUUUGAAUCAACGGUGUAUGCAAAGAGAUAAAUCAAAGUCUCCAAACAUAAAUUUAAUUUUAACCCCGAGUCUAAUAAGAAAUAUACCAUCCGCAGUUUCCUUUGCUCCUCCUCUUCUCUCUGUAAAUCACGUAUAUAUUCCUAAUACAGAAAAGGUUGCAACAUAACUUUAAAACUGAGGCGUACAAAUGAGAUGUUAGGAAAAAGUUAUUUAUGAUGUAUUAGAAAAAUGAGUAGUACCUGGAAAAUCUCCAAGCAAUCGAUUUUCUCAAGGCGGGAGCAUCUUUCAUCAGUUUCCAAGAGGUCCUGAACUUUCCGCCACUGGCCUGAACAAAAGAAGUCAGCAACAAUGGAACUAUGGAAGUUCUAUCUCCUGGAAAUAGAAAAACAUAAUCUAGGAACUGAUGCUAAUUCCAAUAGAACAAAUACCUUAAUAGUCACAGGAUUUUAAAAAUUCUAAGUACUCCACUCUAUUGUCCUUCUGCUCCUCCAAUGCCUUCGCAUGCUCCUAAUAAAAUCCAGUAGAAAGUAAAAAAAAUAAAAUUUCUGUAUAAAGAAGACAAUAUUUUCAAAGAGACUUUAACUACACUUGCAUGAAAGUAUUAAAAAACUUUUUCUAUUUUACGAUGGAGGGGGGAGAGGAAGAAGCAUAUCAUAGUUUCAAGUUUCAAGAAAAAUUACAUACAAUACAUGGAAGUCUGUUUAAAUUGGAAUUCAAUGGUGAACAAAUUUAAAUGUUGUACCCUUGAGUAGCCAUUAAAAAUGAAUUCAAAGAACACAAGAUUUUAAGUUGAAUAUCUACAACAUUCCUUCUUUCUACUCUUUAAGCAAAACAAAAAAAGGGAACAAACUAAAAGACAUCCUGCAAAGGAAAGGAAUGGAAUGACUGUUGUUAAUCAAGUGGACCAGCGCCUAACUCAACUUCGAAAGCUAGGUCAGGUGGUGAAGAUUGUCCAAGAUCAUAUAAGGAAACUACAACACAUACACCUUACCAGUGUGGGAUUCUCAUACAUUAAUCACACACCAAGACUGGACAUAUGAAGCAUCAGUUAACCUACGUUGGCUAACAUCUAAUAGUCUAACAUCAAGAUAGAUCUGCCUCUAAUACCAUGUUUAAGAAAUUGUACCUUGUUUCUAUCUCAAAUGAAAGGCUAACUCAAUUUGUGAGGAGCCAAAGACCAUAUAAGGAAACUACGGUCUGCACACUUAGUUUUUAACAUAUAGAAGCUUACAAGAAAGUUCAACAAAAGGAGCUUCACCUUUUUCUCAAGUUCCUCCACAUAAUCUUCAAAAAGGUCCUCACGGUCUUUAGCUUGCUCAACAGCUUUAAAACGUUCAUCAUGUUCAAAUAUGGAGAUUGCCUUACUGAAUAAUCAAUAGCAAGUAGUUAGUGGAUCAAAUGGAACUUACACAAGUAAUGGAUCAACUUCAAGGUACCAAAACACAUACAAACAAUGACCAAGAUUAGAAAACAAGNNNNNNNNNNNNNNNNNNNNNNNNNNNNNNNNNNNNNNNNNNNNNNNNNNNNNNNNNNNNNNNNNNNNNNNNNNNNNNNNNNNNNNNNNNNNNNNNNNNNNNNNNNNNNNNNNNNNNNNNNNNNNNNNNNNNNNNNNNNNNNNNNNNNNNNNNCACACAACUUCAAAAUGAUCACUAUAUCUUUUUGCAAUACGGUAGCAAUUAACCCAUUCCAGAUAUUUGUUAUGCAACCAAAAAAAAAGGGGGGGGGAUCGGAGGUAGUGGGUCGGAGAUUUUGAGAGUUGUAUGAACAUUUCAACUUAAGAGUGAGGUUGAAAGAGAGUUUUGGAAAAUGUUUUCCUUACUUUUUGAAGGGAAGUCAUUUUCCAUAGAUUUAAGGAAAAUAAGUUGAUUUGGAAUACAUUUUCCAAAAUAUUUACGCCAACCAAACAUGAAACAAUUAGAAAAUGUUUUCCUUCAUAUCAAAACACACUCUCUAUCUUUUUGCAAUAUGCUAUGCUGAAACAUUGAAGCAGCAAUUAACCCAUUCCAGAUAUUUGUUAUGCAACCCAAAAAAAUAAAAUGGGGGGUGGGGGGGUGGGGUGCCUACAAUCAUCAUUGAAUGCCGACUUGGAGAGAUACCUCAUUAAAAGCUUGCUUCCGCUCACCAAGGGAUUUUAGAGCACCAUAUAUCCAGUCAUUAAUUACUGCUCUCAUGGCCUGACAAAUACACUUCAUGUCAAAUGGUCUCCCUCAAUUGUUUGGUGCGCACAAAACAAUCAAGUAAUAAACCUGAUCCCACGUACAAUCAGACCCAAUAUUUGCAGAUUCCAAAAGAGUUUUGAAUGCAUUCUUUGCCUCCUAAGUAAAAUCAGAUACUUAAAAUAGGAGUAAGAGAAAUUUCAAGUACAUUAAAUGGGACAAAAAAGCAAUUAUACCGCUUUGCUCUCACAAACUAAUGGUCCCAGCUCCACUGUUUUCUCAUCUGAUGGAGUAGCACCUCCGAUUUCAGUUAUUGCAGCAUCUUUCUUGACAUCCUGCAUUUAAGGCACAAAGGACAAAAGCGAACCUCAUUAGAGCAUAUUCUUCACCUGUUAGCAGUUGACUAACAACUGCACUACAAAAUUGUUGGAUCAACAUCCAGCAUAACAGCUACGAAAAGCUUUGUUGGUGUUUUAACAAGUAACCACUAAUAAUUAACUAAUCGCAUAAGUAUUUCAGAAGGACAAAGUACCUCUCUAUUCUCCGGAGAAAAUCCAUCACCAUACACUACUGCAUCUUGAGCUGAAGUAGUCUCAGAACUAUAGAAAAAUUGAAUUCCAAAUAAGAAGCAAAACAACCAAAGGCAAAUUGAUAACAUAUAAAUCUGAAAACAUACACUGGUGGCGCGACAGAAUUUCCCAAGGUUACUGCUAUUCCAAUUUUGUCCGAAUUAGCAACAGCUGGCGAAGAACGUUCUGAAGAAUUCUUCAUUUGGACUGUUUCAAUCAUCAUCAAAGAAACCUUACCAGAUAAACUUGAUGAUUCUGAAGCCAAAAUAGUUGGUAAGUUAGCAGCUGGUGACACAACAAUUAGGCUUGAUUUAGCACCGUGUGCUGAGAUUAAUGAACCAUCUGCUCCCGGGGAUGAUGUUUUAACAACAGGAAUGGAUCCAAAAUCAGAAGCGUGCGAAAUGAUGUCCUUUUCACGAGCCAACUGUGAAUUUAUAAAUAAUUAGACUUUAUGAGAAAUAGAGUAUCCAAGAAAACAGAAUAUUGCCCCUUCAUAUUAUGCUAGCAACUGUGAACGCAUAAAUAAUUAGAUUUUAUGAGAAAUAGAGCAUCCAAGAAAACAGAAUACUGUCCUUCUUAUCAUGCUAUUUAAAGCACAGAACAAUCCCUUCUUAUCAUGCUAUUUAAAGCACGGAACAAACCCAUAUUGGAUUUAAAUCUAACAUCACCUUGACUUCAUCAGGCCUUCUCCAUUUGGACGUUCUAGUAACCUUGUUGUAGUAAUACCUACAGAAAACAAACAAAGCAAUCAGCAUUAUGCACAAGUAACACACAAAAGUACUCACUGUAGAAGAACAUUUGGAAAGAGGCCAAGAAAAUAUAUAAGUUACACACUUUCUUCCCUCAGGACUUGUAAAUUCUCUCCACUCAGUUGAUGCGUCUGCCUCUGUCCCAAUGAAAACAGCAUGAAAGCAGGUCAAGUCAAAAAACUGAACAUAAACAGUACCCUGAGAGUAGAAAUCAGUAACUUCCAGCAGUACAAUACUGGAUGGAAGUGUUCGAAUAUGAAUGAUAUAAUGUCCCACAUGAAAAAGGACUAGUAUGUACUGUGUAGAAUAUAACUACAAGCAGGGUGGGAAUAUUGCCAAGCUGCGGCCGAGCUACAGCCAUCCAAGGGUGAUCAACCGAAUACCAUUUGCCGGAUAAUCGCAUUUUGUAUAUAUAUAUAGGUCAAAUUCUGUUGUUUCUGAGUAUUUAUUAAUGUUGAACACCCUUGCCACAAAAACAAGACCGAGUGUGACAGUAAGGGUGUUCAAAUCCUGCACUGAGGUUCUAAGUUCCAUACUCAACACAGUCCCCCCCCCACCCCCACCCACAUAAUUUUGUUUCAUUCGGACACUUUUGAAACUCAUAAACUACAGUUAUGCUUUUUUUCGAUGAAUCAAUUUCUGAACAUGUGUUUUUUCUCCCAAUUAGCUCUUGCAAAAGAACUAGCAACUACAUGCCAUGUAUAAGAAUUUUGUUAAAAUAAUCUUGAAUGGUUAGUUAGUUUUAAUUAAUCUUAGAAUUGUUAUAUAUUUGUCAAGUUUCUAAGAAGUGAAAGUGAGGAUUGAUACUCGAGAAUCCCAAAAGAUGGAAUUUCAAGUAUCUUGGGUCUAUAAUCCAAGGAAAUGGUGAGAUGGAUAAUUAAUACAUUGUAUUGAGCGGAGUGGAUGAAACGAGGCUCAUAUGCAAUGUCUUGUGGUAUAAGAAUGUACCACCAAGACUUAAAAGUAAGUUUUAUAAAGUGGUUGUUAGACUAGUUAUCUUGCAUGGGGCAGAGUGUUUGGCUGGUCAAGAGCUCGCAUGUUUGAAAGACAAAUAUAGCAGAAAUGAGGAUGUUGAGAUUGAUGUGUAGACAUACUAGGAGAGAUAGAAUAAGGAAUAAAGAUAUGCAAGAAAAAGUGGUAGUUCUCUCUGUAGUGGUCAAUUGACAAGAAGACGAGGGUUGGGGAUAAAGAACCUAAACAUUCAACGUAAGGAUCUCGUGAUGAAAUGGUUGAGGAAAUAUGCAAACAAUAACCUGCUGCUAUGGAGGAAAGUGAUUGGGGCUAAAUAUACCGAAGAAGAUUGAUGGAUGACUAAAGAGGUGACCACACCAUACAGGGUUAGCCUCUGGAGGUCUAUCAAAUCUAUUAGACAACGGUGGAAUGAAGUUAAAAGCAACUCAAAGGUUAAAGUGAUGCAUGGAAACAAGACUAGGUUCUGGAAGGAUAACUGGCAUGACGAUGGGAAUAUGGAAGUGCGUUUUCCAUAACUUGGUAUUAUUUCAACAGAGGACUAUAGCAGAAUUAUGGACACCACAUGGGUGGAGCUUCAAUUUCAGAAGGAAACUUAAUGAACUGUUACCCAUCGAUUUCUAUAUUGUAAGUACACUCAAAAACUUUGGAGAAUCUUCUUAAGACUAAAAGGAAUUUCCAAGACAAUGCCUAGGAAAGUAUCUGAGACUUUAAUGUGCUGGGAGAAGCAGGUGUACAUGCGAAGGACGGAGGUAGAAGGAGAAUUAUCCUUGGUGCUAUAUGGUGGGCUAUAGGGAAAGAAAGGAAUUCUAGAUGUUUUGAGAGCAUAGAGAAUAGUGUGCAGAAGGUUAAACUCAACUGCAUUUUGCUUUUAUGUUUUUGGUGUAAUCAACUAUAAUGAUAUUGUCUCGAUAAUUGAUGUUCUAGACUCAAUUUUGAUAAAGUCAUAUAGAACAGUUGAUUUAGGAGUAUUGUAUAUAAAGGUUUCAGUACAACCCAUGUACUAUGUGAUAUAAUACAAAGUUACCAAAUUCCAAAAAAAAAAAAAGAUAAUAAUUUUUCAAGUACUACAAGUUUAUAAAAUAACAAAUAAAACAAUUAAAUCUUAGUUCGAAUUGGGCGGGUUGGGUUAUGACCUGCAUUUUAGCGCAUUUCAACCCAACCCAUUUCAGCCCAAGUAAUAACCCGCCCAUUUAUUAACUCAGACCUUUUUGACCCGCCCAAAUUCAACCCAACCCCGCCCAUUUGACACGUCUAGUUUAAUAGAAGUAAAGUGGACCAUGCCGGAACACAUACCAGACCUAUUGAGCUGAAGUAAAGUGGACUAUAAAAGGACACACAACAAUAUGUUGAGCUGUUGGAUUAGAGGGGAUUAGCAAGAGUUAGAAGAAAUGGUGGAGAACAAUUCUUCCUUGUAUUUGGUGGACUAUAUAGAGAGAGAAAAGUUGAAGGUGUUUCGAAGAUAAAUAUAAUUCCAUUCAGAAAGUUAAAUGGAAUAGCAUUGUAGAUUUUUGUUUUUUGUGUAAGGGCCAAUGUGUACGGGAUGCAUAAUAGGUAGUAGAUCUCUUUGAAUCCUCGCAUUAUUUUCAUUAUUUUUCAUUUCUUUUGGACUGUUGCAUAGCCUUAACGCUGACGAAUACAAAGUAAUCAUCUUCGGGAAAAAAAAACUGUUUAUCCCAAAAAGAAAAGAAUAAUAAUGUUCAAACUUCCUUACAACUCCAAUUGUUGGUCCCUUAAUACUUGUCCCUCACAACCAGCCAACCUUUCUUUGAUAAUCGUCGUGUUUGGGCCAGCGUACUGCUACCUCCCACCAGCACAGAUACAGGGUAAGUCUAUCCAUCAAGGCUUGGACAGGCGGUAAGAAAUCACCUAGUGGUGACCUCUCUGCUGGAAAUUAAACCUGAGACCUCAUGGUUCUCAAUCUACUUCAUGGACCGCUAGGUCACACUCUUGGGUGCAAGUGUGGAACCAGUCAAACUAUUAUUCUGUAACCCAGAAUAAGAAGUGUGAACCACAAUCCUAUAUCAAGUUGCCUCUCUCCAUAUCGCCAUAGAGUUACAAUAAUAUUACAUUAAUCAGAGAGUAAAAAAUGUAUAAAAUAGACCAAAUAUAAUCCGGCCGUGUAUGCUUAAACACAUUUUUUAGAACAAUAGUGUUAAAUAUAAAAUAUUUUAGAACUAUAUUGGAAAUAAAAGGUCAAUGCAAAUCCCAAAUGAAGCCUACAUAGUAUAGUAAGAUUGAGGAGAUCUGCUCGCUAAACAAACUUUCAACAGAAAUCACAUAUGCUUAGGAAAUAAAAAGUGGUUCUACGAAGCUUCAUAGAAAAGAAUGGUGUACAUCUUUUUUCAUUGAUAAGUACAAGAAGCUGGAUAAAACUACCCAUAAAAAUCUCAAUGACAAGAGACCUCACCUCCAUUUCUGUCAUCAGCUCUUGAGGUUUCUCCCAGGUAGAGAUUCUUGUCCUUCUAUUAUAAUAGUAUCUAAAAAUCAAUUCAAGAAUUGUAAGAAUGUUAUUAAUUGGUUGAAGUAAUAGAGCCAUAGGAAAUAUGACACAUUAGCAACCAUAAUUGGCCUAAUGAUCAUCAAAAGAUGCUGAAAAUAACAAUUACUACUAGCAUUUAGCCACAUGUAAAAUAUGUAUGAUGAUAGAGAAAUGGGAUCAAAAUGAAGUUAUCGGUAGAGGUGUAUCAAGUUCUGUGGAUCAACAGUCAGGUAGAAUUUGGUAGCAGUGAACGGUAGCCCAUGUGAUAACUUUGGCAAAGAGGACUGAAACAAAGGGGCCUAUUAUCUCCAGUGCUAAUGGAAGCAGAAUGAUGUACAAAGUACUAGAUGUGGAUGCUUGAGGGACUUCUUGGCAGUGAUGGGGGCCAACAUACCCACCACUUGUUCAUANNNNNNNNNNNNNNNNNNNNNNNNNNNNNNNNNNNNNNNNNNNNNNNNNNNNNNNNNNNNNNNNNNNNNNNNNNNNNNNNNNNNNNNNNNNNNNNNNNNNNNNNNNNNNNNNNNNNNNNNNNNNNNNNNNNUAAGUGUUUGUGAUGCAGACAUUAACCUAUUCAUAUGAGUAAUCUAUGUGAAUAUAAUCCAAAAGCAAGAAUUCCGGAAAGCCAAAUUGGCAUGCUCUUUUUUCUGUCUAGAGAACACAAAGUGGUAAAAAGAUUGGAUCUGAAUGAAAAUGAUAUUUUUGCAGAGCUCCUUUUCUUGUAUACCACGGUUUUACACCUUUUUUGUUCACUAGAAUCUUAAUUUGCUUACAAAAAACUGCAUUAUCAUAGAAUUCAAAUGUUGACUCUCUCAAUCAACACACACCCAUUAACCCAUUAAUUUAAGCAUGUUACUUGUUGACAAGUCAAAAAGGGGAAUCACAUACUUUUUCCCCUUCCGAGAAGUAUGCUCAAUCCAAUCUGACUGAAUAGUCUCAACAGGGUCAAAUACGUAAUUUACUUCCUGAAACCCAAAAAAUAAAGAACCCAUCACCUUCAACCUAAAAUCCUAUUUCAGAUGUCAGCAAUAUUUAUGCAAAAUGGGUACAAUAAAACACAUUGAAUUCUCACCGGAACAACCAAGGGAGCUGCUAAUUCUACAUAGUUCUCGCAGAAUUCACAUUAUGAUUACUUAUUGGCAUCCAGGGAUGUACCCCCUGAUGGAAACCUAUGAUCAUUUAUCUGUGUCUCUGAUACUGGGAGGCAGAAGAAUCUGCAUUUACCUGCUGUUAAAGACGAUAACAAAAUGUAUUUCAUCAAUAUAUGAAUGGAACAUCGGAAACUGAUUGACAAUAACCACAAAAGAUCUUCCCAAGGCCUUACAUUAUAUGAAGAAAGAGGGAAAUUCGGGCCACCAGAACCAGGCAUGUGGUUAUUUNNNNNNNNNNNNNNNNNNNNNNNNNNNNNNNNNNNNNNNNNNNNNNNNNNNNNNNNNNNNNNNNNNNNNNNNNNNNNNNNNNNNNNNNNNNNNNNNNNNNNNNNNNNNNNNNNNNNNNNNNNNNNNNNNNUUCAAAAGUCAUUUGUCCCUCCCCCAAGCCUCCACAACUUUACCUGCAGUGACAUGGAUGGAAUAGCACCAAGAGCAGGACAAGCCAGAGGAGGUAUAGGAGGCCUCUCAACCAAUAUCCAUGCAAGGAAGAACAGAUGAAAUCAGAAUAUAGAUACUUUUCAAUCAUAUUUAUUUAAUUUUCCAAUCAAUGUUGAAACCUUGUAUCCAUGCGCAACUCCCUAAAUUAAUUUGAAGGACAAGGCAAGAAUUUUGAAGCCAAACCACAUAGUAACAUGAAAACCUUUUCUUCAUCUAAUAAAUAGAAAGCUUGAAACGAGAAUAAAGAGAGAUAGGAAAUAGAUGACCUAUCACAGCGUUAGACGAGAAUGAUAAGCAUCUUUACCUUAUGGCUUGGGUUCAAUAACUACUGAUGGCCUAAGUAUCUUUUCUUUGGGUGUAAAGAAGCACGUCUGUUAAUGCAAAAUUUUUGUCAAACUAGACAAAACCACAAAAUAUAUUAGUGAGACUUCGGCAAAGUUAGUUAAUAUGCGACUCGAUAUAAGUUAUUGAGUUGGAGUUGUUAUUCUCCAAAAAAAAAAAAAGGUAUAUAUAUAUAUAUACGAAACUAAAUUGAAAAAAGGUAUUAGGAAGUUGAAGUGUGUUUAAAAAUACAUAAUUGAAGUUUUGUCAAUGAAUCUUAACAUGAGACUCCUAAAACUUGGUUUUCAAUUUGAGAUUCAAUUUGAUAAACAAACACUUGAAAUAAAAACAUUUUUUCAAAAUUAAGAAACAAAAGCUAUGGAGAAUAAGCUACUCAGAAUACAUGAAAUCAUCCACCUCAAUCUUGUCUAAACUUAGAAGUUGCAUCUUCUUCUGCACUAAAAAGGGAUGGAACUGGAAAGCAUCAUCAGAUGGAAGAAGAAAUGAAAAUAAAACAAUGGGAAAGUGAUGCAAAAUGAGAAAAAAGGGACAAGCAUCCAAGGACUGGAAUGGGAACCACUGUCACUAUCUCAUAAGUUUAACCAAAGUUGAUAGGCUCUGAAGGUGAGUGCCAUAACUAUCCUCUCCCACGAAACGAUUUUGGAUAACCUACUCAUCAUACUCUCUCUUUAGAGCGGUCAACAAGACUCCAACCAAGUAACAUUUUUGUCUAGCCAUUUAAGGACAAAAAAACAUGCAUCACCCACUUACUCUUAACAAGGACUCUUUUCAGUAUUUUCCGAAACACAGCAAUCAGGAAUAGAGAAUAUAUAUCAAAGAAAGGUCUAACUGUUGGAAUCAUCUUUUCCAUUGCUAUUUGAUACAUUUCGGUCAUUAACAUUAGUGAAUUAGGUGAAAGUGCGGAAAGAGAGGGAUUCGAACCCUCGGUAAACAAAAUCCUAAUAGCAAUUCCAAUGCUACGCCUUAAACCACUUGGCCAUCUCUCCUCCAUAAUGAUUAUGACCCAAAAACUGAGUGAAUAGCGAGUUAGUCAGAAACAAUUAUUGAUUGUAAAGUAUGACCAAUCCAUUCUAACUAGAAAAAUCCUAAAGUUGGCCACGAAAUAUUUAAACUACUAUCAAAUUCAGAAAAAGUAAAGCAACAUAAUAUAAGUUUUUUUUUUCAUUUCUUGAACAUCAUAGGAAACUUAUUACAAGGUUCUAGAACACGCUAUUGAAUCCCUUUACGAACAAUAUCAAAAAGUAAAGUCCAGAGGUCUUGAAUUCAGGCCGUGAGUAUGGAUGCGAAUUCGAAUUUGUGGAGUUCCAAUAUGGGUAUCGAAUACCGGAUGAAAAAUCAAAAUAAAUAAAUAAUGUUAUAAGGAUGAAAUUUUCUUAGUACUAAUGAAUAGUCUUUGUCACUAAUAUAAAUAACAUAGUUUGAUUAGAAAAGGACUUAACCAGAGAUCACAUGGUACAUGAUGUAGACAUGUUUGGUUCUCAUUUCUUAGCUCUAAAGUAGUAGACCAUAUCCAUUCCUACACCAAUAAAUCUCUAGACUAUAUUGUAAUCUCUAAUAUACUCCAUAGCACUUGAUUGAGAUGAGUUUAGAUGACCGCGGUGUGAAACGUGAGAAUUCAUAAUGCUGACGUCGAGAGUUGAUUGUUCACAUCAUCAAUCAACUAUCGAUAAUUAUCUUAGAAAGUCACCGUUCUUUGUUUUAUGACAGAACAACCGCUCAUUAUUGUCAUUUCACGUAUAAAAUAAUUCAACCAACUCAAGUUAUAUUUUAGGUAGAUAUUGAUGGUGUGGAACUCUUUUCAAACCAAACUUUUAAAAAUGAAUAGCUUCAAAAACGAAUUUGAUCAUGCUACGAAAAUUGUACCAACUGGUACCAGUGCAAGAGGUAUUUGAUACGACUGCUCCUUUGCGGACAAGCAUGUGGAGAAAAUCUAUUUGAUACGACUGCUCCUCUCACCAGUUUUCGUACAGGCUCCCGCGGAGAAAGGUGUUGCAGCUUUUGCAACUGAUUUCCUCAUGGGUGGUGUUUCUGCUGUUUUCUCAAAGACUGCUUCUGCUCCUAUCGAGCGUGUGAAGCUUUUGAUACAAAACCAAGACGAGAUGAUUAAGACUGGUAGUCUCUCAGAACCAUACAAGGGAACUUUGAACAUUCCUUGAACUUUGCAUUUAAUUUCAAGAGACUUUUCAACUUCGAUACAAGUCAAAUGACCACCUUAAUUUUUGAAGACAUGAUUGGAGGUUAACAUUUAAAGGCUCAAGACUUGGUCACCCCGAGGGCACAAUAAUAUGCAAGGAAGACCCGUUUUGAGCACAAGCAAGGCUGUGUGUGGAAGAUUGCUUGGAGCAUCGAAGACUUGAGGACUCACGGUUUUUGACAACACUUAAUGGGUCAUGAUUUGGUCAUCUUCAUUAAGGGUAUUUUGGUCACUUCAUUGGGUCCAAAUGCACUCCAUGGCCACCCCACCCUUUAAGGGCAUUGUUGUCAUUUUUCCUUGUCUUGUAAUAGAAUAUAAAUAGAAUAUUUUAGGUCUUUUUAUCAUUAGUUGUUUAUUGAUGGAAGACAAACUUUCUCUCUAGUGUGAGGAGUGUAACACCCCUUAGUUGUAGGGCUUGGAAAAGCCACCAAUACGUAACUAGGGCUGCCCAAGUGUGGAUAUCACUUGUGUUGCAUCGUUGGCUUGAUACGUUGGUGAUUAGGGAGGUAAAGUCCCUCUUUUGUCAGCGUAAGAGUUUGGUGUUAACAUUCAUUAAUCUUAGGGUCCUUACAUGUNNNNNNNNNNNNNNNNNNNNNNNNNNNNNNNNNNNNNNNNNNNNNNNNNNNNNNNNNNNNNNNNNNNNNNNNNNNNNNNNNNNNNNNNNNNNNNNNNNNNNNNNNNNNNNNNNNNNNNNNNNNNNNNNNNNNNNNNNNNNNNNNNNNNNNNNNNNNNNNNNNNNNNNNNNNNNNNNNNNNNNNNNNNNNNNNNNNNNNNNNNNNNNNNNNNNNNNNNNNNNNNNNNNNNNNNNNNNNNNNNNNNNNNNNNNNNNNNNNNNNNNNNNNNNNNNNNNNNNNNNNNNNNNNNNNNNNNNNNNNNNNNNNNNNNNNNNNNNNNNNNNNNNNNNNNNNNNNNNNNNNNNNNNNNNNNNNNNNNNNNNNNNNNNNNNNNNNNNNNNNNNNNNNNNNNNNNNNNNNNNNNNNNNNNNNNNNNNNNNNNNNNNNNNNNNNNNNNNNNNNNNNNNNNNNNNNNNNNNNNNNNNNNNNNNNNNNNNNNNNNNNNNNNNNNNNNNNNNNNNNNNUUUUGUUUGUUUAGAGUGUUUUUAGUGUUGGUUUCUUUCUCAUCAACACUAAAAAGUGUCCAAAUCUAAGAUUGAACUUGAACUUGUUGAAGUUGUUGAUGUGAACAAGGUGUGGCCGAGUUGGAUGUUGUUGUUACCUAAACCUUGGCCAAUUUGAUGGUCUUGUUGUAGUGUAUUUGGAAACUGAAAUUGUUGUUGUUCUUGGACUUUUUGUGUUCUUGUUGUUCUUCACCCUUUUCAUCUUUUGUUAAAACAAAAAGUGAACAUUAGAUGCACAAAAGGUGAAAGACCAAGUUGUAGUACUUGUUGGUGAAAGACUUGAUCACAUCACUCAAAAGACUUGACAACCACUUUUCACCUACUUUCCUUGACUUAAGGACCUUGUUUCAAGGAGAAAGUACCAAGAAGGUCAAGUCUCGUUUUGAACUUGAAAAUGAAGCUCCAAGACCAAAUUUCCCUCCAUUAACCAAAUCCACUAUUUCCAAAUUGUAGAUUGGUCAAGACUUGAAAUUGGUGAGUAAAAUUUUGAUAAAACCGAGGCCAAUAGUGGACUGACACAUCACUAAAUUAUUGUUCACACAAUAUUUUGAGUUCAACUUUUAGAUUUCUUAGUUUCAUUUUAUUGUUUCUUAGUUUCGUUUGUUGGUUUGAACACUAAUAGACGACCUAGUAAUCUCUUACUAGAUUGUUAGUUAGUUUUUGUGCCUGUUUGUUCGUGUUAGCGUUAUUUUGUGCUUUUAUUGUUUUUGAAUCAUAGAAUUUCUUGGUUCAAGUUCUGACAUUAUUUCCUUGAGUCUUGAAACAAAGAAUCCAUUCUGACCAAGGAGUAGACUCACCCCUCGACUCAUCACGAACUACAAGCCGACUUGCAACACUUGUGAAUCCAAGUGUGAAACGAUGAAGUGUGUGAGAGUGUGGUGAGGUUGUUUCGAACUAACUUGCAUUUUAUUUUGUAGACUUUUUCCUUUUUUUUUUUUUAAGGUGCAAUUACGAUGGAACCCGCGGCUGCAAGUGCUAUUUUGGCUAAACUUGAAGCCAUUACCCGUCAAUGGGAAGUGAUAAAUGAAAGGUUGGAUCAUAUGGGAGUUCCAAGGGAGCAAGUGGGCUACCCAGACACACGUCAAGAUGAAGACUGUAGCUCAUAUGGGCUACGAGGUAAAAAUGUUAUCCCCUACACUUAUAUGAAUGUAGUUGCGGUUUUACCUAGUGUAGGAGUGCAUGAGUCUUCAUUUUGUGAUACUCUUGAUAUUGUUAGGUCAUAUGAAGACCAAACUCUUGUUGUAGGUACACAAGCACUAGUUGAUCCUUUAGAUGACGAAAUUGAUUCUCCUCGUGAGCAUGAUUUGUGUCCAUCUGGUUCUAGCACUUACAACUUGACUAAGGUUCCAUUACUAAGUGAUGAGAGCAUUAACACACUAGUUGACCCUUAUGAGAAACAAGGUGAGUCUACGUUGGUAUGUGAAUUACCAGCAACUAGUGAGGGUGAGCAAAAUGAUCAACCGGGCAUAGAUGAUCUUGAUUUGCUUGAAUAUUUAGAAAACCCGAGUUGUGAUUGUCUUUGUGAAGAUGAUUUUGAUUGUGGUCCUUUGGCUUCCCGAGAUGGUUUGUAUGUAUGUGAGGACAACUCUUGUGAAAGAGAAGGUGAUAUGUGCUUAGAAAUGCCAUCUACUUCGUCUUUAUGUGUUUCUUAUGUUGGGCAUAUUCCUAUUGGAAAUUUUGAAACUAGUAGUAAGUGCAUGCAUGGUAACCCUUUAUUUGAAGUUGACUUAUAGAACACUUUUCUCAACUCUCUUUUAGUUCAUGAUAUUUUCAAUAGUGAUAAAGAGGGCUUGCUUAAUUUCGAGAAAGACACCCUAUGGUAAAGUGAGUGAAAGUGAGAGUGGCCGAGACCUAAGCCCUUGGUUACGUCUCCCAUUCGAUCCCGGUAACUUCUUAGGGUGUUAAGGAUGGAUAGUUCUUGGUCGGUCCACUUGUUUGAGUGAUACUGUUAUAUGUGUUAGGUGGACUUUACUUUCAAUUAGGAUGCCACCCCUUGAUGGUGAUUCCUUUCGCCAACUCCUUUGUAAUUUUUUUUCUAAGUCCCUCGUGAUUAUAACAAAGGACGUGUGGUUAUAUCUCAAGUGUGUACCUCCUUGGGAUGUUGAUGUUGUUUAUUGUACUAACUCUAACCCUCAUGUCAUGAGGAUGUGGUGCUUGUUUGUCUUCUCUUUGUUCUUGCAAGGUUUGGAUUCGAGGUCGAAUCCUUUUCAAGAAGGGAAGGAUGAUACAAGUCAAAUGGCCACCUUAAUUUUUGAAGACAUGAUUGGAGGUUAUCAUUUAAAGGCUCAAGACUUGGUCACCCCGAGGGAACAAUAAUAUGCAAGGAAGACCCAUUUGGAGCACAAGCAAGGCCGUGUGUGGAAGAUUUCUCGGAGCAUCGAAGACUUGACGACUCACGGUUUUGGACAACACUUAAUGAGUCAUGAUUUGGUCAUCUUCAUUAAGGGUAUUUUGGUCACUUCAUUGGGUCCAAAUGCACUCCAUGGACACCCCACCCUUUAAGGGCAUUGUUGUCAUUUUGCCUUGUCUUGUAAUGAAUAUAAAUAGAACAUUUUAGGUCUUUUUAUCAUUAGUUGUUUAUUGAUGGAAGACAAAAUUUCUCUCUAGUGUGAGGAGUGUAACACCCCUUAGUUGUAGGGCUUGGAAAAGCCACCAAUACGUAACUAGGGCUGCCCAAGUGUGGAUAUCACUUGUGUUGCAUCGUUGGCUUGAUACGUUGGUGAUUAGGGAGGUAAAGUACCUCUUUUGUCAAAGUAAGAGUUUGGUGUUAACAUUCAUUAAUCUUAGGGUCCUUAGAUGAGGUUAGGGUUCUUAGAUUCUUGAAUAUUGUAUGUCAAACUAUCUAUCCAUCUCUUUUGUCAACAUUGUAUUGUUGUUGGUCUUUGAAGUCUAGUGAAGCCGUGUGGGGCUCUUUCGAUUCAUUAGCAUUGUUGUUCUUGUGUUCGUCUCUUUUCUUGCUCAAAACUAAAUCUAAAGUCUAGUGAAGCCGUGAGUGGCCUAUUUCGAUUCACUAGCACCUUGUUGUUCAGCUUCUUGCUCUUGUGUUGGCUUGAAUCUCUUGAUAUACACUUAGUCUUGUAUCAAACUUCAAGAAGGACCGUGAUGGCUACUGUAAGUGGUUUUCUGGAAACCUUGCAUCCGGUGGUGCAGCUGGUGGUUCCUCGUGUUCUUUGUCUACUCAUUCGACUAUGCACGUACCCGUAUUGAAAAUGAUGCCAAGGCUGCAAAGAAAGGAGGCGAGAGACAGUUCAAUGGUAUGAUUGAUAUCUACAGAAAGACACUCACUUCUGAUGGGGUUGCUGGACUAUACCGUGGUUUGUACUUUGGAAUGUAUGACUCCUUAAAGCCUGUUCUCUUGACUGGAGGACUACAUGGUACAUGAUGCAGACAUGUUUGGUUCUCAUUUCUUAGCUCUAAAGUAGUGGAGUUGGUUCUCAUCCAGUUUUAGACAAAUAAAUUUCUAGACUAUAUUAUAAUGUCUAAAUACCCCAUAGUACUUGAUAGAAAUGAGUUUAAAUGACACGAUUUGAAAGAGAAUUCAUAAUGCUGACGUCUAGUUGUUGUUCACAUCGUCAAUCAACUAUCGAUAAUUAUCUCAGAAAGUCACAGUUCUUUGUUUUAUAACAGAAAAACUGCUCAUUAUUGUCAUUUCACGUAUAAAAUCAUUCAACCAAUUAUUUUUUUUUUGGUAGAUAUUGAUGGUGUGGAACUCUUUUCAAACCAAACUUGGUAGUUCUUUGUUCCUACUGCUGGUGUAUUGGUUGAUCAGCAACCAGCUGGUACCAGUGCAACAGGUAUUUGACACGACUGCUCCUUUGCGGACAAGCAUGUGGAGAUAAAUACAUAAAAGCAAGUGGAGAUAAUCUAUCAAUGAUCACCGCAAAUGCUUCACCAGUGUUUGUAAAGGCUCCCGCGGAGAAAGGUGUUGCAGCUUUUGUGACUGACUUCCUCAUGGGUGGAGUUUCUGCUGCUGCUCCUAUCGAGCGUGUGAAGCUUUUGAUCAAAACCAAGAUGAGAUGAUCAAGACUGGUAGACUCUCGGAACCAUACAAGGGAAUUGGAGACUGUUUCAAAAGGACAAUGCAGGAUGAAGGGGCUGUCGCUUUGUGGAGGGGAAACACUGCUAAUGUUAUCCGUUAUUUCCCUACUCAGGUUCACCGUUUGCCUUCUUUUUACCGAUAAAUUAUCAUCUGCCAUUCCGUACCCUAUUUGACAUUAUGAUAGCCUACCGUUGAUUUUUCCACAGGCCUUGAACUUUGCAUUUAAGGAUUGUUUGAAGAGACUCUUCAACUUCAAGAAGGACCGUGAUGCAUGGCUACUGGGCGUGGUUUGCUGGAAACCUUGCAUCCAGUGGUGCAGCUGGAGCUUCCUCAUUGUUCUUUGUCUACUCAUUGGACUACGCACGUACCCGUCUUGCAAAUGAUACCAAGUCUGCAAAGAAAGGAGGCGAGAGACGGUUCAAUGGUAUGAUUGAUGUCUAAAGAAAGACACUCGCUUCUGAUGGAGUUGCUGGACUGUACCGUGGAUUCAACAUUUCAUGUGUUGGUAUCAUUGUCUACCGUGGUUUGUACUUUGGAAUGUAUGACUCCUUAAAGCCUGUUAUCUUGGCUGGAAGACUAUAGGUUAGCGUUUGUCUGUUUUAGCAUCUUUGCUUUUUAUUGGUUUAAGUGGAUUUUGAUAAUAUUGUUGGCUCAACAAUUUCACUUGGCUUAUAUGGAUGUUUAAAGGAUAGUUUCUUUGUUAGCUUUGCUCUCGGGUGGGUGAUUACCUGUAACACCCCGUAUUUUUGAACUAGAAAAUUUAAUUGUCAUUGUAACGACCCCGCGAAAGUCGUACAUGUGUCAUCUCUUAGUAGCAUGUAUAUAGAGUCAAAGACUUAAAAUUUUUUUAAGUGUUAAAUCAAGACUUAGUCACAUUCCGAGUACCCAAUCUUUGACGAAUUUUUCAUGACCUUCCCGACCGCCGUUUUUAGAUUUUCAAGUUGCGUUAUGAUCGGGCAAGCUCAUAGUACAUCUCGGAUAAGAUUCGGAAUUUUUUGGAAUGCAUAAGGCUGCGUUUGGAUUUCAAAACAGUAGCAAAACGCAUAGCCUAUUGCCUAGUAUUCAGCAUUUCAGGGUCAACUUCAAACGAUCAUAACUCUCUGAAUAUUGUGAACUGGGUGACCUACUAUAUAUCAAAUGCAAGGUCUUCGAAGUAUCUUUCCAGAGAUACCAAUUUCGCAUAAAUCCGUCAAUCAAGCAAAAAGUUAUGGCCAUUUUCGAGAGAGGCAGUAGUGUAUUUUUUCUGCAGUCAGCUCCACGUUUUCCAGGGGCAUUUGGGUCAAUUCCACCCCUAUUAAUUCAGCCUAAACACUGCAUUUCAACCCCAAAACACCACAUGACUCAUUUCUCUCAAUUUUAUUCAAGAACACUCCCUAGGGUUUCAAACAAGAUUCCCAAAUAACUCAAGAUUCAACAUGGGUUUUGGAAGAUAAUUAGAGAUUUGGAAUCCCUAAUCCGUAAGCUUCAGGAAUCAUCCAUUAUUUUCCGAAAUUGAGGUACGUGGGGUUUAUCCUAAAAACUACAUGGGCUUAAAAAUCAUUAGAGCAUGAUUUUAAGAUUUUUAUGCAUGAAUUUCAAAGGAGUUUUGGAAUCUAUGUUCUAAAUUACAUAUUCCGAAUGAUUUAAUGUUACUACUAUUUUGACCUUGUGGUCCUAUCCCCUAAAUUGAUUUACAUGUAUACGUAUAUGUAUGUAAUUUGAGUUUUUAGAUUGUUUGAGAGCAUAAAUUAUGAACUCCCUCUCUUGUAUUGAAUUAAAGAUUAUGAUUUUGUGAUUUAGAAGAUGUUUUCUCAAUAUUUCAGCGUUUGAGCAUGAUUUGAAAUAGUUGAGAGGGUGUUUCUUGAUAGAAAUGUGUUCUUGUGUUUGAAAGAGAGAAUUGCAUGUGAAGUGAGAACUUUGACAUGACCACCUUGUGCUAUUGAAAUGCUUGACAAAGAUGAGUCCCUUGCAUGUGUUUACAUGAGGUUUGAGAAAGAGUCUCUUUGAAUUUAAUUAUUGAAAUUGUGGUCCCAAAACUUGUGUUUUGAAAACAGAGAUUUAUGGCAGAUAAAUGAUGGCUCAGAGAUGUGACUUGCAAGUCAAUGGUUUGACGAUACCAUAUGUAUUUAUGCCAUAACAAAUUAUGUUUUCAGAGUAUGUUUUCAGAGAUGCAUGUUUUGAUAGAGUUUUAAUAAGGGGCUUAAAGAGGGUUAGGUGGUUACAGAAGAAGGCGCGAGUUCAAGCAACUCUUAGCUUGAAACCGUAUUUGCCGAUACGGGUAGAUUAUUAUUGUACGCUGGCGACGGCCGUGUGGCGUAGUAGAGUCAGAGACUCCGACCCUUGCGGCACACUUGGGUUGGGGGCUUCAUUGUUGAGUUAAUGGCAGUUUCCAUAUAGCCCAUGAAAUUUUUCAAAGUUGUAGGGUAUACAACCUAACGCAGAUGUAAUACGGAUUUCUCAGAGUCAUGAUGAUUUUCACAGUCUUUUAAAAUGCCCAUGUGAUUUCUUAUUGUAUGACAUGUUUAUGAACUGUUUUAAACUGCUCUCAUAUGUGUUGAUUAUAAAUGAUUAUUUUGGAUUUGCUCUGCAUACCAGUACAUCUGUAUUGACCUGCUCCUCCUCCCUUCAAGUUCUGAGGUUCAAUCUAGGGGUUCAGAUAAGCAGUAGAUAUUUUCGACUGGUGAUCAGAUUAUGCAGUGGUGAGCCUUCUCUAUUCCAGAAGGCCUAUCUUUUCAGAUCAUGACACUUAUUUCAGUUUUGGUCUACUGGGGGCCUUGUCCCAGUUCUUCAGACAAUUUUGUUUAGUUCUUAGUAGAGAUUUCGCAGACUGAUGUCAUUUUUAGAAAUAACCAUGUUUUAGUAUUACAUAUCAAAUUCCGCAUUUUCUUUUGUAUUAUGAAUGAUGUGCAUGAUUACCAGAUAGACAGAGGGCGUCCCUAGCCUUCACGGUUCGGGAAUGCUCGUCACGGCCAGGGCCCCGAUUCGGGUCGUGACAUUACCAACGGUGCCGGUCUUGCCUCAUACCCAAUUGACACAGUCCGAAGUAGAAUGAUGAUGACCUCCGGUGAACCUGUCAAGUACAUGAGCUCACUUCACGCAUUCUCCCAGAUUCUUAAGAGCGAGGGUCCCAUAUCUCAUUUCAUAGGUGCUGGUGGUGCUAACAUCCCUUGUGUUGUUGCUGUUUCUUGUGUGUUGGCUGGAUAUGAUAAACUUCAGAUGAUUGUUUUUGGAAAGAAAUACGGCUCUGGUGCUGCCUAAAUUCAGACCACAUAGAGUAUCCUUUAGGAUUAGAUAUUGAUGAAAAUCUUUCUGCUGUGAAAUAUGAGGAUUCUUUUGGAAAGACGUUUUACGUUUUUUCCUCUUUUUCUUUUUUUGAAUUAUUUGAAAUUUUUGAUAAAGAGGUUAUAUAUUGUCAUACUCAAAACUUUUGCUGAUGUGAUUUCUUUUGACAACAACAUUUUCUUUCCAUUUGUAUGCAAGUCCCCUUGUGGUGGGGCCCUUCCCCGGACACCGCGCAUAGCAGUAGCUUUAGUACACCAGGCUGCCCUUUUUGUAUGCGAGUCCCUCUUAGAUUCUUCACAUACCCUUUUGAAGACGGGAUAUUCAAGAGAGUUCAUAUUUUGAUUCGUAAUUUUUCCCUGCUCUAAUUCGUAACAUAUCAGUUACUUGAUGAGCUAUAAGCUUAUUUCUGUUUGCGAAACAAAUAUGGUUUGAAAUUAUGAAUCAUAUUUGAGCAUAUGAACUUGAAAAAUAUAUUAAGUUAAUAAAGCGUAAGUAAAUUAAUACAAACUAAAGAAGAACAAAUGUAGAUGCAGACAUCUCUCAAAAUAAAGCUUAAUGGUGAACAUAGGAGUAACCAACUCCACUACGCCAACGUCUUCUUAUCCUUGACAUCUAAAAUUCAAAAAAUAAGAUGGUGUGCGUCAAACACUUAUCAAUAAGAAAAAUAUACUUUGGAGAGAGUAUCGAUUAGUGGUUGUUAUUAAAAAAAUAAACAUGAAAACUAAUAUGGGUUGUGUAGAACUUAGCUUGAAUACCUGUAAGUUCCUGAGAUCAAAUCUUGCUCCAUUGGUAAAUUUUCUAGAAGCGAUUAUUUCUUCUUCUGUAAUUCCUUUGCCUUCGCUUCUUCUUUCUCCUUGCCAUCAAACUUUUGUGUUCAAGGUCUUCAACGAUUCUUUCAAGCCAUUUCAUAUUUCCUGUUGAGAUCAAGAAAUAUAUUAUGGAUAAUCCAAUACAUAGUCUGGUUCCAUACCACAUAAGAGCGGCUUUCCAAAAAUCAUUCUGAAAUUCAGAGUUGCUUUCUUCAUCAAGCGCAGAUCCAGUUUAAGUUUUCUCUGAUACUGAAUCAUGACUGUCAUUACCACAACCAUUUGAAAGUGGAAAUCCACGUAAUUUAUCAUUACCUUCAUAUGAAUUAUUCUCAAAAGUAUGAAAUUGAUUUCCUUGAGGAAUGCACCCUUCGAGAUGAUUGUAGGAGAGAUUUAAGACUUCUAGAGAUGUAAGAGAAGCAUACUGUGCUGCUAUCUCUCCUACAAGAUGGUUACCUGAUAGGUCCAAUGAUUCAACUGAAGAAGGAUGGCGGAAUAUGACCUUGCAAUCCAUUAUGAGAUAAAUUUAGAACGCGAAGCGCAAUAAGAUCUCCCAUAAUACUUGGAAUGUAUCCUUCAAAUUUGUUAUUUGAAAGAUCAAUGGUUGUGUAAAUAGUCAAAAUUUGGAGAAGUUCAAGCUCCAGCCCCUUGGAUGAAACCAUAACAGAAUCAUGGUAAUAUGAAUCUCCAAGAUAUCUUGGUUCCUUCGAUGUUUGAUCAAUUGUCCUCAUGGCUUUCAGAUGUUGAAACAAACUCGUCGGCAAGUUUUUGGAAAAAUCAUUGCGAGAGAGAUCAAAGAUUCGAAGCUCAAGAAACAUGUGUUCACUUCCUGAAGUUCUAAUGGGUCCAUGCAACUUAUUCAAUCUCAAGCUUAAAACUCGAAGCUCAGGAAGAGUUCCCAACCACAUUGGAAAUGUAUCAUUCAGGAGAUUGUCUCCUAAAUCAAGAACUUCCAGUCGUUGGCAAUUUUCCAAGAAUUGUGGAAUUUUUCCCUCUAGCUUAUUUCCAUGCAAAUUGAAGCUUCUUAGUGCACUUCCAAUGCUAAAAGUUGUUGGAAGAGUACCAGAAAUAUUGUUGUGCUUCAUAUCGGUGAUUCUCAUAAAGAUACAAAUGGGACAAGUUGUUCAAAGUCCCCAAUGAAGGAGGAAUAGAACCAUUAAGAAAAUUGGUACUCAAAGCUAGUUCAGUAAGAGACCUUAGGUAACCUAUCUCUUCCAGAAUGGAACCAUUUAAAUGGUUUUCAAAUAUGUGGAAGGCCUGAAUCCUGGCUAGUGAGCCGAUUUGUGGUGGGAUUGUGCCUGAAAUCUGAUUCACGGACAAGUUAAGAUAGAUAAGAUUAGUGAGAUUACCGAUCUCAGGUGGAAUUGUGCCAGAGAGAUUGUUCAUGCUAAGAUCAACAUAUUUAAGAAAAGGGAGGGAUGAGAAUGGAAAAGCAUAGAGUGUACCAAAGACACUAGCAUUUCUAAUAUUCAACCUGUUUACCCUACCAUUAAAGCAAACAACUCCAUACCAGUCAUUGCAUGCAUCAGGACUUGGUUUCCAUGAAACCAAUAAGGAAUUAUUCUGGUUCUUGAAAGUUGCUUUCCAUUUUAGGAGAGCCGUUGCUUCCUCAGUUGAAGCAAAAGUAAUUGUAAAGAGAGUGAAAAACUGAAGUAAAGAGAAUAAUAUUUUCGAAACCAUCAUCAUGUACUGUUAACGAAUUUGAGUUGAUAAUUUUUGUUGUUGAUGGAUGAAAUUGAUGCAGGGUAUACUAUUUAUAUUGUAAUAAACCAAUAAAAGCCUUACGUGUAAACUAAGGCGUAGAAUCAGAAUGACUUUUAAGUCAAUGAGUCUUCAUAUUACUGUGUAAAUCACGGAAAGCACAAUCACUAAUUAUUCUUUGUGGUCGGUCCACUAGAAUAUCGUUGUUGAAAUGUAUGACUCGUUAUGUAUUUUUUUCUUAGAUAGUUGUCCCACAAGAUAAUUAAGAAUGUUUUUCUUAGGUAGUCAUCUUUACAAAUUGGGAGAAAAUUAUUUUUUUAAAGUUCUUUUAAUUGUUGGGUGUGAGAACUAAUGUCUCACAUUGGUAGCUAAAAGGAUUGGAAAGCUAUAUAUAAGGUGUAGGAUCUCUUAAUGGUAUGAGGCUUUCUGGGGAAAAUCGUGCGGGUUUAAUCCAAGGGGACAAUAUCACACCAUCUAAGGGUUUCUUUUGGCUGGUUUAGUCCAACAACUGGCAUCAAAACUCUGGUUCAGUAGGAUGAGUAGGAAGAUGUGGCGGAGAUGCAUACACAAGAAGAAGCUAGUUGCAGACCUCGAUAUCCAUAAAAAUACUGAAACGAUGUCGGUGGAAAUAAUAAAUCUCGCUGACCGUGGAUCGUGAUGAUGGUGAUGAGCCAUGUGGAAUUUAGUUCAAGGUGGAGAUUGUUGGGCAUGUGAACAAAAGUCCUUCAUUGAUAGCUAAAAAGAUUGAGAAGCUACAUAAAGGGGUAACUUUACUAGUUACUUCAACUCCCCUUCUGUUUAAGUGAGUAUUGGUCUAAAUAUGUUGUUUCCAUUCGCAAAGUCAUUAGUAUCUUCCUCCAUCGAUUCAACUCUUCUCAAUGCUCUUUCUAAUAUUAAAAGUCAUCGGAAGAGUCCCUGAAAGACUUGUGGUGCAUAUCCAGAACCUCGAGGACACUGAUGUUACCCAAACACUGUGGAAUUGCUCCCUUCAAGUUAGUUUCUUGCCAAAUCUAGGAUUACCAGUGAUGCCAAAUUGCAAAUUGAUGACGAAAUUUCUUCAUUGAGAUUAUUUUGGUUGCGAGAAUUAAGGAAACACCUCCACAAAUUCAUUAUAUUUUUCCAUGGAAAUGUAAAAUGAAAGGGAAAAAUGUUUUCUUCAAAUGUUGCAAAUUCAGCUGCCAUCUCUAUAAUUCACACUUUGUGUUAUAAACCAAAUGGGAGAGCCCAACCCAAAAGACUAGCUUAGUAGGUGAGAGCACCCAUUGGCUUAUAACCAAGUAGCAUUUCUCUUUUUUUCCAAUGUGGGACAUUGGUUCAUUACAAUUGCCUCCGCUUGAGAACCAAUAACCUCGUUGGUCAUGACUAUGCCCAGUUGGUCACGGCUAGCACCUCUCUUGGGUCCAGGCCACACUACUGGCACACAGUCCACCACUCCGAGACAUAUGUGGUUUGUUCCUCGUUGGUCACGGCUAUGCCCAGUUGGUCACGACUGGCACCCCUCGGGUCCAGGCCACCACUACUGGCACAUAGGCCACCACUCCGAGUCACGGCCCCCACGCAUGGGACUCUCAAUGAAAGCACCAAUGUUAUAAACCAAACGGGAGAGCCCAACCGAAAAGACUAGCCUUGUAGGUGGGAGAACCCAUUGAUUUAUAACCCCCUUAGCAUUUCUCUUUUUUUCCAAUGUGGGACAUUGGUUCAUUACACUUUGUCUCUAUUCAUAUCUUAUCACAGAAACUGUUGUCAUUAUCAAGUCAAAUUUGGAUAGUUCUGUAUAUUUAUUUUUCAAAAAAUGUGUUGCACAUCUACAUUUUCCCCCAAGAUAACAAAACUAUCAUACACAAAAUAAUUACUUCUCUCAAAAAUAAAACAAGCUUAAAAAGUAGAGAAUCAUAUGUUGUGCUACUAUUAUAUUUUCUACGACAGACGUCCUUUUAAUUUGAAUUGUCAGUUCAGGUGAAAGUAUUUUUCACUCUAAUAGCUAAAUAUCAUUCAACUUCUAUUCUCUUCACUUUAAGUUUAAUUUUUGAUUUUGACGUGACAACUUCAAUGUACUCAAGACUUGGUUUACAUUUCAGUCUUCCUCUUCCUCUUUAACUUUUAAGAAAAAAAUUGGUGUUACUCCUCAAAGUAAAAAAGGAAAAUAAAAAUUCAAGUUUUAGUAGUGCUACAGUAUCAAUGAAUGAGGGAUUUUUCCAAGUUACAUCUAUUUGUUCUUUUGCUGAUGCGAUUUCUUUUGUCGAAACCAUUUUCUUUCCCUUUGUAAGGGAGUCCCUCUUGGAUUCUUCACCUACACUUUUGAAGACGGAAUACUAAAGAGAAGACAAGUUUUGAUUCAUAAUAUUUUCUUGUUGUAAUUCGUAACGGAUCAGUUACUUAGUGAGCUCUAUUCUGUUUGCGAAACAAAUAUGGUUUGAAACUAUGAAUUAAAUGGCUUAUGUAACGAGACAUUCAAAGUUGAGCAUAUGAACUUGAAAAAUAUAGUAAGUUAAUAAAGCUUAAGUUGAUUAAUACAAACUAAAGAAGAACAAAUGUAGAUGCAGACAUCUCUUAAAAUAAAGCUUAUUAGUGAAACACAACAGUAACCAACUGCACUGCACCAACGUCUUCUUAUCCUUGACAUCUGAAAUUUGAAAAAUAAGAUAGUGAGCGUCAAACACUUAUCAAUAAGAAAAAUAUACUUAUCAAGCAUAUGCCAUGAUUAUCCAAGAUGAAAUCCAGCAAGUAGCAGCAGCAACUUAACAGAUGAAGCAACUGAUAAAGUUGAAACCAUGGCUAUUCACACAAGUUCCAUGAGUUCACAGGCAAGAAGAGGUAAAGGAUUUAGAGGAAGGCAGCAGCAGUGUGAUUUUUGUAGAAUGAAAGGCCACACAAAGGAAAACUGCUACAAGCUUGUUGGAUAUCCACCUGGUUUUCAAAAUAGGAAGUUUUCUGGAAGUGGAGGAUUUGGUGUUGGUAAUUCUGAUGGAUGGAGAAGAAAUGCAUGCACUUCUGAUAACUGGAGAAAAGAGCAACCACCCACAGUGAAUAACACUAAUGUAGCAUCUACAUCUAGGAUUAAUGGAGAAGUUUCAUCUUCUCGGUGCAACACCGGAUUUCAGUCAGAAAAACAGUUUUACAACCCCUUUUCUGAUGAACGAUACAAACAGAUCUUUAAGUUUGCUGAACAAGGAUUCAGGAGAGCAUCAUGUCAACAUGGCAGGUAUUGUAACUUUCUUGAUGUCUCAUUUUCUUUCUAAAACUGAAUGGGUCAUUGAUUCUGGAGCCACACAUCAUGUUACUACAAAUCUACAAUUGUUGAAGGAUAGGGUCAAUCUAGAUGCCUCUAAAAGAGAUAAGUGCAUUUACCUACAGGAGAGAAAACUGAAAUUACUCACACAAGAAGUGCCAACUUAUUUGGGAAUGAAAAAAUGAAGGGUGUGUUAUUUGUUCCCGAGUUUAGAUUUAACCUUUUAUCAGUGUCAAAAGUGACUAAAGAGCUGUCUUGCUUUUUCAUCUUUUUCCCUGAUUUCUGUGUGUUUCAGGACCUCUACAAUGGCAGGGUGAAGGGGAUUGGUAAAGAGCAAGGAGGCUUGUAUGUGAUUGAUGGAGAUUCAGUGGAAUCUAUGGUAACAAAUAAGAUGAAAACAACAUGUAUGACUAAUAGUGAUGCCGAUUACAGUUUAUGGCAUAAGAGAUUGGGACAUCCAUCAUCCACAAUAAUGAAGAAGAUUCCAGAGUUAAAUAAGUCUUCUAGCACUACUUUAGAAAAGGAUUGUCAUAUUUUCCCCUUGGCAAAACAAACUAGGCUACAAUUUCCACUUAGCGAAACUAGAGCAGAUUUUCCAUUUCAGCUUGUACAUAUGGAUCUCGGGGGUCCAUAUAAGGUCCCGACUUAUGAUAAGAAAUACUAUUUAUUAACUGUUGUGGAUGAUCAUUCUAGAUUUACUUGGAUUUAGUUGUUGCAAUUAAAGUCUGAGGUGAUUGUUGUGCUUAGACAGUUUUUAGCCAUGAUAAAAAAUCAGUUUGGCAUGAUAAUCUAGGUUUUGAGGUCUGAUAAUGGUGCGGAGUUCGUUAAUUCUAAGUGUAAAGAAUUGUUGUUUUCUCUUGGCAUUGAGAAUCAAAGUAGUUGCCCUUAUACUCCCCAGCAAAAUGGGAUUGUGGAGAGAAAGCACAGGUAGAUUUUAAACAUUGCUAGAGCCUUGAGGUUUCAGGCUAUGAUACCUCUUAGAUACUGGGGAUUAUGUGUCAAGGCUGCAGUUUAUUUGAUGAACAGGUUGCCUUCAGUUACACUAGCUGGACAUACACCAUAUGAACUACUGUUUCAUAAGAAACCUUCCAUCACUCAUUUAAAAGUCUUUGGUAGCCUUUCUUAUGCAACAAAUUUGUUGAAAAAAGACAAGUUUGGACCAAGAUCAAGAUCUGCGGUGCUACUUGGUUUUUCAGAACUGCAGAAAGGUUACAUAUUGGUUGACUUAAUUACUAAAGAUAUAUUUGUCAGCCGAGAUGUGGUUUUCAGGGAAAAUAUAUUCCUUUUUAGUUCACCAGAGUCACUACAGCACUAUCAUCAUAACCUAAGGUUAUGCAUCCAGCUUGUCUUAGUGAUACAGGUAUGGAUUCACUUCACACUUUGUCGUCUUCACCUUUGGAUUAUGCAAGUGACACUGAUAUGGUUCCUGAAGUGCAAGCACCAGCAAAUCCUGCACCUCCAGUUAGUAUUACCACUGAUAUUGCUCCUGAUUCUAAUAUUGAUACUAAAAGAAGAUCAACCAGGACCUCUAAAGAACCCCUUUGGAUGAAAGACUAUGUUGGCAGGCCCAAAGCACAAUGCAAUAAUGUUCUAUAUCCUUUAUCUGACUAUUUGUCUUAUGCUAAUACCUUUAUCUAGCCGAUUUCUCAUCUUUGGUAGAACCUCAAGGCUUUAGUGAGGCCGUAAAGGAUAAGAGAUGGGUUGAUUCCAUGAAGGUUGAGAUCAAAUCACUUGAAGAUAACAAGACUUGGGAAAUUGUAGACCUGCCCACCGGGAAGAAUAUAGUAGGCUCAAAAUGGGUUUACAAGGUUAAAUUUCAAGAAAAUGGAGAAGUGGAGAGAUUCAAGGCUAGAUUGGUAGCCAAAGGUUAUAGUCAGAGGGAAGGUCUAGAUUAUCAUAAGACCUUUUCACCUAUAGCCAAGAUGGUUAUAGUCAGGUCAAUUAUCGCUCUUGCAGCAUCAGAAGGUUGGAAACUCUUUCAAAUGGAUAUGUUUAAUGCCUUUCUUCAAGGUGACUUAUGUGAAGAAGUAUUCAUGGAAAUUCCUGAAGGUUUCAGAAGACAGGGGGAGACUAAAGUGUGUAGGCUAUUAAAAUCUUUAUAUGGACUUAAACAAGCAUCCAGGCAGUGGAAUAUUAAAUUGACCGAAGCACUGAUACAAGCUGUUUUUACUCAAAGCAAUUAUGACUAUUCCUUAUUUACUAAGAAGGAAGGAGAAGAUAUAGUAAUCACCUUAGUUUAUGUAGAUUAUUUACUAAUCACUGGAAGUUGUAACAAGAUGAUAAACUCAGUGAAGAUGCAAUACAUCAACAUUUCAAAGUAAAAGACUUAGGAGAACUGAAAUUUUUCUUGGGAAUUGAAGUGUUGAGAUCCAAGACUGGAAUAUUGUUGAAUCAAAGAAAGUAUGUGUUAGAGCUAAUUUCAGAGUUGGGUCUUGGUGGAGUAAAACCUGCAGCAACACCUUUAGAAACUAAUAUCAGACUCACUAGUGUAGAAUUUGAUGAAGCAACAGGAGAGCAAAGUGAUGACUUAUUGUCAGACAUAGGAGCAUAUCAAAGGUUAAUGGGAAAACUUUUGUAUGUGACCAUAACAAGACUAGAUAUAAGCCCCACUGUACAGACCUUGAGUCAAUUCAUGCAAAGGAAAAAACAAUCUCAUCGGGAUUUAACUAUCAGAGUGGUGAAGUAUUUUAAGUUAGCAUCAGGACAAGGGAUCCUUAUUAGUGCAUCUACUAGUCAAGAACUUACAUGCUGGUGUGAUUCAGAUUGGGCAGCUUGUCCAAAUACUAGAAGGUCUAUGACAGGAUACUUGAUCAAAUUUAGGGACUCACUAGUGUCAUGGAAGUCAUAAAAGCAACAGACAGUCUCAAGAAGUUCUGCAGAGGCAAAGUAUAGGAGCAUGGCAUCAGCAGUGGCUGAAGUUACAUGGUUGCUAGGUUGAUAUCAAGAAAUAGUAAUCAAGGUGAAACAACCAGUGAAGAUUAUGAGUGACAGUAAGUCUGCAAUACAGAUUGCAUCUAAUCCAAUCUUUCAUAAAAGGACUAAACACAUUGAAAUUGAUUGUCAUUUCAUUAGAGACAAAAUCAAGGAUGGACUCAUUGAAGCUAUGUUUGUAAAGACUGAAGAACAAUAGGCAGAUCUAUUAACCAAAGGGUUAAGUAAAGCACAACACUCAUAUUUGAUGAGCAAGCUUGGAGUGUUCAAUAUCUUACAUCCUCCAGCUUGAGGGGGAGUGUUGAGAUUAGGCUUAACAGAUGAUGCUUAGAUAGUUAGUCUAUGUGAUCAAUUACUGGUAGAAUGUACAGCUGGCAAGGAAUGUACAGCUUUCAAGGUAGUUAGUUAUAGUCUACAGCUGGAAGCAGUUAGUGGAGUUAUUGUUUAGUGUGCAUAUAUAAUGCUGUGUAACAGAACCAACCAGAGAACUCAUUCUUCUUUUCAUCUAAUAAAAAAAUAUCUUCUCCAAUAUUUCUCUCUCUAGAUUGAUCUCCGUUGAUGAACUUAUGGAAACAUUCAUGAAGCUCUUAGCCUAGAUUUCUACAUGUAUGACUCCUUGAAGCCCGUUCUCUUGACUGGAGGACUACAGGUUAGCGUUUGUCUGUUUUUGUGCUUUUGCUUUUUAUUGGUUUACGUGGAUUUUGAUAAUAUCAUUGGCUCAACAAUUUCACUUGGCUUAUUUUGAUGUUUACGAGAUAGUUUUUUUGCUAGCUUUGCUCUCGGGUGGCUGAUUACCAACAGUGCCGGUCUUGCCUCAUACCCAAUUGACACAGUCCGAAGAAGAAUGAUGAUGACCUCCGGUGAAACUGUCAAGUGCAAGAGCUCACUUGACGCAUUCUCCCAGAUUCUUAAGAACGAGGGUCCCAAAUCUCUUUUCAAAGGAAAUGGUGCUGACAUCCUUCCUGCCGUUGCUGGUGCUGAUGUGUUGGCUGGAUAUGAUAAACUUCAGAUGAUCGUUUUUGGAAAGAAAUACGGCUCUGGCGCUGCCUAAAUUCAGACCACAUAUAGCAUCCUUUAGGAUUAGCUAUUGAUGAAAAUCUAUCUGCAGUGCAAUAUGAGGAUUCUUUUGGAAAGGCGUUUUACAUUUUUUCCUCUUUUUCGUUUUUGAAUAAUUUGAAAAAAUUUCGAGAUCUUUAUGCAGAGGUUAUAUAUUGUCAUACUCAAAACUUUUGAUAUAAUUAAAAGAGACGGAUUUGACUACAUCUACUUGUACUUUUGCUGAUGUGAUUUCUUUUGACAACAACAUUUCUUUCCUUUUGUAUGUGAGUCCCUCUUAGAUUCUUCGCAUACUCUUGUGAAGAUGGGAUAUUCAAGAGAGUUCAUGUUUUGAUUCGUAAUUUUUCCCUGAUCUAAUUCGUGACAUAUCAGUUACUUGAUGAGCUAUAAGCGUAUUUCUAUUUGCGAAACAAAUAUGGUUUGAAAUUAGAAUCAUAUUUGAGCAUAUGAACUUGAAAAAUAUAUUAAGUUAAUAAAGCUUAAGUAGAUUAAGACAAACUAAAGUAGAACAAAUGUAGAAGCAGACAUCUCUCUAAAUAAAGCUUAAUAGUAUGCAAUUCCACUACGCUAUGUCUUCUUAUCCUUGACAUCUGAAAAUUGAAAACUAAGAUAGUGAGCGUUAAACACUUAUCAAUAAGAAAAAUUUGCUUCGGAGAGAGUAUCUAUUAGUUGUUGUUAUUAAAAAAAACUUGAAAACUAAUAUAUUAGUGUAGAACUUAUCUUGAAUACCUGUAAGUUCCUGAAAUCAAAUCUUUCUCCAUUGCUGAAUUGUCUAGAAGCGAUUAUUUCUUCUUCUGUAGUUCCUUUGCCUUCGCUGCUUCUUUCUCCUUGCCAUCAUAAUUGUGUGUCCCAGCUCUUCAACGAUUCUUUCAAGCCAUUUCAUAUUCCCAGUUGAGAUCAAGAUAUAUAUUAUGGAUAGUCCAAUACAUAGUUCGGUUCCAUACCCCAUAAGAGCGCCUUUCCAAAAAUCGUUGAGAAAUUCAGAGUUGCUUUCUUGAUUAUUUAGCACAGAUGUGGUGUAAUUUGUCUCGGAAACUAUAUCAGUACCACAACCUUUUGAAAGUGGGAAUCCACGUAAUCCAUCAUUAUCUUUGUAUGAAUUGUUCUCAAAUGUAGCAAAUUGAGGUCCUCUAGGGAUGCAUCCUUCAAGAUUAUUGUGGAAGAGAUUGAAAAAUUCAAGAGUCGUAAGAGAAGCAAUUUGUUUUCGUAUCUCUCCAGAGAGAUGGUUAAAUGAAAGGUCCAAUGAUUCAACCAAGGAUAAAUUUCCAAAUGAUGGUGGAAUAUGACCUUGCAAUCCAUUAUGAGACAAAUUCAAAACUCGGAGCGUGAUGAGAUCUCCCAUAAUACAAGGAAUAUGUCCUUCAAAUUUGUUGUUUGAAAGAUCGAUAGUUGUAUACAAAGACAAGAUUCUCACAACUUCAAGCUCCAAUCCCUUUGUUACGACAUCUACCGAGUCUUGGUAAUGUUGAUGAAGCUCAUAACUUGAUGCAUUUGUUUUUUUUAUCAAUUGUCCUCAUGGCUUUCAAAUGUUGAAACAAACUAUCGGCAAGUUUUUGGAAAAAUCAUUGCAAGAGAGAUCUAAGAUUUGAAGCUCAAGAAACAUGUAUUCACUUCCUGAAGUUCUAAUGGGUCCAUGCAACUUAUUCGACUUCAAGCUUAAAACUCGCAACUCGGGAAGAGUUCACAACCACAUUGGAAAUGUAUCAUUGAGGAGAUUGUCUCCUAAAUCAACAACUUGCAGCUCUUUGCAAUUUUUUAAGGAUCGUGGAAUUUUUCCCUCUAGCUUAUUGCCAUGCAAAUUGAAACUUUUGAGUGCACUUCCAAUGCAAAAAGUUGUUGGAAGAGUACCGAAAAGAUUGUUGUGCUGCAAAUCAAGAACCUCAAGAUGACGACUCAUGUUGCCAAAACAUUGCGGAAUUGCUCCCAUUAGAUUGUUUCUACCCAAAUCUACAACUUGUAGUGAUGUUAAAUUGCAAAUAGACGACGGGAGCUCUCCGCUGAGAUUAUUAUGUGACAUAAUCACAUACUGGAGGCCACUGAUAUUACCUAAGCAUUUCAGAAUUUUACCCUUCAAGUUGUUUUUCAACAAAUACAGGAUUGUCAGUGACGUCAAAUUACAAAAAGAUGAAGCAAUUUCAUCAGUCAGAUUGUUGUUGCCGAGAAACAGAGUUUGCAAGUUUCUCAAAUUCCCAAAGGAAGACGGAAUCGAACCAGUGAGUUGAUUAUUGGAUAAUUCUAGAUCAUUGAGAUUUUUCAGCUUCCCCAACUCACUAGGAAUUGGGCCAGAGAGUUGAGUAGCAUACAGGUCUAGAAGUUUGAGCUCAGUUAAGUCACCUAUAGUUUUUGGAAUUGGGCCAGAAAUAUUGUUUAAAAAUAAGCUUAAAUUUUGAAGUGACUUCAUCUUCCCUAUUUCUGCAGGAAUGGGACCAAACAAUUCAUUGGAGGGAUGUGACCUGUUAAUUGGUUUUUUUUCAAGAUAAGCUUCAACGAGAUUGGCAAGUUUUGCUAUUUCUGCAGGAAUACAGCCAGAAAGGUGAUUCUCGUAAAGAUACAAAUAGGACAAGUUGUUCAAAUUCCCCAAUGAAGCAGGAAUAGAACCAUUACGAAAAUUGGUACUCAAAUCUAGUUCAGUAAGAGACCUUAGGUAACCUAUUUCUUCCGGAACGGAGCCAGAAAGUUGAUUCUCAUAAAGAUUCAAAAGGGUCAAGUUGUUCAAUUUCCCCAAUGAAGGAGGAAUAGAACCAUUUAGGAAGUUCCAGCCCAAAGAAAGCUUAGUAAGAGACCUUAGGUAACCUAUUUCUUCCGGAAUGGAACCAUUUAAAAAGUUGUCAAAUAUGCGGAGGAUCUGAAGCUUGACUAGUGAGCCAAUUUGUGAUGGGAUCGUGCCCGAAAUUUGAUUGGUAUUCAAGUCAAGAUAGACAAGAUUAGUGAGAUUACCAAUCUCAGGUGGGAUGGUGCCAGACAAAAUUGUUCAUGCUAAGAUUAAGAUACUCAAGAAAAGGGACACAAUUAUUCUGGUUCUUGAAAUUUGCUUUCCAUGAGCAGUUGCUUCCUCAGUGGAAGAAAAAGUAAUUGUAAAAGAGAGUGAAGAACUGAAGUAAAUCUGGUUCUUCAAAGUUGAUUUCCAUUUAAGGAGAGCAGUUGCUUCCUCCGUGGAAGAAAAAGUAAUUGUAAAGAGAGUGAAAAAUGAAGUAAAGAGAAUAUUUUCGAAACCAUCAUAUUAAACGAUUUGGAGUUGAUGGUUUUUGUUGUUGAUGAAAUUGGUGCAGGGUACACUAUUUAUAUUGUAAUAAACCAAUACAAGCCUUGCGUGUAAACUAAGGCGUAGAAUCAGAAUGACUUUAAAGUCAAUGAGUCUUCGUUUUGUUGAAUAAUCAUCUCCAUAUGCUUGUUUCUAUAUGUUUGAAUUUUCUUCAUAUUAAUCAUUGUUGAAUAAUCAUCUCCAUAUGCUUGUUUGUAUGUGUUUGAACUUUUUUCAUAUUAAUCAAUUCCACUGUUACUGAAAGAACGCAUUGUUAAUGGGUUGUGUUGGGAAAAUCAGCAAUUUUCCCACUAAAACAAAACAACAAAAGAAUACCCGACAAACAAUAUUGAAUAAUGAAAUUAAAAGACACCAAAAAAUUUGAAAACGAAGCUCAGCCAAUUAGACUUAAUCUCCAAGCAUCCAACAUUUUUAUUAAUUGUUGUAGAAGAGAACAAAUUUGGGAUUAUACAAAUGGAAGGAGGUAGAGUUUCUUUUAUAGCUCUAAAUCUCCUCCCUAAAUUGUUAAUUAGUGAUGUGGGAGAAAAAAGGGAGCCAAAAACUAAUAGGUUGUACCUCCCUCAAGAAAAAAAAAUUUAUAAAAAAAGAGCGGAGGAAAUUAAGUCAAGAAAGAUAAUGAAUUGUAAGUGGUAAAUGUAGUGUAUUUUUCAAGUCUUCUUGUAGAAAUUUCAAAGUUAGCUACAUCACACAAAUUAAUUCAAUUUGAUGUAAAAUUCUAAAGCUUGCAUAAGAAAGUCCUUAUGCUUGAUUACACAUCUAUUUAUGUGGACCUAUUUUAUUGAAAAAAAAUACUUUGCUGGACCAAUAAUUAAUCUAGUCAAGUAUAUUUAAGUAGCCAAAAGAGUAGUAGAAUGUCAUUCUCAAACAUUAGAUACCACUAAUUCGAAAGAAAGAAAGAGUCCAACUGCAAAUACUUAAAUUUUGUCAUUCUCGAGUCAAUGUACAAGUCUCUUCCAUGGAAAUUUCAUAAGACAAUAUUUUUCAUGUCUUGAUGAGAAAAUUCAAACAAAUCCCUUUCACUUCCAAAUAAAUAAAAAGAUAUAGUUCAUUACCAAUAUAGUCUUGCCACUUUAACAUUAUCACAAAAUAAAGUUCACUGAUAUAAAAUUUAAUAGAAAAAUGAGAAAGGGCAUGGAAUAAUUUAAUUUAAUUCAGACAAAAAUCAUAUGGUAUAUAUGUGAUGCAGAUAUGUUUGGUUAUCAUUUCUCAUCUUUAAAUAUGGUGGAAUGAAUGAUAUCCCUUUACCUUAAUAAGAAGUUUCAGAUUUGAGCUUCGAGAAUUACAAAAAAAAACUUUGAUAUGAGGACUUUCCAUUUCAAUGUGCCUUACGUCGUGAGUAAAACCUCUACGUAACAACAUCCUUUGUCCGAAAAGCUUUUGGUUGCUACAACCAAAUGUCAUGGCGGAGCUAGGAUUUUCACUAAAGAGUUCGAAAUAUGAAAACAUAAGCAUGUUAAGAACCCAAAGAGAUUUAAUAUCUAUCAUAUAUAUAUAUGUAUAUAUAAAACUAUUUUGACCGUACAUAAAUAAUAUAACUUUUGCCUGGUUGAACCUACUUGGCUCUGCCCCUAUCCAUUUCUACACUAGAAAAUAUACAAUAUUACGGUAAUUCAAGAUAGAAAUUGACUGUCACCAGUAAAGCGAAAGUUUGGAUAGUUUGAGCUAGUAAGAUUCGAUAAAUAUAACAUAAACAAUCAAUUUCAAUUAGAGCUCGCUCGCUACAGAAAAAUGUUGUUAUAGAGAAAUCUGAAGAUAAAAUGUACGUAAUAAUUUCACGUAAACUUUAUAAAUUUAAUCACAAAUGAGUUUAUUUCUGUUUGCGAAACAAAUAUAGUUUGAAAUUAUGAAUUAAAUAGCUUGAGCUAUUGUCUUCCUUUUGGGAUUAUGUAACAAGACAUUCAAAGUUGAGCAUAUGAACUUGAAAAAUAUAUUAAGUUAAUAAUCCUUAAGUAGAUAGUGAAAAUGGGAGGAACCAACUCCACUGCUCCAAACACUUGACGUCUGAAAUCUGAAAAAUAAGAUAGUGCGCGUCAAACACUUAUCAAUAAGAAAAAUAUACUUCGGAGAGAGUAUCGAUUAGUUGUUGUUAUUGAAAAAAAAAAUGAAAACUAAUAUAUUAGUGUAGAACUUAGCUUGAAUACCUGUAAGUUCUAGAAUCGAUUAUUUCUUCUUCUAUAAUUUUCUAAUGAAGCCGUGUGGGGCUCUUUCGAUUCACUACCAUUGUUGUUCUUGUGUUCAUCUCUUUUAUUUCUCAAAACUAAAUCUAAAGUCUAGUGAAUCUGUGAGUGGCCUAUUUCGAUUCACUAGCACCUUGCUGUUCAAUUUGUUGCUCUUGUGUUGGCUUGAAUAUCUUGAUACACACUUAGUCUUGUAUCAUUUUGGCAUCAGAGCAAGGCUGUUUGUGUUCCUACACUACCAAUCUUGGGUUUUAUUGGACGAAAAUUCAAAAAAAAAAAGCUGAAAACUGAAAAAAAAUUCCAUAAAAGUGCAAAUCUGUCCAUUUUGUGUUCUUGGCCGAAAAUUGUGUUGUUGUUAUCUUGGCCAAGAUUUGUUUGUUGUGUGUCUAGAACUUGUAGUCUUUUGUUUGGGAUUAUGUAACAAGACAUUCACAGUUGAGCAUAUGAACUUGAAAAAUAUAUUAAGUUAAUAAUCCUUAAGUAGAUAGUGAAAAUGGGAGGAACCAACUCCACUGCUCCAAACACUUGACGUCUGAAAUCUGAAAAAUAAGAUAGUGCGCGUCAAACACUUAUCACUAAGAAAAAUAUACUUCGGAGAGAGUAUCGAUUAGUUGUUGUUAUUGAAAAAAAAAAUGAAAACUAAUAUAUUAGUGUAGAACUUAGCUUGAAUACCUGUAAGUUCUAGAAUCGAUUAUUUCUUCUUCUAUAAUUCCUUUGCCUUCGCUGCUUCUUUCUCCUUCCCAUCACAAUUUUGUGUUCCAGCUCUUCAAUGAUUCUUGGAAGCCAUUUCAUAUUUCCAGUUGAGAUCAAGAUAUAUAUUAUGGAUAGUCCGAUACAUAGUCCGGUUCCAUACCCCAUAAGAGCUCCUUUCCAAAAAUCAUUCAGAAAUUCAGAGUUGCUUUCUUCAUCAAUCGCAGAUCCAGCAUAUGUUUCCUCUGAUACUGAAUCAUGACCGUCAUUACCACAGCCUUCUGAAAGUGGGAAUCCACAUAAUCCGUCAUUACCUUCGUAUGAGUUGUUCUCAAAGGUAUGAAAUUGAGGCCCUUGAGGAAUGCACCCUUCGAGAUGAUUGUAGGAGAGAUUUAAGAAUGCAAGAAAUGUAAGAGAAGCAAAUUGUGCUGGUAUCUCUCCUACAAGAUGGUUACCUGACAGGUCCAAUGAUUCAACUGAAGAUAAAUUUCCAAGUGAUUGCGGAAUAAGACCUUGCAAUCCAUUAUGAGAUAAAUUUAGUACGCGAAGGGCAAUGAGGUCAACAAUGAUACUUGGAACAUGUCCUUCAAAUUUAUUGUUUGAAAGAUCAAUAGUGUUGUACAAAAACAAGAUUCUCACAACUUCUAGCACUAUUCCCUUUGUUACGACAGCUAUGGAGUUUUGGUAAUACCCAACUUCGUCAUCACUAGGUGGCUUCUUUGAUGGAUCAAUUUUCCUCAUGGCUCUGAAAUGUUGAAACAGACUUGUCGGUAAGUUUCCCAUGAAGUCAUUGCAAGAGACAUCUAAGAUUCGGAGCUCAUGAAACAUGUAUUCACUUCCUGAAGUUCUAAUGGGUCCAUGCAACUUAUUCGAUCUCAAGCUUAAAACUCGCAGCUCGGGAAGAGUUCCCACCCACAUUGGAAAUGUAUCAUUAAGGAGAUUAUCUCCUAAAUCAAGAACUUCCAGUCGUUGACAAUUUUCCAAGGACAGUGGAAUUUUUCCCUCUAGCCUAUUUCCAUGCAAAUUGAAGCUUCUGAGUGCACUUCCAAUUCUAAAAGCUGUUGGAAGAGUACCAAACAGAUUGUUGUGCUGCAUAUCAAGAACCUCAAGAUGACCACUCAUGUUUCCAAAACAUUGCGGAAUUGCUCCUUUUAGAUUGUUUCUACCCAAAUCUAGUACUUUUAGGGAUGUUAAAUUGCAAUUAGACGGAGGGAGCUCUCCACUGAGAUUAUUAUGUGACAUCAUCGCAUACUGGAGGCUACUGAUAUUACCCAAGCAUUGCUGAAUUUUUCCCUUCAAGAUGUUUCUCAACAAAUCUAGACCAAUCAGUGACGUCAAAUUGCAAAUAAAUGAAGGAAUUUCCUCUGUCAGAUUGUUGUUGGCGAGAAUUAGAUUUUUCAAGUUUCUCAAAUUGACAAAGGAAGACGGAAUUGAACCAGUUAGUUGAUUAUUGGAUAAUUCCAGAAGAUUGAGGUUUUUUAGAUUCCCCAACUCACUAGGAAUUGGGUCAGUGAGUUGGUUAUUGGAUAAUAUUAGAUACUUGAGGUUUUUCAGAUUCCCCAACACACUAGGAAUUGGGCCAAAGAGUUGAUUAUUGGAUAACUCCAGAUAAUUGAGGUUUUUCAGAUUCCCCAACUCUCUAGGAAUUGGGCCAGAGAGUUGAUUAUAAAAUAAUCCAAGAUCAUUGAGGUUUUUCAGAUUCCCCAACUCACUAGGAAUUGGGCCAGAGAGUUUACCAUAAAGAUACAAAAGGGACAAGUUGUUCAAGUUCCCCAAUGAAGCUUCAAUAGAGCUAAGGAAGUUCCCGCCAAAAGAUAGCUUAGUAAGAGACCUUAGCUGACCUAUUUCUCCUGGAAUGGGACCAUUUAAAUGGUUGUCAAAUAUGAAGAGGAUCUGAAGCUUGACUAGUGAGCCGAUCUGUGAUGGGAUUGAGCCCGAAAUUUGAUUGAUUCUCAAGUCAAGAUAGAUAAGAUUAGUGAGAUUACCAAUCUCAGGUGGGAUGGUGCCAGAAAAAUUGUUCAUGCUAAGAUCAACAUAUUCCAGAGAAGGGAGGGAUGUAAAUGGAAAAGCGUAGAGUGUACCAAAGACACUAGCAUUUGUAAUAUUCAACGUGUUUACCCUACCAUUAAUUCAUGUAACUCCAUACCAGUCGUUGCAUGCACCAGAACUUGGUUUCCAUGAAGCCAACAAGGAAUUAUUCUGGUUCUUGAAAGUUGAUUUCCAUUUAAGCAGAGCAGUUGCUUCCUCAGUGGAAGCAAAGUAAUUGUAAAGAGAGUGAAAAACUAAAGCAAAGAGAUAUUUUUGAAAUCAUCAUCAUGUACUGUUAAACUAUUUUGAGUUGAUAAUAUUUGUUGUUGAUGGAUAUAUUGAUGCAGGGUACACUAUUUAUAUAUUAAUAAACCAAUACAAGCCUUGCGUGUAAACUAAGGAGUAGAAUCAGAAUUACUUUAAAGUCAAUGAGUCUUCGUUUUGUUGCUAAUCAUCUUAGUUUGGUUAAUGAUGUCAUUAUUUUAUUCAUAUGAGAAAAUAUAUCUCAAAAACUAAGCAAUAAUGCCCUGAACAUGGAUAAUUAAACAUCGAAUAACUUAGUUUGAAAGUUCCAUUAACCCAUUUUAAAUUAUUGAAUCAAAUUAAACAAUUAAAUACAUUUCGUUGGUUCCAAAAGAAAACGAAAAAAGAGCGAGAAAAAUGAAGUCAAGAAAGACUUUGUAAGUCUUGUUGUGGAAAUUUCAUUGAAAUCAUAUCUUUGAAUUUUCGUUUGAUGUUACUACUCAUUAAAAAAACAUAUUCUUUAAUCUUAUCAUCAAGCAUCAUGUGUAAUUGGUUUCAAGUAUAAGAAAAUAUCCUUUUUUUUUCUUAUUCGUUCAUAGAUAAUAGCGCAAUUGGUGAUCUCAAUUUAUUUUAUGAAAUCUUUUUAUCCAUGCAAAAGUACAUUAAUAAUUCAAAAGUGUUUAUCAAUUACUUCACAUCAUCGUUUUUAUUUCUUCAAACCCUGCGUAUAGCGGGAGCUUUGGUGCAACAAACUAUCCUUUUCUAUUUCACGAGAAUCACGAAAAGCUGUACUUAUAAUUAGUCAUUGAGGUCCACUAUCAUAUUUUGAAAAAAAGAGCGGAGGCUUAAAUAAAGGGAUAACAGAUAAACGUUCCCUUUAACUUGGCUUCAACUUGCAUCUAUGCCCUCCAACUUUGGGCGUGCACAAGUAGGCGUUUAAACUCGUAUAAAGCUGAAGAAGUAGACAUAUGCAUUCUACGAGGCCAAUUUUCAUCCUACGUGGUGUUCUACAUGUAUUAUACUACAUAGAACGUGUGUGUCUAUUUAGUGUUUGGGUCUUUUGGAUACCUAAUAAGGAAUCUUCAGUUUGAUAUUACCUCUAAAUGGAGAAGAUCCUCCCUAAUCUAUUGCAUGAUGAACUCAACAAAACAGAAAAUUCAAGUUAUCAUGCUAUAGAAAAAUAAUUAAGAAUUUACACGUUUUAACUGUGAGGAAACGAAAGGAGUUCACAUUAGGGAUUAUGGAAAGUCCAUCAUUUAUCAAAUGUUCAAAUUGGGGUUAAUUCAAGAAAUAUUAUCGGUUUCAUGGCUCAUAUAAAAAUAUUCAAAUUUUUAUAUGUUUUUGUUACAAGAAAAGAACAAGAGCAGUUCUUUGUCUACUCAUUGGACUAUGCACGUGCCCGUCUUGCAAAUGAUGCCAAGGCUGCAAAGAAAGGAGGCGAGAGACAGUUCAAUGGUAUGAUUGAUGUCUACAGAAGACACUCGCUUCUGAUGGAGUUGCUGGACUGUACCGUGGAUUCAACAUUUCAUGUCUUGGUAUCAUUGUCUACCGUGGUUUGUACUUGAAAUUGAGGCCCUUGAGGAAUGCAUCCUUCAAGAUGAUUAUAGGAGAGAUUUAAGACUUCAACAAAUGUGAGAGAAGCAAAUUGUGGUGGUAUCUCUCCUACAGGUCCAAUGCUUCAACUGAAGAUAAACUUCCAAGUGAUGGUAGAAUAUGACCUUACAAUCCAUUAUGAGACAAAUUCAAAACUCGGAGCGCAAUGAGAUCUCCCAAAAUACAAGGAAUAUAUCCUUCAAAUUUGUUGUUUGAAAGAUCGAUAGUUGUGUACAAAGACAAGAUUAUCACAACUUCAAGCUUCAAUCCCUUUGUUACAACAUCUACCGAGUCUUGGUAAUAUCGAUGAAAUUCAUAUCUUGAUGCAUUUGUUUUUUUAUCAAUUGUCCUCAUGGCUUUCAAAUGUUGAAACAAACUCAUCGGCAAGUUUUUGGAAAAAUCAUUGCAAGAGAGAUCUAAGAUUUGAAGCUCAAGAAACAUGUAUACACUUCCCGAUGUUCCAAUGGGUCCUUGCAACUUAUUCGAUCUCAAGCUUAAAACUCGUAGCUCGGGAAGAGUUCCCAACCAGAUUGGAGAUGUAUCGUUGAGGAGAUUCUCCUAAAUCAAGAACUUUCAGUAGUUGGCAAUUUUCCAAGGAUCGUGGAAUUUUUCCCUCUAGCUUAUUGCCAUGCAAAUUGAAGUUUCUGAGUGCACUUCCAAUGCUAAAAGUUGUUGGAAGAGUACUGGAAAGAUUGUUGUGCUGCAUAUCAAGAACCUCAAGAUGACAGCUCAUGUUGCCAAAACAUUGCGGAAUUGCUCCCAUUAGAUUGUUUCUACCCAAAUCUAGAACUUGUAGUGUUGUUAAAUUGCAAAUAGAUGACGGGAGCUCUCCUCUGAGAUUAUUAUGGGACAUCAUCACAUACCAGAGGCCAUUGAUAUUACCCAAGCAUUGCAGAAUUUUUCCCUUCAAGUUGUUUUUCUACAAAUGCAGGAUUGUCAGUGAUGUCAAAUUGUAAAUAGAUGAAGGAAUUACCUCAAUCAGAUUGUUGUCGUCAAGAAACAGAGUGUACAAGUUUCUCAAAUUGCCAAUGGAAGACGGAAUUGGGCCAGAGAGUUGAUUAUUGGAUAAUAGAUCAUUGAGGUUUUUCAGAUUCCGCAACUCACUAGGAAUUGGGCCAGAGAGUUGAUUAUUGGAUAAUCCUAAAUCACUGAGGUUUGUCAGAUUCCCCAACUCACUAGGAAUUGGGCCAGUGAGGUGAUUAUUGGAUAAUUCCAGAUAAUUGAGGUUUUUCAGAUUCCCCAACUCACUAGGAAUUGGGCCAGAGAGUUGAUUCAAAUAAAGAUACAAAAAGGACAAGUUGUACAAAUUCCCCAAUGAAGCGGGAAUAGAGCCAUUAAGGAAGUUCUCGCCCAAAGAUAGCUUAGUAAGAGACCUUAGGUAACCUAUUUCUUCUGGAAUGGGACCAUUUAAAUGGUUGUCAAAUAUGUGGAGGAUUUGAAGCUUGACUAGUGAGCCGAUUUGUGAUGGGAUUGUGCCCGAAAUUUGAUUGGCAUGCAAGUCAAGACAGAUAAGAUUAGUGAGAUUACCAAUCUCAGGUGGGAUGGUUCCAUAAAAAUUGUUCAUGCUAAGUUUAAAAUAUUCAAGAAAAGGGAGGGAUGAAAACGGAAAAUCAUAGAGGGUACCAAUGACUCUAGAAUUAUUAAUAUUCAACCUGUUUACCCUACCAUUAAAGCAAAUACCUCCGUACCUGCCGCUGCAUGCAUCAGAACUUGGUUUCCAUGAAGCCAAUAAGGAAUUAUUCUGGUUCUUGAAAGUUGAUUUCCAUUUUAGGAGAGCAGUUGCUUCCUCAGUGGAAGCAAAAGUAUCUGCAAAGAGGUACAAGAGAGUGAAAAACUGAAGUAAUAACAAGAAUAUUUCGUUGGAAACCAUCAUCAUAUACUGCUAAUAAUUAAGUGAUUGUGAUUUGAUUAUUUUGUUUGUUAAUGGAUGAAAUUGGUUCUGGGUACACUUUUUAUAUUACAGUAAACAAGUACAAGUCUUGCAUCUCAAAUAAGGCGUUGCAUCAGAAAGACUGACUUAAAAGUCUUCAAAUAAUUAAAUGCAUUUCUUUGUAAGUCUUCAAAUAAUUAACUGUAUUUCUUUAUAAGUCUUCAAAUAAUUAAAUGCAUUUCUUUGUUAAGUCUUCAAAUAAUUAACAGCAUUUCUUUAUAAGUCUUAAAAUAAUUAAAUGCAUUUCAUUGUAUUAAAUGCAUUUGAAAACUACAACACACAAAAAUGAAGUCAAGAGUGACUCUGUAAGUCUUGCUGUGGAAAUUUCAUAUGAAAACUACAACAAGCAAAUCCAUGUCUCUUUGAAUUUUCAUUUGAUGUUACUACUCAUCAACAGAACGUAUUCCUUACUCUAAUCAUCAAGCAUCAUGUGUAGUUAGUAGUUUGAACUUUAAAAAAAAAAUCCUUUUGUCUUAUUCGUUCCUAGGUAAUAGCGAAAAUGAUGACCGAAACAGAAAUUAUUCAUAGACUAAUAAUGAGUAUUAUGGGUGCCGAGAAUUGUGUGUGGCUUAAUGAUCAAUAAGUGGCCUAAUUGUCCAAGAAAUAAGGGAAAAGCACAGGAGUAUAAGGCUUAAAUCUCACCAAUAAAGUCAGAUGAUUUUUCAAUCAAACAUAGUUAUGGUGGUGGCUGAGUUAUGUAGCACGUAUUCAAUACACAAGUUAGCCCGAAUACCACUGUUAUUGAAAAAAUGGAGAUCAAAGCAGAGAAAUUAAGGAGGAAAUUAUCUCCAUAUGCUUGUUUAUAUGCGUUUAGAAGAUGUCAUUCUCUAAGUCAAUGUACAAGUUUUAGUCUUGCCAAGGAAAAUGCCAGUUUGGCCUAUUGUUAUUAAGAAACUAAAUUGGCACCAUAUCCUCAAAAGAAAGAAAGAGUCCAAAUGCACAUACUUAAAUUUUGUCAUUCUCAAGUCAAUGUACAAGUCUCUUUCACGAAAAUUUCAUAUGAUGUGGUCAUUUGCUUUGAGAAAAUAAUUUCUUCACUAUAUUUUCUAUGGCAGAAGUCCUUUUAAUUUGAAUUGUCAAUUCAAGUGAAAGUAUUUUUCACUCUAAUAGCUAUGAAUUAUUCAACUUCUAUUCUCUUCACUUUAAUUUUGAUUUUUCAUUCUGAUUUGACAACUUAAACGUACUCGAGACUUAGUUUACAUUUAUGUCUUCCUCUACUUUUUUAACUUUAAAAAGAAAAACUUUUGUGUUGCUCCCCAAAGUAGAAAAGGAAAAUAAAACUUCAAGUUUUUAGUAUAAAUGAAUGUUGAACUAAUGAGUUUAUACUGAAUAUUCCUUUUGAGAUUAUGUGACAAGACAUUCAAAGUUGAGCAUAUGAACUUGAAAAAUAUAUUAAGUUAAUAAAGCUUAAUUAGAUUAAUACAAAUUAAAGAAGAAUAAGUGUAGAUGCGGACAUCUCUCAAAAUAAAGCAUAAUAGUGAACAUAGGAGUAACCAACUCCACUGCGCCAACGUCUUCUUAUCCUUGACAUCUGAAAAUUGAAAAAUAAGAUUGUGAGCGUCAAACACUUAUCAAUAAGAAAAAUAUGCUUCGUAUAGAGUAUCACUUAGUUAUUGUUAUUAAAGAAAACAUGUAGACUAGUAUAUCAGAAUCAAACUUCAAAUAAUUAUACAUAUUUCUUUUGUCCCAAACGUAAAGGAAAAAAGAGCAGAGAAAAAUGAAAUAAAGAAAGACUUUGUACGUCUUUCUAUGGAAAUUUUAUAUGAAAACUACGACACACAAAUCCAUGUCUCUUUGAAUUUUCAUUUGAUGUUACUACUCAUUAAUUGAACGUAUUCUUUACUCUAAUCAUCAAGUAUCAUGUGUAGUUAGUUUGAACUAUAAAGAAAUAUCCUUUUCUCUUAUUCGUUCAUAGAUAGUAGUGCAAAUGAUGAUCUCAAUUUAUUUUAUUAAAACACAAAUUAUUCAUAGAUUAAUAAUGAGUCUUUUUUGGUAUAAUAAGACAAUAUUUUCCAUGUCUUGAUGAGAAAUUUCAAACAAAUCCCUUUCACUUCCAAAUAAACAAAAAGAUAUAGUUCAUUACCAAUAUAGUGUUGCCACUUUAACAUUAUCACAAAAUAAAGCUCACUGAUAUUAAAUUUAAUAGCAAAAUGAAAAAAAGGCAAGGAAUAAUUCAAUUUAAUUCAGACAAAAAUCAUAUGGUAUAUAUGUGAUGCAGAUAUGUUUGGUUAUAAUUUCUCAUCUUUAAACUAGUGGAGCAUCUAUAGAAAUUUCCAAGAAAGUUGCAUCACAAAAAAUCAUUCAAUUUGAUGUAAAAUCCCAAAGCUUGCAAAAUGAAAAAAAAAGGAAAAAAAAACUAAUGGUAAAUCCUUAUACUUGAUUAGACAUUAAUUUAUUUAUGUGGACCGAUUUUAUUAAAAAGAGAAUACUUUAUUGUGAUCUAAUCAAGCAUAUUUAAGUAGCUGAAAGAGUAGGAAAAUGUCAUUCUCAAACAUUAGAUACGACUAAGUCACAUAAUAAAGUGUUUUUUGGUAUAAUAAGACGAUAUUGAGGGACCUGAUAUUUAUGAUGAGACGUGGUCUUUUCGUAUUCCUUUUUUAUUUCUCAUUCGAUAUUCAUUAUGGUCUCGAUUAAUUUGAAUUUGCACCAUGUAGGCCUAUUAACGGAGGAAGCACCAAGUUUUUUUACGCGGAGUGUCCCUCCAAAUAUCUUUUAUCUUGCAACUAAAAGUAUAAAUGCAGUUCUUUGAAUUUUCAAGUAACUUAGUAAUUUAUGCACGGUUGCAAGAUUUGAUAAGACAGCAACAGCCUUGUCGAUGGCUGGUUCAAGGUCAGACAUUUCCUCGGAUCAAGUAGCUUUAUGUUGUUUGAUUCACACCAAUUUGCUUAAGUGUAGGUCUAAGACUGUUUCAUCGUGACGAAUCAGUCGUGCAUACAGGAAGCAGUGUUUGUCACGACCCAAGCUGAGGCCCUAGUCACGACGGGCCUAAGAGACCCCUUCUAUCCUAGCCCACUAGUGAUAUUGUCCAGCUUGUUCAUUGUUUAUCACGACCGGAGCCGAGGCCCUAGUCACAACGGGCCUGAGAGACCCUUUAUAUCCUAGCCCACUAGUGAUAUUGCCCAGCUUUUUCAUUGUUUGUCACAACCCGAACCGAGGCCCUAGUCACGACAAGCCUGAGAGACCCUUUAUAUCCUAGCCCACUAGUGAUAUUGUCCGCUCUAGGUCUAGACCCUCAUGGCUAUAAAACACGUCUCUAGGGAGUAAGGCUUGCUUACUUAUAUACCCAUCAUCCCUCCUGUGUUUUGCCGAUGUGGGACUCUUUAUCCUAAGUUGGGGUGUUACAUUGUUCUCCUUUAAUUUUUUAAAAGCUCUUGGUUUGACUUCAAUCUUGGGGCAAUCCGCAAUAUUUGCAAAGCUGUCUACAUAAGGUGCUCUGCAUACUUAUGCUGCUAUGAUUUUCUUUUUGAUAGAACAGAAUUACCUUCUUUGAUUCUGUUUAAGUGAGUAAAAAAAGAAAAAGGUCAAUCCAGUACACUAAAGCUACCGCUAUGCGCGGUGUCCGAGGAACGGCCCCACCACAAGGAUGUAUCGUACGCAGUCUUACCUUGCAUUUCUACCAAAGGCUAUUUCCAAGGCUUGAACCCGUGACCUCUGGUCACAUGGCAGCAACUUUACCAGUUACUUCAAGUGAGUAUUGGUCUAAAUAUCUUGUUUUCAUUCGUAAAGUCAUUAAUAUCUUCCUCCGUAGAUUCAACUCUUCUCAAUGCUCUUUCCAAUACUAAAAGUCAUUGGAAGAGUCCCUAAGAGACUGUUGUGGUGCAUAUCUAGAACACUGCAGAAUUGCUCCCUUCAAGUUAGUUUCUUGCCAAAUCUAGCAUUACCAGAGAUGCCAAAUUGCAAAUUGAUGACAGAAUUUCUUAAUUGAGAUUAUUUUGGUUGCGGGAAUUAAGGAAAUGCCUCCGCAAAUUCGUUAUAUUUUCCCAUGGAAAUGUAAAAUGAAAGGGAAAAAUGUUUUCUUCAAAUGUUGCAAAUUCGGCUGCCAUCUCUAAUUCACACUUUGUCUCUGUUCAUAUCUCGUCACAGAAAUUGUUAUCAUUAUCAAGUCAAAUUUGGAUAGUUCUGUUUAUUUUUUUUAAAAGAAUGUGUUGCAUAUCUACAUUUUUUCCCAAGUUAACAAAACUAUCAUACACAAAAUAAUUACUUUUCUCAAAAAUGAAAAAGUAGAGAAUCAUAUGUUGUGCUACUAUUAUAUUUUCUAUGACAGACGUCCUUUAAUUUUGAACUGUCAGUUCAAGUGAAAGUAUUUUUCACUCUAAUAGCUAAAGAUCAUUCAACUUCUAAUCUCUUCACUUUAAUUUUGAUUUUUCAUUCUGACUUGACAACUUAAAUGUACUUGAGACUUAGUUUACAUUUAAGUCUUCCUCUAUCUCUUUUAACUUUUUAGAAAAAAUUUGGUGUUGCUCCCCAAAGUAAAAAAGGAAAAUAAUAAUUCAAGUUUUAGUAGUGCUACAGUAUCAAUGAAUGAGGGAUUUUUCCAAGUUACAUCUAUUUGUUGUUUUGCUGAUACGAUUUCUUUUGUCGAAACCAUUUUCUUUCCCUUUGUAAGGGACUCCCAGAGAAGACAAGUUUUGAUUCAUAAUAUUUUCUUGUUGUAAUUCGUAACGGAUCAGUUACUUAGUGAGGUAUAAGCUUAUUUCUGUUUGUGAAACAAAUAUGGUUUGAAAUUAUGAAUUAAAUAGCUUGAGCUAUUGUCUUCCUUUUGGUAUUAUGUCACAAGACAUUCAAAGUUGAGCAUAUAAACUUGAAAAAUAUAUUAAGUUAAUAAACCUUAAGCUGAUUAAUACAAACUAAAGAAGAACAAAUGUAGAUGCAUACAUCUCUCAAAAUAAAGCUUAUUAGUGAACAUAACAGUAACCAACUCCACUGUGCCAACGUCUUCGUAUCUUUGACAUCUGAAAAUUGAAAAAUAAGAUAGUGAGUGUCAAACACUUAACAAUAAGAAAUACUAAUAUAUCAGCGUAGAACUUAGCUUGAAUACCUGUAAGUUCCCGAACUUAAAUCUUGCUCCAAUGACAAAUGUUCUAGAAGCGAUUAUUGCUUCUUCUGUAAUUCCUUUGCCUUCUCUGCUUCUUUCUCCUCGCCAUCAUAAUUUUGUGUCCCAGAUCUUCAACGAUUCUUACGGUAACCAUGCAAGAACUAAAACAAAUGCUCCCACACACAAGCACAUGAGUUACGCUUAUUCCACUAACUUCUGGGAUUAUUUGCAUCACAUAGUCAUGCACACUUUUCAUCCGAAUGCCAAUUACAGAAUCACCAAAGGUUGUUCAACAUAUGCUAAACGACAAGAGAAAAUAGUUAUACAAAAAUGCUCAUAGCCUUAUCCCAAAGUCAUUCGUCAUCUACAUAUACAACAAGAUGCUAAAAAAAAAAAAAAGACACUUCAUAAAUAAACAUUAAUAAAUGGAUAUUUACAUCACAACCUAAGAAAAGAAAAUGCAAUACUAGACAUGCCGGUUCUACUAGAUAGCACACAGGAGGAAAAGAACACAGGUAGCAAAAAACCCCAUGGUACAAGUACACCCAUCCACACAUAAAAUAAAUGUGCUGUCCUUAAUGCAUAUAAAGAUAGUACAGAGGAGGAGAGUACUUGGAAAAGUACCGGAAAGAUUGUUGUGGUGCAUAUCAAGAACCUCAAGAUGACCACUCAUGUUGCCAAAACAUUGCGGAAUUGCUCCAAUUAGAUUGUUUCUACCCAAAUCUAGAACUUGUAGUGAUGUUAAAUUGCAAAUAGAUGAUGGGAGCUCUCCAUUGAGAUUAUUAUGUGACAUCAUCACAUACUGGAGGCCACUGAUAUUACCCAAGCAUUGCAGAAUUUUUCCCUUCAAGUUGUUUCUAGACAAAUACAGGACUGUCAGUGAAGUCAAAUUACAAAUAGAUGAAGGAAUUUCCUCAAUCAAAUUGUUGUUGCCGAGAAAUAGAGUUUGCAAGUUUCUAAAAUUUCCAAAGGAAGACGGAAUUGAACCAGUAAGUAGAUUAUUGGAUAAUGUCAGAUUAUUUAGGUUUUUCAGAUUCCCUAACACACUAGGAAUUUGGCCAGAGAGUUGAUUAUCGGAUAAUUCCAGAUUAUUGAAUUUUUUCAGAUUCCCCAACUCAUUAGGAAUUGGGCCAAAGAGGUUUUUAUUAUUGGAUAAUACCAGAUGAUUGAGGUUUAUCAGAUUCCGCAACUCACUAGGAAUUGGGCCAGAGAGUUGAUUAUUGUAUAAUGCUAGAGUAUUGAGAUUUUUCAGAUUCCCCAACUCACUAGGAAUUGGGCCAGAGAGAGUUGCUUAUUGGGUAAUCCCAGAAAAAUGAGGUUUUUCAGAUUCCCUAACACAUUGAGAAUUAGGCCAGAGAGAUUAUUAUUGUAUAAUUCCAGCUCAAUGCGGUUUUUUAGAUUCCCCAACUCACUAGUAAUUGGGCCAAAGAGCUGAUUAUCAUAAAGAUACAGAUAGGACAAGUUGUUCAAAUUCCCCAAUGAAGCAGGAAUAAAGCCAAUAAGGAAGUUCCCGCCCAAAGAUAGCUUAGUAAGAGACCUUAGGUAACCUACUUCUCCUGGAACGGGACCAUUUAAAUGGUUGUCAAAACUGAGGAGGAUCUGAAGCUUGACUAGUGAGCCGAUUUGUGAUGGGAUUGUGUAUGAAAUUUGAUUGCUAUUCAAGUCAAGAUAGACAAGAUUAGUGAGACUACCAAUCUCAGGUGGGAUGGUGCCAGAAAAAUUGUUCAUGGUAUGAUCAAGAUACUCAAGAAAAGGGAGAGAUGAAAACGGGAAAUCAUAGAGUGUAGCAAAGACACUAGCAUUUGUGAUAUUCAACGUGUUUACCCUACCAUUAAUGCAUGAAACUCCGUACCAUUCGUUGCAUGCAUCAGAACCUGGUUGCCAUGAAGCCACUAAGGAAUUAUUCAGGUUCUUGAAAGUUGCUUUCCAUUUAAGGAGGGCAGUUGUUUCAUCACAGAAGCAAAAGUAACUCUAAAAGGAUAUAAAAGAGUUAAAAGACCAAGUAAUAAAGAGAAUAUUUUGUUGGGAACCAUCAUCAUAUUUUGAGUUUAUUAUUUUAGUAUUGAAUGUCUUCAUCAGAGGUAGGGGUAUGAACUGCGUACAUCUUACCCCCCAGACCCCACUAGGUGGGAAUACACUGGAUUUAUUGUUGUUGUAUUUUAGUAUUGAAUGAAGUAAUUGUGGAGGGUUCACAGGGUUUUAUAUUGUACCUAACUUAUCAUUAAAUACCAAAAGGGAAACGUGUUUUCAUCAAAUGUUGCAAAUUCGACUAUUCCCUCUCAUUCCCACUUUGUCUCUUCAUAUUAUAUCAGAGAACAUGUUCCAUUCUCAAGUCAAAUUUGCGUUGUUAUGUUUUUGUCUUUUUUAUAAACAAAAUUAUCCACAUAUUACGGAAAAAAAAAUGGCAGCCCGGUGCACUAAAGGUACCGCUAUGCACGGUGUUCGGGGAAGAGCCUCACCACAAGGGUAUAUUGUACUCAGUCUUACCUUGUAUUUCUGUCAGAUAGUGUUUCCAAGGCUUGAACCUGUGACCUCCUGGUCACAUGUAUACUUGUAUUUUGUGUUACCUCCUUAUUUAUUGUCAUCACAAAAUGUCUUAAUUAUUCUCUCUCUCUUAUACAUUCACACUUGGUAGAUAAAAUUGUCUUUUAUUAACUUGUAUGAUUCUCAAGUCAAAUUGUGUAACACAUCUACAUUUUUUUCAAGUAAACAAAACUAUCAUACAGAAAAUAAAUUUCGUCAAAAGAAUAUCUGGCAUCAGAAUGGAGUCGAAGAAAAUCAUCCAUUGAAGGUUCAUAUUUGAGUAUCGGAUUGGUGACUGUCCUGUUAGGUUGAUCCAUCUCAUUAUCGGGUCAACCGGAUGGUCAUUAUUGGGAAUUAAGGUGGGAACUCGCGGCCUCAUGUGACGAAAGAAGAAUAACAAUGACUCGUGUCCCGAAGAAAAAAUAAAAGGACAAAAGGGCAGAUACGAUAGAUGUACGCCUACGAGAUCAACCAAAUUGUUGGGUUCAAUAUAUAUGAAAAACGUGAAUGGAAAAUGGAGGGACACAAGCUUUGGGAAAAGACAUAUUGUUUUGAAAAAGGAGUGACUUUUCAGAUAGUUUUGUCUGUUCAGAAAAAGACACAAUGUUUCGAAUGAACAGACAUGACUCUUCCAAAGGAUACACCUUCUCGGAUGAACCAUUGCCAACUUUCGGAAGGGGCGCUUGAUGGCUAUAUAAACUAGCAUUUAUCCACAGGUUUAUGCAUGAAAAUUUUUUCUGAACAUAAAAACUCUUCUUGUCUUCAAAACAUUCCUUGUGAUCAAUCAAAUCGUUGAGUGAGUUCGACGAAUCCAAUUAUUUAAGGUAUGAUACAAAACAGCCCAAGAACACAAGAAAACAAACACCAAAACAGUCCACUAGUUCAAGGAACUAUGGACCUCUUUUGGUGACCUCUCUCGGAUUCAAGAACACAAUAAGAAGACCAUGUAAUGAGGUGUUUAACAACUAUUUUCCAGCAGCAAACCAAACUAUAUUAUGAUAAUAAAAAUGAAGAACAACAAUGUUACAACAACAAUAACCUAACGGCUUGAACAAGAACAACACAAACUACAAGAUUAGGACAAGAAAUAAAGAUAGAUAGUUAGACAAGUCUUGAUGUAGUCUUAACAACCCAAGAGCAUAUUCCACUCUUAGACCUUUAACACUUCAUACAACAAACACCUAACGCUUACAAUGACACAAGAGGGGCAUCCACCUCUUAAAGCACCAAAGUCUCAAGCUUUGUAAUACACAAGAGAAUCCACCAUUAUGCUAUGACCUAAUUUCAAUUUUGAGAACUCUCUCUCACAAGAGUAGUGUCUUCAAUAUCAAGAAUAAACUAAGAAAAUAAACCCUACAAGGUUCUAUUUAUACAACAUUAUAAAUAAUAGAGAAAUGACAAAAGACCCUUUGUUGACCUCUCUCGGAUUCGCAAGAAGAACAAGAAAGGAAGUGAUAUCAAGAGUAAAACACACUAAAACAGCAACAACACUUGAUGAACAAGAUGCAAUAACAACAACACACGGUUACAAGACAAGAACACAAACGGAUUACAACUUUAUGUUUAAUUCGCUUAUAUUGUAGCUCAAUUCGCUUAUAUUGUAGGAGCCGUAGAAUUGGUUGGGGCCGUACAAAUUUACAUACGCUCUUAAGCUGCUCGACCUGUUGGGAACAUAUAUUGUUAUUUUUCAGGGACUACCCUUGUGUUGCAUAUACCUUGUUUACUUCAGUAAAAACAAAAAGUGAUUGUAUGAACUAUCUACCUAGUUGAAUUAUGCACUUUGUAUCAAAAAAAUAUUUUCAUCAGUGUCAUCUUCAAGUAUGGAACUUUGAAGUUCUCUCAUUCUGACAAAAAUCCAUAUUUGUUUUGUCUCAUCUGUUUCUGCUACCGUUGUGCCUGAAAAUAUUUUGUAUUUUCGCCAAGCACAGAAAUCUGACAAGUCUUGAAAGACUGAACUCGCGUAUUAGGCAAAAUACAAGAUUUUCUCGUGUGGCUAGGGGUGACAAUUCAACCAGAUGAGAUGUGGUUUGUUUUGUUAAAAUCUUUUCAGCAGAGUGUAUCUUGUUGAUAGCUCAUGUUUGAGCUCUCAGUAGGCUAGGGUGAUUUCAUUUCACCUUACUAAUCCCGGAGAAGCUUCAAAUACAUGUCUAGAUUGUAUAAACAUACUUCUUAGGUGCUUAGCUACUCUUGCAUUUUGUUUUUUCAAAAUUGUUCUAAAAAUGAUUUUUCUUGUCCAUGAUUAUCUCUGGAUAUUCUAUUUCCUUCGUUUGGGCAGAUUUAUUUCUCCCUCUUUGCACUUUUGUAGCUUUGGUGUUCUGUCUUGUCAUUCCGCCACUUUCUUUGAUUUUCUUAAAGUGGUUCACAAUUGAAGUAUUGGGAUUCUUUCGACUAUCUUGUUGACAUUGUUUUGUUGCAUCCAUCGCCUCCAUGUUGGCAUUUGUCUUGUGGAGUAAGGGCAUUUUCUUGAACUUUCCUCGUGUUGCCUAUGUUCGCUAAUCUAUUUUCUGAUGUUGUUGCUGUUUCCUGUUUUAUCCUUCCUGAAAUAUCCUGGUUUCCUUCAUUUUCUGUUUCCAUAGCAUUCUUAUCUUUUCCCGUAGUCAUGGCCAUCAGGAUGGUGGCGCUAUGUUCAGGAUUGCUACAUGCAUUAACGACCUCUUUGUGAACUUGACCUUGAGUUCUCCUUCUGCAUUAUCUCUAGAGAGUCCACCCUUAUUGUUUUCCUGUAUUUCCCUAUCAAAUUUCAGUUCAGGGUGUAACUCUCUACAUUUCUCAUCACCAUAGUUUCAUAUUCCACGACUUGGGCAAUCACUGUCAUGUGGUCUUCUUUGUUUCUGAUUUCUAGUAAGAUUCACUUAGGGGUUUGGUUAAGUCUAUCUCUACCUUGAUUUUUCACGGCGUAGGUCUAAUUUUUGUGCUAGUGGGGUACCAGUUGGCUCCACAAUGCAACAUAGAGCAUCCCAAACGUAGUGAUCCUAAAUUGAGCCUCUAUUUUCAUUGUGUCACACCUUUUUUUUUUCUAACUCCAAAAAGAUUCAUGAUUUUAAUUGUUUUUAAAGGAUUUUUAUUAUUAAGUGACAAAAGAUAAAAAUUUGUUUCGAAAAGGAUUCAUUUUAUUCUAAACUCAAAGUCGCCAAUUGGCAUAAAUCGGGUGUGUCAAGUCACCCGUGGAUAUCCUUUUUCAAAACGGUUUUGACUCUGUAAAAUUGAUCUGAGAAUAGACAUUCCGGCUAAGGAAUUCUGUUGACCGAAGGGAAGGUGUUAGGCACCCCUCGAUCCAGUGGUUCGACCACGAUCGCUUGGUGGAGUAUAUCGGCUAAUUUUGACACUACUAAUGUACAAACCACAAAGACACAUGUAAAGCAAUCAAACAAACAAACCAAACCAAACGUAUAAAAGUAUAGCGUUCAGUCCAAUUAUACAGUCCCAAAAAUAAAAAAAAAUGCUAAAAUAAAUCCUAUCUAACCUAUACUAAUCCUAACUAUGCUCCCUUGCUUUACUCGAUGCCUCGGGCCUUCCUCACGAACAUCUUUCCGCCAACAUAGUACGUCGGGGCAUUCCCCGGUGAAGAAACACAAAUAUCUCGGGGCAUUCCCNNNNNNNNNNNNNNNNNNNNNNNNNNNNNNNNNNNNNNNNACUCAACACAAAUAUUUACACAUUCGAUGAUUAAAAUCCUACGAGUUGCCUACCCCCAAAACCUAGAACAAACCUAGAACUUACCUAUCAGUGCCCGACCUAAGACAUGAUACUAUUACACUUAACAUCAAUAUUUAUUUCAAAAUAAACCGACAACAAUAAAUCAAGCUAAUCCUUCUUCAUUUUAUCAAUUUUUCGAUCCCGACCCCAAACAACAACUUAAAUUCUCAAUCAACGAUUAACUAAUCUUUAGGCUAUCAAUUUAAUCUUCAUAAUUCGAAUUCAACAUCAACCAACAUUUAUGAUUCAAACAUCACAAAAUCAAACAAAGAAAACAAGAUCCACACAUUGUCAAUUCGCCACACAAAAUAUCAAAAUUUAAAAUUAUUCGAGAAAAGGGAUGAGAAAUGGACCUCAAUCGAAGCUUUUAUUAUGCCAAAUAAUGCGAUUAGAAAAUAGAAUCGGGUCCGAAAGCCUCAAGUUGAACCUCAAUCGCGAACUAACCAACUCCAAAACUUGGUAUCACCAAAAUCGAAACCCGGAACUGACCACAAUGACCCAAUCGAGACAAAUCGAACCUUUGAGGCGUGUCUUUCAAUUUUAAAAAUUCUUCAAAAUAGAGUAGCCCUUAAACCUUGAACAAAAUUCACACUCAUUAAAGAAUCGAUCAUGACUUCUAUUUUCGCCUUAACCGAUGGUGCAGAAAACACCAAAAUUCGACCCACGAACCUAGAUUUUUACCCGAAAUCUCGAAAUCGAAGCAAUGAGGGAGAAAGAAAGUAAAUUUGACAGCUCCCCAAGGAAUUCUGUGACUUUUAUGGUUUAUCCUAUGAAGAUCAAUGAGAAGGGAGUCAUCUAGUCAGUAAUGAAAUGGAAUUUUGGAGAUGGAGAUGUGGGUGACGUAUGACCCAAAAUGAAAGGGGGUCUGUGUUGUUAUUCUAGGAAGAAAAGAGAAGGGGGUGUGUGAAUGUCGAUGGUUGUGUGUGUAUGGUGUGUACAGAAAGAGUGACGAUGGAAGGAGUAGUGUUGGUGUUUGUCUAUGGUGAGAGAAUUAUAAGGGGUGAGUGUGAGAGUGUGUGUUCCUUUUUAAGGGAAAGAAAAAUGGAAGAUGAUCAUCCCCUCCCUGUGGGCCCCUCGCCUUAUUCUCCUUUUCUAGAAAACCAAAUUGGAUUCCCUUUUUUUUUUUUUUUUUUUUUUUUUUUCUGAAUGGGAAAGACCAAGCAAUAUUUCAAGUGGUCCUCUUUUUUCUUCCCUUUUUAUCAUGUAAAUGUGAGUAUAUGUAUUGAGAAAAAUGGAAUAAUUCGUGGCCCCACUCUUUUUGGAAUGUAGUCUAAUUGUGGAAGAAAGAAAUGGGAAAUCACGUGAAAGGGGAGUAGGUGGGUUUAGGGGUGAGGUAAGGUAGGGUGUAGGGUGAGGUAGUUUGUUAGGAUGAGGUGUAAAAAGGAUUAGGGUGGGAUAAAAUUUGUUAAGGUGUUUGUUAUUUUUGGUUCUUUUACGAGGAAUAAUUACAUGGUUGAGGGUGUACGGUAAGGUGAGCUGAAAAUGAAUAAAAUUGAACUUGAGAGGAACAAAAUUAGGUGUCUACACAUUGGUUUCAGGUUUGAAAGAGGAGGUCCAUUUGAUGAUUUUCAUAUUUUUAUUACCUCCCAGAGCUAUGAAGUUCCUAGAUGCUGUCUUGUUUUAAUUAGAUUGUCAACAAAUUCUUACUGCUCCUAGAACCCAGUGGCAGUAGUAAGAAUUCACCAGCAAACUCAGCACCCUGCAGUAACCAAGAGAUUUCGCAAACACUGUCCACCUUCAUACCAAUACCAUUAGCUGCAGCUACUAACGUUAGUGUUGUUGCUUUAGUUGGACAUUCCAAUUGCUUCACUACUUCAGGAUCAAUGAAGUUACGAGAGCUUCCAGUUUCCACUAAAAUUUGCAGUGGUCUCUUUGAGUCAUAACCGGUCACCCUAAACAUUGUGUACCCCAGUGAACCAUUAAGAGACUGAAUCAAAUUAUAUGGUGCUCAGCCUCUCAAAUAUGUCAUAGUGUAUGUGUGUUGGAUCCUUCAAAAAUAGUGCAUUUUUGGAGGAUCUAACACUGGUGCAAUAACAUUUUUGAAGAGUUCGAGUAAUUUAGGAAUCGAUUAUGCUACUUCUAUCACUAAUUGUAACUGCUGACAUGGACAGAUACUAACUACUAUUAUGACACUGCCUCAUAUUUAUGUAACAGUAAGAUCCAAAGUUGAAAGGGAAACAACUCAGAUCCGAAAAACCCUCGACUCAAGUAACGCAUAAAAAAGACAUAACAAAUAAUAGAUGAACAUGUGCCCAGGAGGUCACGUGUUCAAGCCUUGGAAGCAGCCUCCGGCAGAAAUGUAAGAUAAGCUUGCGUACAAUACACCCUUCUGGUGGGACCCUUCCCUGGACUCUGCGCAUAGCGGGACCUUUAGUGCACCGGGUUGUCCUUUUAAAUAAUAGAUGAAGCAUUAUAGAACAAUCCAGAAAAAGGAACAGUAACAACAACACAAAAGAAAUGCAAUAACCAAAGCACCAGAAACAAUCAGUAGUAACAAAAAUCUAAGGACAAGAAACUAUGAGAAUGUUGCUAAUAUUACUGGUAUUAAAGGAGAAACAGGUAUGGUGCGCCAAACUACCACCAAGCCUAUUUGCAGGAAAGGGAGACGACACUCAACAACGUAACCUUACUAACCUAAUACCCGACCUCCACGACCUCCUAUCUAAGGUCAUGUCCUCGAUAAACUAAAGAUGCUUUGUCUUGUCGAAUUACCUCUCCUCAAUACUUCACAAAUAAUAAACAAAGAAGAAAUCUACAGCUUAAAACAGAACUAUAACAGUAAAUUAGUCCAUAUACAAGUAAAUUAGUCAAUUGCAGUUUUGCCAAGACAUUCUUAACAGCGACAACAUGAGCCCCUGUUGACAUCGAUCCUAUGUUUAACAUGAGACUUUACCUGUAUCAUAAAGUCAUGUCACAUGGAAAGAAGAAGAAAUAUGAUGUUCUUUUUGUUCUAAAUAUUAUUAUGAAUAUGCUUUGGUUUCUAUUCUUGUUGAUGCACAUAUAUAAUGUUGGAAAUCAGUAUUAGAGCUUAACUUGAACUGGUUCAAAACAAGGUACGAGAUUAAGGAGAAAGAUGGAGGAGAAAGUGGAGAAGCAGUGCGGUACUAAGGCAAAUAUGGUACGUGAAGGUUAAAUUGUAACAUUUUGCACAUCAAUGAUCAAUGAAGAUAAGAUUUUAACUUUACAUAAGAGUAUGUAUAUAAGCCAGGCGAUAAAAUGAAGUAAUUUAACGUGGUUUGAUCAAUUGACCUACAUUUAUAUGCAAUAGAAACAAUUGAACUAAUAUAGAAGUGCAUAAAAAUAUCGAGAGGAUAAAUUCUCCCCUUAAAAAAUACUCUUCAAUCCCUAAUAAAGUACUAUAUUAAUGUGGACGGUGUCGUAUAGUGUGAGUAGGUAUCUUUAAUUUCUGUGUAACACAAUUUUUUUCUUUUAAGAUUGUCAAAUUUUAUUUGUUCAAUCAGAUAUAACAAUAUAGCACGGAAACAGUGUAUCAUAUCAGAAGUAGAAUAAUUACAUGUUACAUGACUCGGAAUACAUGUGCAACACACGUGCUGAAGAACUAGUAUAUAAAGAAAAGGAAGAUCAAAAAGGAGAAACCCUAAGCAUUCAAAUCAAAGCAAUAGAGAAGAGGAAGCUGUAAAGAUGAUUCGAAAGGCAAAUUGUAUCAAAGGUAUCUGUUUCUUUCUGCUUGAUCUCUGUGUAUUUUCUGCUUGUUUCUAUUUAUUUUUUUUCGUGUUCUUUUUACCCCUUGUGACCAAGAGUGUCACGACCUGAACCGGGGCCCUGGCCGUGACGAGAAUUCCGAACCAUGAAGGCCCGAAAUAUCCCUAUCUAUCUUGUAAUCAUGCACAUAAUUCAUAUGAUAAUAAGAUAUGCGGAAGAUACACAAUAUUAUGGAAAACAUGGUCAUGAAUAAAAUGAAAUCAACAAAGGGGAAAUAAUGUCCCACAACAUCUAUCGACAUCUGAACAACCGUCUGCGAAAUCUCUAAUACAUGACUGAAACAAAUUACUGUCGGAAAACUGGGACAAGGCCCCCAGUAGACCCAAAACUACUAAAUGAUAAAUAAACUGACAGACAUCAGGCCUUCCGAAAUAUAGAGGACUCACCACUUGAUUCUGCAAAUCUGUCGGAAGAGAUCUACUGGUUAUCUGGACCCCUAAACUGUGCCUCCAAACAUGGGAGGGAAGGGGGUCAAUACAAAAGUACUGGUACGCAGAGAAAUCAAAAACAAAAUAUAAUAUUUUUUUUCAAAUAUAGGUGAGAGCCAUUAUAAAGCAGUUUCAUAUCAAAUCAUUUAAAAACACAUCGGCAUAAUGUAAUACUUUUCAACAACAAUGUAAUGCAGCUGAGCUAGGUGGAAUACCCUACAUAUAACAUUUACACCAACUGUCAAAUCUCGAUUGCCGCCGAGAUUAGAGUAUAAGUGAGGGAAAGACACACAAGAUCACACAGCAGGGUGUCUCGACCCAAUAAAGUAUAGUAGCACCCAAGAUCACUCAGCCUGGGAUCCUAACCAUAGUCCCAAUUUGGAAAUGACAUAAAGUCAAGUACACAAGAUCACUUAGCCUGGUACCAAAUCCCCAUGUCGGCAAACACAAUUCCCAGUGAUGAGCCCUUACACUCAAACGCCUUCUUCGGACAUCCAUCUAUCUCAUGUAAAAUCAAUGCAUCAAACUCCAUUUAGUUCAAUGACAUAUCUUAUUCUGUAGGGUAUCGUCAUACCCGACUUGCAAGCCAUCAAUAUCACAUCAUUCUUUCAUGCAACCAUUAUAUUCAUCAUAUUUCAACAUAACAACCCUCUCAUUGCAAGUCAAACCAUGACCAUUUUUAAAAUAUUUCAUGUCAUGCUUGUCUAGAUGAUUUCAAACAUUUCACAUCAUAUGAGAAUUUAAAAUGAGAUCAUAUAAAGAGAGGGAUUUCAUAUAAUUCAUGCUCUCAAGUUAACAUCUUUUUGGAAUACAUGCAUAUACAUAUAUCAUAUAUCAAACCAAUUCGGGAAUAGGACUAAAGACCAAAUCAAUAUCAUAAAACGUUUAAAUCCGUAUUAUAUUCAUAAUUUCAAAACCCUCAUUUUUAAAACAUGAAUUUUUAAGCCCAUGAGAUUUUUGAGAUAACCCCACGUACCUCUAUAUGCGAAGAUGANNNNNNNNNNNNNNNNNNNNNNNNNNNNNNNNNNNNNNNNNNNNNNNNNNNNNNNNNNNNNNNNNNNNNNNNNNNNNNNNNNNNNNNNNNNNNNNNNNNNNNNNNNNNNNNNNNNNNNNNNNNNNNNNNNNNNNNNNNNNNNNNNNNNNNNNNNNNNNNNNNNNNNNNNNNNNNNNNNNNNNNNNNNNNNNNNNNNNNNNNNNNNNNNNNNNNNNNNNNNNNNNNNNNNNNNNNNNNNNNNNNNNNNNNNNNNNNNNNNNNNNNNNNNNNNNNNNNNNNNNNNNNNNNNNNNNNNNNNNNNNNNNNNNNNNNNNNNNNNNNNNNNNNNNNNNNNNNNNNNNNNNNNNNNNNNNNNNNNNNNNNNNNNNNNNNNNNNNNNNNNNNNNNNNNNNNNNNNNNNNNNNNNNNNNNNNNNNNNNNNNNNNNNNNNNNNNNNNNNNNNNNNNNNNNNNNNNNNNNNNNNNNNNNNNNNNNNNNNNNNNNNNUAUACAAAGUGUAAUGGUUGAUUGAAGUUGACCUAAGUUUCAACGCUCACUAAAAUUCGAACGAUAGGAAAACUUUCAACUUGUCCUUGAGCUUGGGGACCUCUAUGAUCUCAAUUCAUGCUCAAAUAGGCUUCCACACUACAUAAUUUAUUAAAACACUAAUCUUGCAUUGAAUUUAUGGCUUUUUGAACCUUUACGUGAAGGAAAUGAUGAUUUUCGUUCUCGUCCGAAAUGCGGGGUGUUACAAAGAGGUCAUGGUUCAAGCCUUGGAAAUAGCCUCUGGCAGAAAUACAAGGUAAGGCUUCGUACAAUACACCCUUUUGGUGGGGCUCUUCCCGGACACUACGCACAGCGGUAGCGUAGUAGUGCAUCGGGCUGCCCUUUUCCUCUUUUUACCCCUUGUAAAGGUGGUACUUGAGUUAGCUUUGACGUACUAACUCCAUAGGCGGGCGAGCUAGAUUACUAGUUACUAAUUCGGCAAAAUUCAGUAAUUUUGGCAAAAAUCCUGUAUAUGUGUUGAGAAUCUAUUUAAUAUGUAUAAUAAUUUUACCAGAACCCAACAAGUAACCUUUUCUAGCAUCUAGAACUCAUAAACUUAUGAUUCUAGAUCCGCCUCUGCGCGGGGCUGCUUAUGUCUUUUGGUCUAUAUGAAAUUAAUAAGCACAAUCUUUAAUUGAAGGGAAAAGAGCUACGAAGCAUUUUGAGGAAUAAAUUAAGAUGGAUGUUGAUGGUGCUAGGGGAAUCCACUUCAAUGAAGAAAUAGUUGUGGACAUCCUUAGUAGGCUACCUGUGCGAUCUCUUCUUCGAUUCAAAUGUGUUUCGAAGUUUUGGAUGGCAUGGAUCUCCGAGCCUUGCUUUACGCUGAAGCAUCUCAAGCUUUCCAAUAAUAACCAAAAUUCCCCAAAAAUUCUUUUUUCUUAAGAACAUGUUUUCCUGGCAUCUUUCCUCUUUAACACCAGCUUCUUUGUUGUUGACUCAAUUUACUGAGAAUGUACAAAAACUUGAUUGGCUUUAUGGCGGUAAACCAUGGAGUUGCAAUAUAUAUUGUUGCUACGAUGGCUUGGUUCUUGUGGGGGUUCGUAGAUAUGAUAAUACUAACCAUCUCAUACUUUUUCUAUGGAACCCUUCCACAAGAGAAUCGGUAGUACUUCCUAGUACAAAAUUUUUACCGCAAGAAGAUUAUACUUGCGGAUUGGGAUAUGACUCAACUAGUCAUGACUAUAUGAUCCUUAAGUUAAGUUACAAAUCAUGCAGUGAAAUUCUUGCAUUGAAAAGUGGUAUGUGGAGAAUAAUUGGUAAGCCUACUGGCAUUUACUCCUCGUGGUUGUCUGAUAUGGACUCUUUGACUUUUGUACAUGGAACAUUUCAUUGGCUUGGUUUGUCACGGAUUGAGUCUGUGACUUCAUAUGAUAUUUCAAAUGAGGUAUUCAAAGAAAUACCAUUGCCAGAUGGAUGGAAUGUUUGUGGUCCCCAACAUGAAAUAUGUCAAACAUGGCUUUUCUAUUUUGGGAGAAAUGAUUUGUAUUUGUUCUACUCAUCGUGACCAGUGGAAGUACACUUUCAACGUAUGGAUAAUGAAAGACUAUGGUGUGAAGGAAUCUUGGAAUCGAUUUUUCACUAUACAAAGUGCUGAUCUUUAUUCUUUGAUACCAGAAUACAGGUUUUCAGAUGGUGAAGUGUUACUCCGUUGCAAGCAUUUUGACCGUUGUGGUUAUCUUUUUAAUACAACCAAAGAAAUAUCUGGUUUUUGGCCUAAAUAUCGUUCAGAAUUUAUUCAGAAUGGAUUUUUUUAUACAGAAAGCUAGAUCUCUCCAAAAUUACUUACAUAGUAUUUACUCAUUUACGAUCAAGACAACAUUUUUUCGAGGUAAUCAUACUACAACCUCUUUUUCAUUUUAAUGUUAGUAGUAGUUCUCUUUUUCCUUGAAAUAUUAUGAGGUUCUGUUAAGAGAAGCUGUUGUAGCUCAUCAUUUGCUUAUAUUGUAGGUGCUUAGCUACAUACUUUUUAGGUGCUUAGCUACUCUUGCAUUUUGUUUUUCAAAAUUGUUCUAAAAAAUGAUUUUUCUUGUCCAUGAUAAUCUCUCGAUAUUCUAUUUCCUUUGUUUGGGCAGCUUUAUUUCUUCCUCUUUGCACUUUUGUAGCUUUGGUGUUCUGCCUUGUCACUCUGCCACUUUCUUUGGUUUUCUUAAAGUUGUGGCCUUCUUUCUUCCAGCCACCAUACGGUUCGCCUUAAAGCCUUAAGGAGAAGGGGAGGAGUAGUUAUCUAUGUAAUUACGGUCUUUGUUAGCCGCUGUUCCAGUCGAGCACUCUCUUUUCUUUGUUCAAUUCCGCCUUACCAAACAGGACUGACUUAUUACCAACCUGCAAAGGGCUGUGAGGGUAGACCAGGUACGAGGAAUGAAUCUAUAUUUGUGCACGGAAGUUUCUGGCCGGCGGCCAUUCAACUGUUUGAGCGCAAUGCAGUGUGUUGGUUCCGACUCGGUAAAGGUAGAAUGCCUGGUCGAUGGUCCAGUACAGUAGGUAUUAGGCGUCAUCGUUUUGGCUCACAACUGAAGUAUUGGGGUUCUUUCUACUUUCUUGCAGACAUUGUUUUGUUGCAUCCAUUGUCUCCAUGUUGGCAUUUGUCUUGUGCGGUAAGGGGGUUUUCUUUGAAUUUCUCUCGUGUUGCCUGUAUUCACUAAUCUCCUCUCUGAUGUUGUUGCUGUUUCCUGUUUUAUAUCCUUUCUGAGAUAUCCUGGUUUCCUUAGUGUCAGCCUUCUUCAUUUUCUGUUUCCGUAGCAUUCUUAUCUUUUUCUGUAGCCAUGGCCAUCUGGAUGAUGGCGCUUUGUUGAGGAUUGCUACAUUUCCGAACUCUUUGUGAACUUGACCUUGAGUUCUCCUGCUGCGUCAUCUACAUUUCUCAUCACCAUUCCCUUGCAUCCUGCAACGGGAGCCGUAUAUGCUGGUAUAGUUUCAUAUUCCACGACUUGUGUGAUCACUGUCAUGUGGCCGCCUUUGGUUCUGUUUUCAAGUAAGAUUUCAUUGACUAGGGGUUUGGUUAAGUCAAUCUCUACCUUGAUUUUUUCUGCCUUAGGUCUAGUUUGUGUGCUAGUGGCCUUAUCCAUAGCAAGACGGGUACCAAUUGGCUCCACAAUGCGGCAUUGAGCAUCCCAAACGUAGUAAUCCCAUAGGAGGUUAAUCCAACCUUUGGCAGCCAUAACCUUGCCAAAUUCUCUCCUAAUGAUGUCAAUCAAGGGACGUACGUGGGAGAGGUUACCAAUUAUUAGCCAUUUGCAGGUUUGAGCUAGCAUCUCUUUUUCAUCUUCCAUAAACACAACCACUGGUUUACCAUUCGCUAUAAAAAAGAGCUAGCGAGUGUAGAGUUCGAUUCUUUGCUUCUGUUAAAAUCUGUUGUCUACGGUGUUGAUGUAGGAGGUUGUGAGUUCCCUCUAUUCCAGGGGUUGUCGGAGGUAGCUUGGUUAUCAAUCUCUCCAAAAUCACUACUUUGUUAAUAUUGCUUGUGUAUGAUCGCGACACUUUUUUUGGUAAUCAUGAUACUACCACUUAUUUGUUUUGAUGUCAUAAAUUCAGCUCUCUGAUGCAAUAUAGUUGAAAGUAGUACCUACUAUUUUGAUUGGAAUAGUUAGAAAAAUGAUGAAAUCAAAGAUAAUGAUUCAUAUAGUCGAUCUCAGCGUGUUUGGUAGUGAGGUGUUGCUGUUAUUGCUAAUAGAUUAUACGCGACUUCAGGAAGACCCGGCAACAGUUUGCUUGCUCAACGGGGAUAGCUUAUAGAGGCAUUAACCUCAAAAUGACGCUUUGCAAAUUGGUGAAAUGGUUAAGACCACCCCUGUUGCUGGUUAAAUUUAGUAGCGAUGGGAGUUGCAUACAAGGUAUGUACAUAACCAGGCGAUAUAAUAAAGUAAUUUAAUGUGGUUUGAUCAAUUGACCUUCAUUUAUAUGGGAUAGAUGAACAACUGUACUAUAUAGAAGAGUAUAAAUAUCGAGAUAAUAAAUUCUCCCCUUUAAAAGACUCUCCUAUCCCUAAUUACAGUACUACAUUAAUGUGGACAUCGUCGUAUAGUGUGUAGUAAUUAUCUUCAAUUUUUGUGUAACACACUUUUAUUCUUUUAAGAGCUGCACUAUUCUUCUUUCAUUUUGAUUUUCAAAUUUUAUUUGUUCUAUUAGNNNNNNNNNNNNNNNNNNNNNNNNNNNNNNNNNNNNNNNNNNNNNNNNNNNNNNNNNNNNNNNNNNNNNNNNNNNNNNNNNNNNNNNNNNNNNNNNNNNNNNNNNNNNNNNNNNNNNNNNNNNNNNNNNNNNNNNNNNNNNNNNNNNNNNNNNNNNNNNNNNNNNNNNNNNNNNNNNNNNNNNNNNNNNNNNNNNNNNNNNNNNNNNNNNNNNNNNNNNNNNNNNNNNNNNNNNNNNNNNNNNNNNNNNNNNNNNNNNNNNNNNNNNNNNNNNNNNNNNNNNNNNNNNNNNNNNNNNNNNNNNNNNNNNNNNNNNNNNNNNNNNNNNNNNNNNNNNNNNNNNNNNNNNNNNNNNNNNNNNNNNNNNNNNNNNNNNNNNNNNNNNNNNNNNNNNNNNNNNNNNNNNNNNNNNNNNNNNNNNNNNNNNNNNNNNNNNNNNNNNNNNNNNNNNNNNNNNNNNNNNNNNNNNNNNNNNNNNNNNNNNNNNNNNNNNNNNNNNNNNNNNNNNNNNNNNNNNNNNNNNNNNNNNNNNNNNNNNNNNNNNNNNNNNNNNNNNNNNNNNNNNNNNNNNNNNNNNNNNNNNNNNNNNNNNNNNNNNNNNNNNNNNNNNNNNNNNNNNNNNNNNNNNNNNNNNNNNNNNNNNNNNNNNNNNNNNNNNNNNNNNNNNNNNNNNNNNNNNNNNNNNNNNNNNNNNNNNNNNNNNNNNNNNNNNNNNNNNNNNNNNNNNNNNNNNNNNNNNNNNNNNNNNNNNNNNNNNNNNNNNNGGGGUUCGUAAAUAUGAUAAUAUUAAAAAUCUCAUGCUUUUGCUAUGGAACCCUUUCACAAGAGAAUCAACAGUACUUCGUAGUACAGAAUUUUUACCGUCAGAGGAUUAUAUUUGCGGAUUGGGGUAUGAUGCAACUAGUGGUGACUAUAUGAUCCUUAAGAUCGGUUACCAAUCAUGUAGUGAAAUUCUUGCACUGAAAAGUGGUUCGGGGAGAAUAAUAGGUAAGCCUACUGGCAUUUACCGCUCGUGGUUGUCUGAUAUGGACUCUCUGACUUUUAUACAUGAAGCGUUUCAUUGGCUUGGUUUUUCACGGGAUGAGUUUGUGACUUCAUACGAUAUUUCAAAUGAGGUAUUCAAAGAAGAAACAAUUUACAAAUGGAAAGUUUGUGGUUCCGGGCAUGAAUUGCGUCAAACAUGGCCUUAUGGUAUUGGGAGAGAUGAUUUGUAUUUGUACUACUCAUUAUGAUCAGUGGAAGUACACUUUUAACUUAUGGAUAAUGAAAGACUAUGGUAUUAAGGAAUGUUGGACUCGAUUUUUCACUAUCCAAAGUACCGAUCUUUAUUCUUUGGUACCAGAAUACAGGUUUUCAGAUGGUGAAGUGUUACUCCGUUGCAAGCAUUUUGACCGUUGUGGUUAUAUAUUUAAGAUAACCAAAGAAUCAUCUGGUUUUUGGCCUCAAUCUCGUUCAGAAUGGAUUCGGAAUGGAUUUGUUUAUACAAAAAGCUUGAUCUCUCCAAAAUUAAUUACUUAGUAUUUACUCAUGUACGAUCAAGACAACAUCUUUUUGAGGUAAUCAUACUACAACCUCUUUUUCAUUUUAAUGUUAGAAGUAGUUUUCUUUUUCCUUGAAAUAUCACGAGGUUCUGUUAAGAGAAGCUGUUGUAGCUCAUCAUUUGCUUAUAUUGUAGGAGUCGCAGAACUGGCAGUGGUCAUACAACUUCACAUCCGUGCUUAAGCUGCUCGACCUAUUGGGAACAUAUAUCAGGAUGUCAAACUGUGCAAUUUACAGCGCUGUAACGAGUUAGAUUUUGUCAUUUUUCGGGGCUUAACCUUGCGUUGUAUAUGACUUUUGUCAAAAACUAAAAGUGAUUGUAUGAACUCUCUGCCUAGUUGAACUAAUCACUUUGUAUUAGUUCCAUUGUAUUUUUAUUAUUUAGACAGCAUGCUGAAGCACAUUAAUGUUCAGUUCCAAUGUGUCAGCUAGCGUUCGAGGAUUUCUCGAUUAUCAAAAAAAUAUUUUCAUCAGUGUCAUCUUCAAGUAUGGAACUUUGAAGUUCUCUCAUUCUGAAAAAAAUCCAUAUUUGUUUUGCUUCAUCUAGUUUUCUGCUACCGUUGUGCCUGAAAAUAUUUUAUAUUUUCACCAAGCACAGAACUCUGGUAGGUCUUGGAAGACUGAACUCACGUAUGUGGCAAAGUACAAGAUUGUCUCGUGUGGCUAGGGGUGACAGUUCAACCAGAUGCGAUGUGGUUUGUUUCCUUUUAAAAUCUUUUCAGCAGAGCGUAUCUUAUCGAUAGCUCAUGUUAGAGCUCCCAGUAGGCUGGGGUGAUCUCUUUUCGCCUUACUAAUCCCGGAGAAACUUCAAAUACGUGCCUAGAUCGUAUAAACAUACUUUUUAGGUGUUUCGCUACUUUUGCAUUUUGUUUUUUUCAAAAUUGUUCUAAAAAUUGAUUUUUCUUGUCCAUGAUAAUCUCUGGAUAUUCUAUUUCCUUCGUUUUGGCAGCUUUAUUUCUUCCUCUGCGUGCUUUUAAAGUGGUUCACAAUUGAAGUAUUGGGAUUCUUUCGACUUUGUUGUUGACAUUGUUUUUUUUCAUCCAUCGUUUCCAUGUCGGCAUUUGUCUUGUGGGGUAAGGGGGUGUUCUUUGAACUUUCCUCGUGUUGCCUGUAUUCACUAGUCUCCUUUCUGAUGUUGUUGCUGUUUCCUGUUUAAUAUCCUUCCUUAGUGUUAGCCUUCUUCAUUUUCUGUUUCCCAUAGCAUUCUGAUCUUUUUCCGUAGUCAUGGCCAUCUGGAUGGUGGCGCUAUGUUCAGGAUUGCUACAUUAUCGACCUCUUUGCUGUCGUAGGUCUAGUUUGUGUGCUAGUGGCCUUAUCGAUAGCAAGAGGGGUACCAGUUGGCUCGACAAUGCGACAUAGAGCAUCCCAAACGUAGUGAUGCCAUGGGAGGCUAAUCCAAAUUGGGACUAGAUAUACAGGAGGUCCAUUUGAUGAUUUCAUAUUGUUAUUAUUUCCCGGACAGCCUUGGGGUAACUGGUAAAGUUGCUAAGCCUCUAGCAGAAAUGCAAGAUAAGGCUUUGUAUUCACCCUUAUGGUGGGGCCCUUCCCCGGACACUGCGCAUAGCGGGAGCUUUAGUGCACUGAGCUGCCCUUUUAUUACUUCCCAGAGCUAUGAAGUUCCUAGAUGCCACAUUAAGGUUGUCCUCAAUGUUAUCUAAAUCUAGGAAGACAUAAUGCAAACGUUGCAUUUCUUUUUUCAAAACUGUUCUAAAACACGAGGGAUGGCCUUGGCUCAGCGUUAAGCUUGCUUACCGUGGUGUGCCAGGGUCGGGGGUUCGAAACGCCCCUCCAGCGAAGCUGGGGUGAGGGCGCGUAGGUCAGGCCCGGAGUGGUCCCCCCCCUCCCCGACACCUACGGAGUGAGCCGAGGGUCUUUAGGAAACGUAGUUUGAUGUAUUUCCUUACAUUUAUAUCUGACAAAUGAACAAUCUACUAAUAUAAGAGUACAAAAAUAUCGAGAGAUAAAACUCUCCUCGUAAACAAGACUCUCCAAUCAUUGAAGUAAUACAUUAUUUUGUACGUCGUAUAGUGUGAAAUAACUGUUGGAGUUAAGUAUUGGCGUGAAUGAUAAAUAGAAAAGAAAAUAGCGUGAAUGAUAAAUAGAAAAGAAAAUAAAAAAUUGAGUAAAGCUUCUAGAACGUCCUGAACUAUGACGAAAUUUGCUACGACGCACUCCAAUUUCACGAGGGUCCUAGUACCACUCGAACUAAAUUUUAGCGUAUUUUUGUUGUCCUUUUUAGUGUAUUUUCCAAACUGGCACUAAACUUGUUUUGGCUAUAAAUAGAGACGCAUACGAAUUUUUAACAAACAAAAAAAUCAACGCUGCCCUUGAGUGCGACCAGUCGUAGGUGUUUGAGGUACCGCUACACUUAAGACAGAUAUAUUUGUUUAUCCUUGGAGAAAGUGAUCCAACACCUCGAGUACAAUGACGGGAAUAAAUUCCUUAAAGAUCCUCAAUUUUUUAUUUUACAUUGUCAUAAUUCAUGUCAUAAUAUUUUACUAUUUUUAAACAUUAAUCCAUUUUUUUAAAUUUUGAUUUAAACAUUUUUUUCGUUUAAUUAAAUAUAAUAACUAAGCAAUCCCGAUUUUGAUCUUAUCAUAUAUUUGAACAACCAAGUUUAAUUAAUACCUUAUCAUACCAAAAGUGGGAAAAUAAAAAAGAAAGAAGAAAAUACCUUAUCAUAUUAAAAGUAGGAAAGAUUAAAAAUCUUUAAAAGGAGAAAUUCUACGCAUUCAAAUCAAAGCAAUUAGAGAAAAAUAAGCUCUAAAGAUGACACAAAAGCCAAAUCUUUUCAAAGGUAUCUUUUUCUUUUGUAUUAUUAUUAUUAUUAUUAUUAUUAUUAUUAUUGUGUGUGUUAUUGUAAUGUCAUUAUAUGCGUUAGCUCGUAUACACCUCGACUAUUCCUUGAUUUAAAUGCCAAAAAUUUUAGUUGACAAAGAAUGUGCACCAGGCCACCCUUCACCUUCCGUCCAUGCAAGACGUAGAUGUAGGAGCUGAAAAUCGUACUACAUAAAGAAGGUCGAUUGUUUUUAUAUAUGUAUAUAUGGUAGAUGUUGAAUCUAGAGUCUCUGUAUGUUUACUUUCUUUAUAUUUUGAAUUUUCUUGAUGAAAAUUCUGGCUUCACAAUAAAUUUGAAUUGCAGGGCAGAAAGUUGAGAAACAUUCACAGAAAACAAAGCAUAUGGAUGUUGACUCUUCACCUAACUUAAACUCUGCAUACCAAAAUCGAAAUUUAUACAUAUCUUUCGUCAACUUUUUAAAUUUUUUCGUUUAUGUAUAUAUAUGUAGAUGUUGAGAAGGGGAGCCUUGGAGUAAACCGGUAAAGUUGCCGCCAUGUGACCAGGAGGUCACUGGUUCUCUGGCAGAAAUGCAAGGUAAGACUGCGUAUAGUAUACCUCUAUGGUGCGCAUAGCGGAAACUUUAGUGCACCGGACUGCCCUUUAUAUAUAUGUAGAUGUUGAGUUCGCUUAGUUUCUUUGUAUGUUUAGCCCUUGCUGAAAAUCCUUGCUGCACCACUAGCUACCUGCAUAGCGCUAACCAAAUCUUUUGAAUUGCAGGGAAGAGAGUUGUGAAGCGUUCAAAGAAGAUGGAUGUUGAUGGAACGAAGGAAGUUCACUUGCAAGAAGAAAUAAUUAUGGAUAUUCUUAGCAGGCUACCGGUACUGUCUCUUCUACGAUUUAAAUGUGUUUCGAAAUGUUGGAUGACAUUGAUAUCCGAGCCUUACUUUACACUGAAGCAUCUCAAUCGUGCCAAGAAUAACGAACAUUCCCAAAAAAUUCUUGUUCUUCAUGGUGAGUUUCCCUUGCAUUGUUCUUCUUUAUCAUCGGCUUCUUUAUCUUCGGUUCAACUAGCUGAGGAUGUACGAAAACUUGAUUGGCCUUCUAACCCGAGACCAUGGAGGUUCAGAAUGUAUUGUUGUUACGAUGGCUUGGUUCUUAUCAAGUUACGUGAUUAUCCUCAGUACGCACGAGCCAUACUUUUGCUAUGGAACCCCUCCACGAGAGAAUCAACAGUACUUCCUCGUACAGAAUUUUCACUGACAAAAGAUUAUUCUUUCGGACUGGGAUAUGACUCGACUAGUGACGACUAUAAGAUCCUUAAGAUUGACGACGCAGCACGCUGUGAAAUUCUCGCGCUGAAAAGUGGUUCCUGGAGGAAAAUUGAUAAACGUCCUGCUGGUGUUUUCCCUGUGUUGUCUGAUACCGAAGAUUCUCUGGCAUUUGUACAUGGCGCGUUUCAUUGGCUUGAUUCNNNNNNNNNNNNNNNNNNNNNNNNNNNNNNNNNNNNNNNNNNNNNNNNNNNNNNNNNNNNNNNNNNNNNNNNNNNNNNNNNNNNNNNNNNNNNNNNNNNNNNNNNNNNNNNNNNNNNNNNNNNNNNNNNNNNNNNNNNNNNNNNNNNNNNNNNNNNNNNNNNNNNNNNNNNNNNNNNNNNNNNNNNNNNNNNNNNNNNNNNNNNNNNNNNNNNNNNNNNNNNNNNNNNNNNNNNNNNNNNNNNNNNNNNNNNNNNNNNNNNNNNNNNNNNNNNNNNNNNNNNNNNNNNNNNNNNNNNNNNNNNNNNNNNNNNNNNNNNNNNNNNNNNNNNNNNNNNNNNNNNNNNNNNNNNNNNNNNNNNNNNNNNNNNNNNNNNNNNNNNNNNNNNNNNNNNNNNNNNNNNNNNNNNNNNNNNNNNNNNNNNNNNNNNNNNNNNNNNNNNNNNNNNNNNNNNNNNNNNNNNNNNNNNNNNNNNNNNNNNNNNNNNNNNNNNNNNNNNNNNNNNNNNNNNNNNNNNNNNNNNNNNNNNNNNNNNNNNNNNNNNNNNNNNNNNNNNNNNNNNNNNNNNNNNNNNNNNNNNNNNNNNNNNNNNNNNNNNNNNNNNNNNNNNNNNNNNNNNNNNNNNNNNNNNNNNNNNNNNNNNNNNNNNNNNNNNNNNNNNNNNNNNNNNNNNNNNNNNNNNNNNNNNNNNNNNNNNNNNNNNNNNNNNNNNNNNNNNNNNNNNNNNNNNNNNNNNNNNNNNNNNNNNNNNNNNNNNNNNNNNNNNNNNNNNNNNNNNNNNNNNNNNNNNNNNNNNNNNNNNNNNNNNNNNNNNNNNNNNNNNNNNNNNNNNNNNNNNNNNNNNNNNNNNNNNNNNNNNNNNNNNNNNNNNNNNNNNNNNNNNNNNNNNNNNNNNNNNNNNNNNNNNNNNNNNNNNNNNNNNNNNNNNNNNNNNNNNNNNNNNNNNNNNNNNNNNNNNNNNNNNNNNNNNNNNNNNNNNNNNNNNNNNNNNNNNNNNNNNNNNNNNNUUGAGUAUUUCAAGUGAGGUGUACACGGAGAUACCGUUGCCAGAGCAAAUGCUCUCGAUUUACAACCAGACGUGGGGUGUUUAAGUUUUGACAGAGAAGCUUUGUGCUUAUGCUCAUUAUACGUCUCAAACUUUUAGGUUUUGGGUAAUGGAAGACUAUGGCGUCAAAGAAUCUUGGACUGAAUUGUUUACUAUACAAGUUGCUGGUUUUCUUUUAGUCAUACCGAAAUAUAGGUUUUCGGAUGGUGAAUUGCUACACUGCUGCAGAGAUUUGGCUUUUCGUCCUGUCUUUAGGACAUCCAAAGGACCACUUGGAUUAUGUCCUCAAUCUAAUUCCUCUCAGAAAGGUUUUGUUUUUACAGAAAGUUUGUUCUUCCCAAAAUUAGUUCGUUAGUACUAUUUCCUAAGGUACAAACAAGUCAGUUUUCUUUUUAGUCUACUUGUACGGUAAUCAUGUUGCAACCUCUUUAUGUGUUUGCAUAUCAUAAAUUGAACUGUUUGGUUUACUUUAGCUGGUCCUUAAACAAACCAGAUUAACCAGCACACGAGUUCAUGGUACUGUUUCGAAGGCGAGUUAGAUGUCAUUGAUCUCUGAGCUUUACUUUAAGCGCAAGUUUUCCUUGUAUUCUUCUUCUAUAUCGUCUGUUCUAUGAUGAAUUGUUAUGAUGGAUGAUUAUUAUGAUUGCAAGUAUCUCAUACUUUUGCCGUGGAAUCCCUCCGCGAGAGAAUCAAUAGCGCUUCCGCAUCCAAAAUCUUCAUCGCAGAAAAUUUAUACUUGCGGAUUGGGAUGUGGCUCAACUAUUGACUAUAAUAACAUUCUCAAGAUCUUAUUGUUGCUUAUAUUGUGUAUCGAGUACUCUAUUUGUGUCGAGGGUUCUGGAUAUGCAACUGCUCAAGAUAUCAUCUUGCCUNNNNNNNNNNNNNNNNNNNNNNNNNNNNNNNNNNNNNNNNNNNNNNNNNNNNNNNNNNNNNNNNNNNNNNNNNNNNNNNNNNNNNNNNNNNNNNNNNNNNNNNNNNNNNNNNNNNNNNNNNNNNNNNNNNNNNNNNNNNNNNNNNNNNNNNNNNNAUCUUUGUUAAGUUCUAACUUUUGCUUGUUUUUGUCGUGAAAAUGCCAUUAACAUCUUUCGUGUAGGCAAGAGUCAGAACGUCUGCUUUAUGAACUAAAUUUAUCAAGUGGGGCCGGCCAGAAAAUUAAGAUCACCUCUUUUGUAAGAAAUUUAUGUAUAUGCAGUGAUUAGUUAUACAAGUUUUCAGAUGGUGAAGUGUUACUCCGUUGUAGAGAUUAGUUAUACAAGUUUUCUGGUGCAUAGUAGUUGGAAGUAGUAGUAGUAUUCUUUUUCUAGAAAUGUUACGUGCUUAAGUUGGCACGAACAUUAUUGUUAUUCAAACAUUAUGGGAAUCGUAUAUUAGUAUGUCAAACAUGGUGAUCUACAGACAGUAGAGCGUAUGAUGUCAAUAGCCUGAGGUAGAUCUCUCAAUGGACUAGGGACAACAGCAAAUCUAGGGUGUUCACCCGAACCCCAUUGGCAAAUACUGUUAUAUAUAAGAUAUAUUUUUUUUACUUUUUUAUGUAUACGUAUAGAUCUUGAAUCCCCUGAGCACAAGACUAGAUAUUGACUCAGUAAUUUAGGGGUUCAAAUCAUCUCGAGAUUCCAAAUCUUAGACAUUUGCUCGAGUCACUAUCCUUCUUUUACUAUUAUUUCACAAUUUUAUGUUCAAUUAAAUGUAUUAAUUAAGCAAGCCCUUUUUUAAAAUAAAAAAUAACUAAGUGAUAUAUAUAUAUAUAUAUAUAUAUAUAUAUAUAUAUAUAUAUAUAUAUAGCAAUGCAAAUAUAAAUAUCAACGAAAUAUUAAUGUAGUAAAAAAGAGCAACAUAUAAAAGAAGAGAAAACCCUAGCCAAUAAUUCAAUUCAAAGGCCAAAGAUGAAGAAAUCACUACCUCCCAAUCACAAAGAUGAGUUCGCUUUCAUGCUCCUCGACUAUUCCGUUGAAUACGUACUAUCUACUAGUAGUGGUCGUUACGGGUUCGGUUGAAUCAGUAACUUAGGCAAAUAUCAUGUAUUUAUAUAGAGAAAUCUACUCAAUAUGUAUAAUAAUAUAUCAACGCAAAUAUUAAGUAGUCGUAGCGUUGUAAUGGGAAUAUAAAUAUAAAAAGUAGAAAAGAAGAGAAACCCUAAGCAAAGAGGCAAAUAUUUUCAAAGGUAUUGUCUGCUUGUUUGUGUAUGUUAGCUUUUGCGCAUCUCGACUAUUCCAUUGAAUACACACUAGGUCAGAACCUUGGGUACUAGGCCGAUGGAGUUAUUAUUAUUUUUAGUUGGGGAUCGGAGGCAGUGGCAGAGCCAGGAUUUAAGGGGUUCAUAAGUGAACAUACUAACUAAUCGAGGAGGUUCGACAUUUACUAUAUAUACAUAAAAAAUAAUUUUAAUCAUGUGUAUAUAACAUAAUUUUUUGCCGAAGGGAUUUUGGAUGAAACCCCUAUCUGAAGGGUCUGAGGGUUUUUUCGGUUUAUUAUUCUUUUUAUUUUAAUUGCAGUGAAGAGAGUUAUGAUGCAUUCAGUUCCAUUGCAAGAAGAAAUAACUAUGGAAAUCCUCAGCAGGCCUGUGCGGCCUCUUCUACGAUUCAAAUGUGUAUCGACGUGUUGGAUGACACUGAUAUCCGAGCCUUACUUUACGUUGAAGCAUCGCAAUCGCGCCAAGAAUGAUCAAAAUUCUCAAAAAUUUCUUGUUAGCCGGAAGGACCUUCUUGAGGACGAGUUUUCUCUGUAUUGUUCUUCUUUAUCAUCGGUUCAACGCAUUGAGGAAGUACAAAAACUUGAUUGUCCUUCUAACGGUAAACCAUGGAGGAGUUGCAAAUUAUAUUGUUGUUACGAUAGCUUGGUGCUUAUCGCGGUUUUUAACUAUUGUGAUAAAACCAAUCAACGUUUGCUAUGGAACCCCUCCACAAGAGAAUCAAUAGUACUUCCGGAUCAAAAAUUUUCACUGGAGCGGUGUUAGUGCACUUGGGGAUUGGGAUAUGACUCAGUUAGCGACGACUAUAAGAUCCUUAAGAUUGAUCUAGAGUCAUGCAGUGAAAUUCUCGCAUUGAAAAGUGGCUCCUGGAGAUUAACGAAUAACUAUCCUAUCAGCAAUCACCCUGAUUUAUUAUGUACAGAAUCUUUGGUAUUUGUGCAUGGAGCAUUUCAUUGGAUCGAUAAUAUAUCAAGAUCUACGGUAACUGCAUUGAGUAUUUCAAGUGAGGUGUACACAGAGAUACCGUUGCCAGAGAAAAUGCUCUCGAUUUACGACCACAAGUGCGGGCUGCUUGUUUCAGUUUGGCAGAAAAGCUUUGUGUUUAUGUUAAUUAUACGUCUUAAGUGGGGAACACUUUUAGGUUUUGGGUGAUGAAAGACUAUGGCGUUACAGAAUCUUGGGCUGAAUUGUUUACUAUUCCAGGCCCUGGUUUUCUUUCAGUCAUACCGAAAUAUAGGUUUUCGGAUGGUGUAGUGCUACUCUGCUACUGAAAUAGGGGUCUUCGCACUGUCUUAAGGACAUCCAAAGCACCACUUGAAUUACGUCCUCAAUCUGAUUUCUCUCAGACAGGUUUUGUGUAUACAGAAAGUUUGUUCUUCCCAAAAUUAGUUCGUUAGUACUAUUUCCUUAUGUACGAACAGUUAGUUUCCCAAAAUUACAACCUCUUUAUGUGUCUUCAUAUCAUAAAUUGAACAGUCUGGUGUGCUUUAGCUGGUCUGUAAACCAACCAGAUUAACCAGCACACGAGUUCAUGGUACUGUUUCAAGCGCGAGUUAGAUGUCAUUGAUCUCCGAGCCUUACUUUGCGAUGAACCAUGUCAAUGAUGUGAAGAAUAAUCCAUGCAUGGUACUGUUUUAAGCGCGCUUUUCCCUUGUAUUCUUCUUCUAUAUCGUCUGUGUUAUGAUGGAUUGGCUCUUAUCAAGGUUUGUAAUUUAUCCUGAUUGUAAGUAUCUCAUACUUUUGCUAUGGAAUCCCUCUCCAAGCGAAUCAAUAGUACUUCCGCAUCCAAAAUCUUCAACGCAGAAAAUUUAUACUUGCGGAUUGGGAUAUGGCUCAACUAGUGAUGGCUAUAAGAUCCUCAAGAUUGCUUAUAUCGCGGAUUGAGCAUUGAGAAACUAUUGUAACUUAUCAUUGCUUGUAUUGGAAGAGUGACAGGAGGCCUGGCCGAACACCACGGUUUUUCAAGAAACUGUCUCAGACUUGUCGGAAUCAUAUUACUAUAUUGAGUUGUAUCGACUUAGAUGUUGGUAUUUUCGCGAAUUGACCGUAUGCUGAUGUAUCUUGUUCCAAAAAGUCAUGAUUGUGUAGUAAAUUUUUUUAGUUUAUAUAGCAAAGCUUAUGGAUGGGGAAUCUAAUCUAUGCCUAUUGUCCCAGAGUGAUCGGUCUUGAAUUUUUCCCCCUCAAAUGUCUUGGCUUGAAGUGUGUCUUGAAAUGUAAUAAACGUUUGCAUUAUGGACAAGAGUUAAAGUAUUUGCCUUAUGAAAACAUAUCUAAGUUCUAACGUUUGCCUGUAACACAACUUCUGAUAGUUGUGUAGGUCCAUUGUCUUGAAAUAUCAUUAACGUCUACCAUAUGAGUAACAGUUAAAACGUCUAUUUUAUAGACAAAAUAAUACGUAGAUUUUCUCAUAUUUUACACUUCCUAUGUCCCAUUUUAUGUGGCACUCUUUGACUUGACAGAAUAUUUAAGAGGAAAAAAAAUACUUUUGAAACUUGUGGUUAAACAAUCCUUAGGUAUUUGUAUGGUUAUAAAUUAUUUCAUUAAAAGUAAAAUUAAAAUUUUAAAGUUAAAUUGUUUCUAAUUAUAGUUAGAUGACAUUUUUCUUGGGACAAACUAAAAAGGAGUGCCACAUAAAAUGAUAUGGAGAGAGUAUACGUAAUAGGUAUGUGAGUUUUUAAAUAGCAAAUCAAACACCAUGUUGCUUUUAUAGAUAAAUAAUUUACCUUCAAACUAGCUACCAAACGUGAAAUUAAUGGUGCAGAAUUUAAUACCUGAAUAACUUACCUCCAAACUAGUCCACUCACACUCCAUCUAUUCCAAUUUAUGUGACGUACUUUUUUUUUGUCUUUCAAAAAAAUAUCACCCUUCCAUAGCGAGGAAUAAUUUUACUUUUAAAUUGUCUAUUUACCCUUAAUAAAUUAAUUUAUAUAAUUAAAUAAAUUUCAAAAGUUUUUUUUUUUAAGUCAAAUAAUAUCACAUAAAUUGAAACGGACAGAAAAGUGCAGUAUGUUUUAACCUAUUCACUCAAAACAAAAUUAAAAAUGAAAAUUUAAAUAACUUUAUCAUAUAAAAAGUAGAAAGAAAAACAUAACAAAAUAGUAAAAGCAGAGAAACCUUAACCACAAAGCAAAGAGAGAGAGAGAAAUAUUUUCAAAGGCCAAAAAUGAAGGAAUCAAUACCUUCCAAUUGCCAGCCAAAUCUCUGCAAAGGUAUAUGUUGCAUUUCUCUCUAUUUUCUGUUUUUAUUUAUGUGUGUAUAUCUAAGUCAGCUUUUACACGCCUCGACUAUUUUAUUGAAUAUCUAUUAGAGAUAGCAACUAAUGACGCCUGAACUAUGGCCAAAGUUGCUAUGAUACACACCAACUUCACGGCGGUCCUAUUACCUCCUGAACUCAAUUUUAGCGUAUUUUUGUCACCUUUUUAUGUUUGUAUGACACUUUUAUUACAUAAAAUGGGGUGCACAUCAAAGGUUCCACAUCAGCUAAAAAGAAUGACAAAAAUACGCUAAAAUUUAGUUUUGGUGGUAAUAGGAACCCCGUGAAGUUGGAGUGUGUCAUAGAAAAUUUGAUCAUAGUUCGGGGUACUAGAUGCUUUACUCUAUCUAUUAUAUAUCCUAACUUAAAUUCAGUAUAUGGGAGAAGCUAGAGUAUUAGUUACGGAUUUGGUGUAACAAGUAUAGAUCUUAUAUUAUGUUAAAAAAAAAAAGUCAUUUAUAACGUAUACUCGUUCAAUUUGUUUAUCUUGCUUUCUUAUUUCGUCAAAUCUUUAGUCUAAACUUCUCACAGGUGCAUGUUUAAGACCACAAAAUAAAAGAUAGUUUGAUUAUAUUCUACGUUAUCUUUAGUUUAAGACCAACGGACAACUCCGUGCACUAAAGCUCCCGGUGAGUGCGGGGGCCCAAGGAAGUACCGAACUACAAGGGUCAAUUGUACGCAACCUUACCUUGCGUUACAUGACAACAAAUUUACCAGUUACUCCAAGGCUUUCCUUUAGUUUAACACGGCAAGAUUCAAAAGUCUAUCCCAAGUCAAACCAGACAAACAGCUUGAAACGGAGGAAGUAGUAAAUGUUUUAUCACCCGAUAAGCCGUCUUUUUUAGAAUGUAGAACUCAUAAACUCAAAAUUCGAGAUUCCUUUUUUUCAGCAUAAUGUAACUUAGGCAUGUGGAACAAAAAUGUUUUGCCUUACCUGCAAUUUUUAAUUGCAGGGAAGAAAGUUGUGAAGCAUUUAGAGAAAAUAAAGCAGAUGGAUUUGCAAGAAGAAAUAAUUAUGGACAUCCUCAGUAGGCUACCUGUGCAGUCUCUUCUUCGAUUUAAAUGUGUUUCAAAGUUUUGGAUGACAUGCCUUACUUUACGACGAAGCAUUUCAAUCAUGCGAAACAUAACCAAAGUUUCGAAAAAAUGCUUCUUAACAAAGAGUAUUCAUUCCAUUGUUCUUCCUUACCACCGGAUCAACUGUUUGAGGAUGUACGAGGAAUCGAUAGGCCUCUUAGUGGUAAACUAUGGUGUUGGAAUAUACAUUGUUGUUACGAUGGCUUGGUUCUUGUAGGGGUUCAUAAUUAUCCUGAUAAAGACUUCAUGCUUUCGUUAUGGAACCCGUCUACAAUAGAAUCAGUAGUACUUUCCAAUCCAAAGUUUUCACAGGAGGUUACGUGUACUUGGGGAUUGGGUUAUGACUCGACUAGUGAUGACUAUAAGAUCUUCAAGAUCGAUGGUAAAGAAUGUAAUGAAAUUCUUGCGCUGAAAGUGGCUCCUGGAGAAAGAUUGAUGAUCAUCCUGCUACCGAUAACCCUGUGUUAUCUGAUAUGGAUUAUUUGACAUUUCAACAUGGAGCUUUAGAUUGCGUUGAUACGCCAUCUAAUAUGGGCUAUCUGGCGUUUGUACAUGGAGCGUUUCAUUGGGUUGAUUCGUUACUGAAUCAGUCUAUGGUUACGUUUAGUAUUUCAGAUGAGGUGUAUCGAGAGAUACCGUUGCCAGAGGGACUGGAUUUGGUUUUUGAUAUAAUGCAUAGCAAACAAGGUGUUUCAGCAUUGGGAGGCAUGCUUUGUGUUUAUUCUACGCGUAUUCAUCACCGGGAGUACACUUUUAAGUUAUGGGCAAUGAACGAGUAUGGUGUCAAAGAAUCGUGGAAUCAGUUGUUUACUAUACAAAGUACCGAUCUUUAUUCAACCCCCCCGAAAUACAGGUUUUCAGAUGGUGAAGUGUUACUCCGUUGCAGCCAGUUGAGACGUAGUGUUUCUGUAUUUAAGACAUCCAAUGAAUCACCUGGCGUAUGGCCUCAAUCUGAUUCGGAAUGUAUUCAGGAUGGUUUCAUUUAUACAGAAAGCUUGAUCACUCAGAAGUUGCUUACUUGGUAUUGAGAAGCUAUUUUAUGUGCUUAAGCUGGCCUCAACAUCACGGUUAUUCUAUAAACUCUGUAACGAGUUAGAUUUAGUUAUUUUCAGGGAUUGACCGUAUGCUGAAUUAAUCUUGUUCGUUAUGUAAAAGAACAGUGGUUGUAUGAACUAUCUGCACAGUUGAAUUAAUCGAUUUGUAUCAAUUGCAUUGAGUUUUGUGUAGAGCAUAUGUACACGCUUGACCGCUGCCGGGAAGUAAGCACUUCAACUUUGAGUAUGUACAUCUAGACACCUCAACUCGUCUCGACUGUGUCAAUUGAACACUCGAACUUACAAAAUGAUCAUCUAGAAACCUCGAGAAUUUAUGUGUCAUGUCAGCAUAGGGGGUGUCUAUGAGACAGUGAGGACGAAUUGGAGUGUUUAAUUGUCAGUCGAGAUCAAGUCGAGGUCUCUAGAUGUACAUUCUCGUAGUUGGAGUGCUUACUUGCCGACUGAUUUCAAGUUUGCCGACUGAUUUCAAGUUUAUCUGUUUAUGUAUUAUACCUUUUCUCACGGAGGUGUUAGACAUGUCAAACUUCUGAGACGUGUUGGGAAUGUAGAAUGACUUCAUUGACUGAGCACCGAGCAAGAAAGACACUUUACGCAGCAUUUCAGAAUGACUUCACUGACUGACCACUGAGCAAGAAAGACACUUUACGCAGCAUAUCACAUUGACUUCAUUGACUGACCACCGAGCAAGAAAGACACUUUACGCAGCAUAUUAGAAUGACUUCAUUGACUGACCACUGAGCAAGAAAGACACUUUACGUGGCAUUUCAGGUUGGCAAGCCGAGAUAAAGAAAGCACCUGGUCCUAUUUGUAAAACCUUGCCGCUAACUUAGAUGAAGAAAUAAGUAAGCAAGACGUUCUACCAUGGUUUUCUAAUUUCAAAUUACACAGAAUUGUGCCUUCAACCAAACCUUUCUGUACCAAAAUCGAGAAAGAUCACUCUGAAAAGUCGUAAAAGGAGAGCUACAAAGUGAAUAGCAUUAAUAGUUACAUCAAUGCUAUAGUACAUUCUUCUCUUCCCCAUGUAAAUGAAGGGAGCACAUAUGUAGGAUAUGCAUUGUUUUUUGAGGCAAGAGCAUGUACCGAAUCAUCAUCCGCGACCUCCCCAAAUUUGGUAAGUCCAAGUUCAGUAGCGUGUAUUCCGCCUGUGAUAAAUGCUGACGCAAUUUCAGCUGCAUUUGCACCUUUGAUAUCGUGGUGGAGGGAGUCUCCUACGGCAAUACAGUCUGAGGCAUCGACAGCAGCCAUUUCCAUAGCGGACUUGUAUAUUAUCUUAUCAGGUUUGCCCAUCCAUUUUACUUCACCGCCAAGUUUUUCAUACGUAGCUGCUAGUGUUCCAGGCAUAACACGCAGAGCCCGAGCUUCAACAGUUACAAAAUCAGGAUUUGCUACUACCAUUGGGAUUUUCUUAGCAGCACACUGAUGUAGUAUAUCAAGAUUCAUCGGAAGUGCAGCACCAGUUGAAAGCCCCAACACUUUAGUUCCGUGGGCCAAAAUAAAAUCAGCUUCCUCAACAUUUCCCACAACUUGUAGUCCGAGCCCCUCGAGAGAUAUAGCACCCCUGUCACUCCAAGUCAUGUGAAUACACGAUCUUCCUAGAGAGGCAAACCAAGCGUCGCCUCUCCUUUGAAGAUACUGAUGUGUUAAUUCCCCACUCGUGAUGGCACCAACAAAGAGUGAUGGAUCAAACCCAAGUCUUCUCAAUUUUUCCAUGGUUAUCGAUGCUCUUCUUGAAGAAUUACUAAUGAUUACCUUCUUCGCACCACAAGUUGCCAACUUUUCCAAGGCCGAAAUGGCACCAGGAUAAGGUUGUUUCCCAUCGUGAAGCACGCCAAACUGAUCUAGAAACCAUGCCUUGAAUCGACGACUUUCAGCUAGAUGUUGAAUUCCACUCAAAGUUUGAAACUUUAGCUCGUUCGGGCUUGAUGAUUGAACUGAUGAGCAUCUUCCAAUCAUGGUUUAACCCUUCCAAUAGUUCCUUUCGCUUAUCUCAUGUGUUAUCUAACUGCACAAAGACAAUUCCAUUAUCAUAAACAAAAUUAGCACGUGUGUAUCAAACUUCUCUUCCCAGAAACAAAUCAAGUGGCUACUGGAAAGUAAAGAAACAAAGCCAUAUCGCUAAUGCAUUCAAUUUUCAAUAAAACCAGAUACUACUAUAGCAGAACUGAGGUAAACGAACUCCGUUCUGAUAUAGCACAAAUAUCAUUCAUGAACGAACUUAAUACAUAGUAUUGGACUAUUUUCAAACCAAGGAUUAAAGGAGACAAACAUAACGAAUUCCCUCCCAACAAAAUCGACAUAGCAUUCCAACAACAACACAACAACAAGAAGCGUAAUCUCACAAGUAGAGUCUGGGGAGGAAGAAGACUUUACCUCUACCUUGGGAGGUAAAGAGGUAGUUUCUAAUAGACGUAGCAUUCUAGCAAACUGGAUUUUUCGUGUACGUGCUUGAGAGAGCAUGGCUCAGCAUCAAUAAUGUCAAUAGAUACACUUUUAAAAAGAGUAAAUACUCUCUCAAUUUUAUCAUACAGCGAAAGAAACCCAGAAUUCCAAACUUGGUGGACUUGAAGUGAGAAAACUACCCGGAAACAACAGAUUUUUGAGCAAUCUAAAUAUCUCCGCUUCUCAAUAUCUCUUUACCUCCAAGUCUUUUCUCCAAUUUAACUUGUCACACCAAAGCUCGGUACAGUAAGCUCCCGCAAUGCACGGAGUCUAGAAAGGGUCAGAUCACAAGAGUCUAUUGUAUGUAGUCUUAUCCGGCAUUUUUAUAAGACAGUCCGGUGCUGUAAGCUCCCGUAAUGAGCCAGGUCCAGCGAAGGGCCGGACCACAAGAGUCUAUUUUAUGAAGUCUUAUCCUGCAUUUCUGCAAGACAGCCCGACACUAAGCUCUCACAAUGCAUGGAGUCCAGAAAGGACCAGACUACGAUAGUCUAUUGUAUGUAGUCUUAUCCUGCAUUUUUGCAAGAGCCUGACACUAAGCUUUCGCAAUGCAUGGAGUCCAGAAAGGACCAAACUACAAGAGUCUAUUCUAUGUAGUCUUAUCCGGCAUUUUUGUAAGAUAGUCCGGUGCAUUAAGCUCCCACAAUGAGCAAGGUUCGUAGAAAGGCCGGACCACAAGAGUCUAUUGUAUGUAGCCUUUAUCUUACAUUUCUGCAAGACAGUCCAGUGCACUAAGCUCCCGCAAUGCAUGUUAUCCAGAAAGGGCCGAACCACAAGAGUCUAUUGUACGUAGUCUUAUCCUGCAUUUCUGCAAGACAAUCCGGUGCUGUAAGCUCCCGUUAUGUGCAGGGUCUCAUCUGCAGGGUCCAAGGACAAGGCCGGACCACAAGAGUCUAUUAUAUGUAGCCUUAUCCCCACAUUUCUGCCUGACAGUCUGGUGCACUAAGCUCCAACAAUGAGCAAGGUGUCGGACCACAAGAGUAUAUUGUAUGUAGCCUUAUCCUGCAUGCAUGCAAGAUAGCCCGGUGCACUAAGCUCCUAUUAAGUACAGGGUUUAAUGGAAGGACUGGACCACAAAGGUCUAUCAAGACAAUAUUUUCACAACUAGAACACGUGAUGGUCACAUAAAGGCAACUUUACUAGUUACGUCAAUAACAUAAAUGUAGAAAUCUACAUGUCUUAACAAAUUAAAUCUUAAACAAAUAUAACUACAGUAUCAUGAGAAAAUUGAAGCACAAAGAAAAGGGAAUCAAGAGGGGAAAAAAAAGUAAAAAAAAAACUAAUUUCAUCUUUCCUUCAAAAUUGGGAAAUUUGAAUAAAACUGAAAGGGCAAAAUGGACAGAAAAUUUAGACAAAACUAAAAGAGAAACAUACCUGAAUUUGUAACAACCAGCUAAAAGAAAGAAUCAAAAAAUGAUACCCACUUAAUUUUUCUGGAUUAAUUGGUAGAAAAUGCAUUUCUAGAUUUAUAUGGUGAAAUGACCAAAAUGCCGUCAUUGCUAGUUUUUUGGGAAAAAAAAACACAUUAACUAGGGGUGGACGUAGUUUGGACCAACUUCAAAUUCAAACUUCUUGGAUUAUGGAUUGAAAUUUGAAUUUAUUUUUAAAAUUUAUGAAUUGCUAAUUGGAUAACUAGGGGGGCAUGUUCAAGUUGUUUAACAUAUAUUUUUUAAAUAAUCGUACUGUUUGGGUUAGCUUUCGUGCACCUCAACUUAAUCCACAGAUAUCUGUCACUUGCCACCUCCGACCAGGGACAGUUCUUGAUAUCAAAUAACUCUGUCCACUAAGAUUAGAACAGAUAGAAAAAUUGAAAGUUACAUUGUGCUUCUAUGAGACAUAUUUGGCCAUAUUGAAUGGUAAUUCCAUGAGACAUAUUUGGUUAAAACAUUAUUUUUUUGACAUUUUUGUCAUCUAAUAAAGUUACUGUCAUAUGACCAGGAGGUCACGAGUUAAAGCCUUAGAAACAGCCUCUGGCAGAAAUGCAAGGUAAGACUAUGUACGAUACACUAUUGUGGUGGAGCCCUUCCUUGGAUACCGUGCAUAGCUAUAACUUUAGUGCACCGGGCUACCCUUUUUUUUGGUGGGGUUCAAAACAUGGAGCUUUUGAAGUGUUUAAUAUCUGUCGCGGAUGUAUCGCGAAUUCACAACUUGAUCCGAUGACUCAUACGUAUAAAUGAACAGUCAUGGAUGCAGGAUUUUAUCUAAAAUACGCACAAUGGAGGAGAUUUUUCAUUUACAAAUAGAAAAUAGCCAAACUAAUUUAGUUGAAUACAUAGACAGUCCCCUAAAGUUGUCACGUCUUUUCACUUAGACACCUCAACUAAGAUUGUCGUGCUUAUAACUUGGAGCAAGGUCUAGAGUAUAAUGGCCAAGUCUUCCAGUACGAUAAUGUUUUUUUAUAGAUUGAUUAUAUUAAAUUGGUAUCAAUUACCAUUUUUAUUUUGGGAAAAAUUUAAAAAACGUAACGAUUAUUUUGUUGCCUAAUUACUGACUUAUUUCUCAACAAAUUCUUACAAACUCAUAAUUUGAUUAUAGUCAAUUGAUUAUUUAAUUAUCUUUAUAAUUUGCUAAAAGCUCAAAUAAGGUAACAAUUAUUUUUUUCUAAAUUACGGAUUUUUUUAAUUCAAUCUUUUAUUGUUUUACUAAAAUAGUUCAAAUUUAAUUGUUUUGAGGGAUGACAACUUUUUGUCUCUAAAUCUUUUUUAAUACAUAAGAAAUGCUAAAGACAUACAAUAAUCUCCUUUCCUUUUACAAUCCAAACUUACCAUUUACAAAUUAUUUGAUUUGAAUUAAUAAGAUCAUAGUAGCUUGCACAAAAUCAAUUAAUUAAUUAUAUGUAUUUUUAUAUAAAAAAUGAUGUACGACAUAAUUGUAAUAAAAUUACACAAUCAACUAAUUAAUUUCAAUUAAUUAGAAUCAAUUUUAUGAUCAUAAUAUAUAGACUCAAGUUCCUUAAAUUUAAUGUCGUAAAUUUUAAAAUAUAUUUAUGGCUAAAGUAGUAGUCAAUGUUCGUUGUUUUUUUAGCAAUAUAUGUAUAUCAAUUACGAAACCUUGCAUAUAUUUUUUAUUAAAAUAAUUGUCAAUAUUAACUGAUUUCUAUCUCAAUUUGAUCUAAUUAAUUUUAUAAAAAGAAAAUUAUUUUUAAUAUUAUAUAUUUAUUUACCAUAAAUCUAUCCUAAUUUUAUAGCUUGAUCAUAUUUAAUUAAUCUACAAUUACAUAAAGGACUCAAAUACGGAAACAAUUGAUAUUAGUUACUUUUAUAAUUUCAAAAAUUUAAUACCAUGAAUUUAACAUAUUCUUAUAUUUUGGUUAAAUCAAAUUUAUAUUAAUUACCUUUAUAAUUUUGGGAAGAAUUUUAAAAAGGCAACGAUUAAUUCUUUUCCUAAUUACUGAUUUAUUUCUCAAAAUUUUCUUAUCAAUUUAUAAUUUGAUUAUUUAAUUAUCUUUACAAUUUGCUAAAAACUCAAAUAAGGUGACAAUUAUUUCUUUUCUUAAUUACGGAUUUUCUUAUAUUCAAUCUUUCAUUGUUUCACUAAAAUAGUUCAAAUUUAAUUGUUUUGAGGGAUGGCAUUUUUUUGUCUAUAAAUCUUUUUUAAUACAUAAGAAAUGCUAAAGUCAUACAAUAAUCACCUUUAUUUUUAUAAUCCAAACUUAUCAUUUAAAAAUCAUUUCAUUUGAAUUAAUAAAAUCAUAGUAGAUUGCACAAAAUCAAUCAAUUAAUUAUAUGUAUUUUUAUUAAAUAAAUGAUGUACGAAAUUGUUGUAAUAAAACUAUACAAUCAACUAAUCAAUUUCAAUUAAUUAGAAUCAAUUUUAUGAUCAUAAUAUAUAGACUCAAGUUCUUUAAAUUUAAUGUUGUAUGUAAAUUUUAAAAUAUAUUUAUAGCUAAAGUAGUAGUCAACGUUCGUUGUUUUUUUACCAAUAUAUGCAUAUCAAUUAUGAAUCUUUCCAGAUAUUUUUUUAUUAACGUAAUUGUCAAUAUUAACUAAUUUCUAGUUCAAUUUAAAAGGAAAAGAAGUAAACCUCAGGAGGAGCCUUAGGUUGGAUAUAGUAGGUACGAGGAGGUGAAGAUGUGGCCAAAAAAUGAGGAUAGAUUAUUGGACGUGACCUUAGAUAGACUAAUGUGGAGGGCAUGUAUUAGAGCGGAAGAUUAGUCAAGUAGGGAGCGUUGUCUUGCUUUGAGGGUUUAGGUGUUUGUGUUUAUCGCGAACCAUCCAUAGUAGGGCAUGUAUUAGACCUCACUUGUGGGAUUUCACCGGGUAAAAAAAAAAAGGUACAAGAACAUCUGCUUAUAAAAUAGCUUAAAUCAAAGACUAAAGACAGAAUUGACUUCUAACUCGUUGCCAAAUCAUCAACUACUUUGUUUCUGUUUCUUUAUUUUUCUUUAGGGAGCUGAGGGGAGGGGAAAUCGUGCUACAUUAUGUACACAAUGAAAGGCGCAUCUGAGAAAUUAUUUAGAAUAAAAAGCUACUGAACUUCUCCAUACUCACCAAAUUGCCAGUGAUCCUAAUAGUCACCAUCCCUAUGAGAAUCACUCCGACGAUCUCUCUUUUGUUUCUUAUGCUGGCCCUCCGGUUUAUCUUUCGAACUCCAGACAUCAUGCCAGUUCAUCUAUUACAUCAGUAAUUAAUGAGAUCUUAUGUAUGAACUAUGUGAUGACCUGAAUUCUCAAGAAUGAGAUACGUAGGCGGCCUAUGUCGGCUUCGGUCAACCUAUUAGAUUUUUCUAUAUAUCCUUAGCGCAGUCUUGAACUACGUUUGACCUGAUUCCUGCUUCAACGGGAUACGUAGGCGCCCCAACGGCUCGGUCAUAUAACCCCAGGAAAUGGAAACUGAGGCAGAAUUUUUGAGAAAGAAUCUCGAAAAUUCAUAAGAGAAGAUUAACAUUCAACAAAGAGAAUGAAGACCAACAAAGACUUCAGAUCCACUCGAGAUGAUAUCAUCUCAGACCACUUUAAGCUGGGGCAGAAAUUUUGAGAAGGUCCUCAAAAUUUCCACUAAUAUAUUCAAAUAUAUUUCAAAUUCCCCAGCACUAGAGGUUGAAGUUGAGAUUUGAGGAUCGUCACCUGCGAUAAAGUCUAGGAAGAUUGAAUCUCCGUCUUUGAUAAAACUUCUGGUAGAGAGCCUCGACAAUGCUGAAUCCCUAAAAAUCCUCCGUCAAACGUCGAACAUUGUCAGAAUCAAGAGAAAGACGGACGUUGAGCUAGCACAUGGCAUGACUGGUAGAGAUUUUUCGAAGUUUUGCAGGAGUUCUCGAAACUAUUUUCUAAAAAAUUAAGAGUACUUUGAAAAAAAUCGAUAUAAAUCUUUUACUUAGUGAUUGCAUAGAUAUCAAUUAGGAUGGGGAGUCAGGGGUGGAAGUCCCAACAUAAUGAAAUACCUAAAAGAUGGCGAGGGCAAAUCAAGGAUCGUAGGAGGUCAACAUAGAGUAGUUUCUUUCAAACUAAUUAUUUUUUGUGGAUGCAGGGAUCGAUACACAAAAUGAGCGUUUCUUUCGAAAAAUUCCCAAGCAAGUCGGGAGCCAUGACAAAGCAUAUAAGUCUUAAUAACGGUACUUUUGGUAGCCCAAAAACCGGCUCAACACCCAUUUAUUGACGACCUUUAGAAUUGUCCAUCUCAUUUCUUGAGAUCAUGGAGGACAAACAAAAGUGUCUUGUCUUCUUUACAAAUAUUGUAUUUAGAAUUUUUCUAAAAAAAAUAGUCACUAGCAAAAGCGACUUUGUGUCAACUAAUCGUCUACCUU
rnacentral:lncRNA from 1 species